GGAGGAGCCCCUUCAAGAUCACUCUAUAAGGCAAUGAUAGCAGGGGAUCAGGAGAUAGCCUCAUUUCCUCGUAUAUGUCCAUUGCUUCCUUCGGUAGUCCACUGUCUAAGAAGGCCCUAAUGAGGUCACCAAAGGUAUGCUGAUCAAAAAGCACGCCUUCCCUCUUAAGUCAUCCCAUACACUCCUGGCUUCGUCUACCUUUUAUUUCUCGCUAGCAUCAUUAGCAUAUCCCUGUAGAAGAACAUAUCUGGCCUAUACCAAAUUUCUUUACGGACCACCUCAUACAACUGGAAAAUAAAAGACAAAUGUAAGAAAAAGGAAAGACGUUACAGUUUAAUUACUGAUCCUCUAUCAGUGGCAAAAGUUUGUACAAGCCUUAGAAUACAAGGUGUACGCUACAAUGAGAGAGUGGGUAGGUAUGACAUUUACAAUAACUUGUUAAUCUAGAGUUUUGAACCAAAAGAAUAACAAAAAACUCAAAGGCAAACACCAUGUCCAGAAUUUACUCGUAUAAGCACCAUAGGAGUACAUGCAAAUCAGUUUCUUUUCAAUGAAUUUCAUGAUAUAUAUCUAAGUUCUAGCUCAUUCACAUUUCUGACAGCAAAUGGCUAUAGCAGUAUAAUCUAGAGUUUUGAACCAAACGAAUACAAAACUCAAAGGCAAACACCAAGUCCAAAUUUACUCGCAAAAGCACCAUAGGAGUACAAUGCAAAUCAGUUUCUUUUUAAUGAAUGUCAUGAUAUUAGUAUCUAAAUUCUAGCUCAUGCGAAUUUCUGACAACAAAUGGCCAUAGCAGUAUUCUGGUUUAUAAAAGAGACACACACCCUUACUUGUUUUCUCUAUACUUGAAUGCAGAAUUCCAAAGAACUAAUUUCACGGUUACAUUUAUAUGUGUAUGUCAGCUAGAGUUGCAAACACGGAGUAUUUCAGUUGUUCAAACCUAUCUGUAACUAAUGUGCAUGUGUAAAAUUGUGGAUGUGUAAAUUUGUUCUAGGCCUAAUACCACAGCCACUUGCAGAUCCUUUGUGCUAAAAAGAAUGGGUGAAGUUAAGAGCUUAGGUAAUUUGUUUCUCUUUCUUGAUUUCAGUAGACGAGUAUGGUGAUUUGUCACUGAAAGAACCCUUUUCAGUGGCAGAUAUGCAAAGCUAAUGUCUAAAAUCCCGUUCAUUUUAUAUGUAUCUACAAUGGUCUAGACUUGGGUAGACCCGGAUUCUUCAAAGACCAAUGGCCCAGAUUGUGCCACAUCUCAUCAAGUGAUGUGGCACAAUUUGGGCCAUUGGAUCUUUGAAGACAGGUCUACCCAAGUUUGAGCCAUGGUGUUAUCACUCCACUAAUAUUGUCAAUGGUCAAAGAAAAUUAUGAUUACGUACUCCAACCAUCUGCCCUGCUUGGCUCCUACAAUUGUCUGAAAUCAUAAAGGUGUUUGCAACAAACUUCAAAUAUAGCUCCAUUGGUGAAUUGGUGACUAAAACUAAAAAACUAAGUAGUUUACUCUUCAGCUCCUAACAAUCUACUGAGGCAGCAUUCUCAACAAAAAGUUUCCAGCAUAUUAUGCAAUGAAGUGUAAUGAUUAGCUGUAGCGAGACCAACAAAGUGCAAGGAGAACAGGACUUCAAAAUGCACCAAUUUACAUUGCGUACUAUCACAUUAAGCCAGAAACUCUACCAAAUGCUGCUUUGCUCAAUGUCAUAAUGCACAUACUUUAGCAAGAAUCCAACCAAAAAAAGGCAACCAAAUAUUGUCAUCAUCUAUUAUCACAACUAAAACAUAAAAACGAAUUAGAAGCUCAUCUAAGAAUCCAUCAGAUAACAUGGUCUAAUCCAAAAACUUAAUUUUUGGACGAGUAUACUAGACCCUUCUAGCUUUGCAUCAGAAACAUGACCCUAAAUUUCAAAGAGAAUAAUGUUGAACACAACAUUGUAUCUUCUGGAGUUAAAUUAUUAAAGACUAGAGAAAGAAAAAAAAAGGACAACAUAAUCCUUGACAAAUUGCAAGAUCAGUAUUUACAUAACAUCUGACCUUGAUGGAGAGAAAGACAAGGUCUUGUCUCUGGAACUCAGCAAGGACAGCAAUCAGGUCGGAUUUAAGGAGGCGGGAGACGUGGGAUUUCAUGAACCUCUCCAAGCGUAUGGGAUUUGUCUGAAGGCGCUUCAGCUCUUUAGCCACCAUUAAACCCUCUUUUCCGAUCUCCUUCUUCCUUCUCCAUAUUGAUAGGCUUGGGCUCGAUGACCCUGACGUCGACGAGGGUGAUCCUAAUGCCUGGUGGCUAAAGAUUUGUCUAAAUGAUGAAUUGGGGUGGUGCAGUGGGGUGAUGAGAUUUGAGGAGACUCUGCGCAGGCCCUGACGCCACAUUCUAGGCAAAGUUGCUAGUCACCUAAGGUUUCAGGGGUAUACAAACUUUGGGUAAUAUAAAUGUUGACCCUUUAUUCCCUGCUGGCGAAUCUAUAGUGUCACUACAGAUCUCAUGUCAAAAUUUCAUUGCUAACUGAGAUACCAUGCAGCAUCAGAAAUUGCCACUCCUAAGUCUCAUCCUUCAGUUUCAACAUAACAUUGAAAUAGAAUUAUUACACCAAAAAGCUUACAAUAACCCAAAGUAAAUGAAGAGAAUGUUUUUCAAUAUGCCCCACAUGAUAAGAACAGAAAACAAGAUAAAUGGAGGACACAAGAGUGACAAACCUAGCAAACAACAAAAAAGAAGAAGAAAACAAGAUAGAUUCAGAGAAAAGUAUCUUGAGUUAGAAUCUUCCAUCAUCAUUUGGACGUCUUAGAAAUCGUUCUAGCCCCUACAACUUCUGUUCCCCACUCUGACUUUUCAAAUCUUAGCCAGAGACACAUGACUCAUGGCCCAACUAGAACAAAAUAUUGUCUCAACCAGCAGUCUCAUCAAUUUUCUCUGUUGCAAUGAUUGGAGCUCUUCACGUACUUAAGGAUAAUACACCUUAAGUCCCAGUUUCCAAGCUUUAGUGCACAUUUUCCAAGAUACUUUGCUGGAACAAUUUUGUUGGGAAAAUGCUUCCUGUUGUUUUAGAAAUAUCCAAAUUAAGAUGCCUAAAACUCACUUAAGAACAACUGAACCCACUCUCUCACAAAACUCACCCAGAACCUGAAUGCAAUAUGCUUCUAUAAACAGCAGCACUCAAUAGGAUCUGAAAAACUGCUUGGUUGACAUGGUGAACAAAGCAUAAUUGGUGAAAAUUAUUUAUCUAACUAAUCGUACUACCACCCAUGUAAACAACAUAAUCACUUCAUCUCUUCCAAAAUAAAUUGCUCACUAAUUCUCAAGGAAAAUGCGAUUUUCAGAAGUAACUUUGAAAUAUGUCCAAAGAGUAAUAAUGGUGGCUAUCUCAAACUUGGCCACAGUGCGCAUGCUUAUCAAGGCAUGUUACUACCCACUCAAGUUGGUGAAUCAAUUUCUGUCAACUUUCGCAGCCUCAAUUGCCAUCAUGUCAUGGACUAUCUUUGGCCCGUAUCAUGAACUGAUGCAGGUGUAGUCUGAAGCAUGAGAAGAUGACUUGGGUUCACAUAAAAAUCAGGUUCAAGCAACAGUGAAAGUUAGUAACUGAUUUGAUGCUAGAGAGGAAAAAUAUAAUAAUGUUCCUCCAAGACCUUAAAGCAAAAACCUUCUAACCUUAAUAUAGUCAGAAAAAUAAGAAUAAGAGUCCACUAUUUCUGCAUAAUUUUUGCUAACAUAGACCAUCAUGAAUCCAAAGUAGAGUUGCUCUUAAUUGGCAGGAAGUGAAUUAAUUUUGGUUCAAUUAAUUCCUACAUCAAUUUACACUAAAGUGAAUUAAUUUUGGUUCAAUUAAUUCCUACAUCAAUUUACACUGCCUGUAUCAAGAAUGUCUUCUGAUUUAAAGAAACAAGAAUCUCCACUUUCACUCAGUAUAAUUGCUAUAGCUUAAACAGGCAGUCUCCAUGUUUACAUUUCUUGCCUAAUCUCUACAUUAUACUCGAAGUAAGACUUUUAAAGCAACAAUGUCAAGACUAAAACUAGGGACAACAGCCUUUGCAUAGUGAUAUUACAAGCUUCUUCUACAAACUUUAACUCCCCAUAUUAAAAAAGGGAAUACAUCUCAAGAUGCCAUAAGAAUGUAGUGAAUCUGCAGAAGUAGAUCUAUGUGUCUAACAAGCAAGCAGGCAAAUACUAAAUGAUUAAAAAAAAGUAAUUGCCAGAAACUGUAGAAAUCUCACUGUACAAGAACCAUAAAAGUCCAGAGAUCUCCUACAUUUCUGAACCUUAAACCUGUAAUGUGAUCUGCAUACCACUUUUACAGAAACUGUCUUUACAAACUAAAACCAUAUUAUAUACAUUGCUUAGUCCUUCUAAGCUAAUAUGCUUGUGUCAAACCUACUCUUACUUCCAAAGCAGGAAAUUCAACACUCAUUCUUUCUCUUACAUCUUGGAACUUGCGCUAGAUAUAUAUUGAACUCCCCAGAGAGUUUCAUAAAUUAAUCACUCUCCCUCAAUCCUCUUUCUUUGCUUCUUUUAUGUAAAGCGAGGAAGAGGCAUCUCCCUUAAAAAGACACAGCAUGGCAAUUUCAGAUAAUUAACCCAAAAAGAACCUAAAAAGUCAAACUCAAGAGUAGCACAAGCUAGAAUGCAAAAAAAUGCUCGUUCACGAGUACACAAUUUUAUAUAGACCUAGUCCAUAGUUGCAUAAAGGGAAUUGCAGUCCUAUAUUUUCUUGUCUUCAAAUUUUCUGCAUUUCAAAGUUAUUGGGAAAUUCAGCCACCAUAUACUCGGAACUUCUAACUGAAUGUUUCCUUUCCAAUCAGUUCAAAAUUUCCGAUUUCCUUUCGUUUAUUUCUUCACAAAGGUGGUCUACUCAACUAUUAAAUUUCAAUUUCCUGCUGGCUUUCUACAACUUUGACAUAUUGCUAAAUCCAACAAAAAAAAAGGAUAUUUUAACCUCUUCAAACCUACAAAAAUAACAUAGCAUACUACAAAAAAUUAACUAUGAGUAAACAAUUCGAACACCAAUUCCAGCCAAAACCCUUUUAGUUAUUCGUGCAUUCAAACCUAAUUUUAGUAUUUCAUCAGCCAAAUAGCAGAAUACACAAGCUCAAUAGCUAGAAUAAAGCAAAUAUCAUCAAAGAAGAAAAUUGAAAUCAUUCAACAUAUAUAUUAAAAACACAAACCCUCAAUAAUUUCCAAUCUUUUUUACUUUUUAAGGGCAUUAGGAAGAGAGUGAGUACUGCUUUGGUUAAGGCAUUCAACUCCUGACCAGUCCACAAAGUCCAACAAAUCAACCUGAAAAACAAAACCCAUCAUUCUUUUUCUUGUUUUUCCAUUGUCUUUUUUUUUUUGGUUAAACUGAAAAUUAAAGGAAAAAAAUGAAAAACUGAAGACAGAGAACAUAUGGGAGAUUAAUACUGAUUACUAUUGAUCUAAAUUGAGAAAAUUACUUACUUGGCUUCCUUGAAUUGCUGAGGCUGAUUCGGCAGACAUGGCUGACGGUGUGAUGCAAAUCCACCAAACCAACUAUUACUCUUAGGAGACAAUACCGAAAAGAAAAAAGAAAAAGAAACUAAAUCAAAUUAGAUAAAAUGGCUGCUAGAAUUUCAGGGUAUAUGUAUUAAGUAAAUUUACACUGACCUCCUUUAGCCUUGUUGAUAUUAUAGAAAAAUCCAUCUGAUUUAUGGAAAUUGGAGUAUAUUAAGAUAACUUUUUGCGGUUUUUAUUUAUUAUUUUUUAGGGUUAUUAUCACUUUACCUCCUUAAAUUAUAUUACUACUAUCAGUUUAUCCUUUAACGCUAUCUUUUAGUCACUUCAUUUCCAUAAGUAAUUCAACUCAACAUGUUAAGAAAUUUUGGACAAAAAUACCAUUUUAUUCCAUGGCAUUACUACAAUGUUAUUAUUACUUUAUUCCUUUAAAUUAUAGUGAUAUAAUCGAUUUAAUUUCUAACAUUAUUUUCUUGGCAUUUUACUUCAUCAUUAAUCUAACUACUAUGGUCAAAAAUUUUUAAAUAUAUUUACCCUUACAUAUAUAAUUAAAAAUAAAAAAAUUUAGAAUGAUUAUUCUUCUUUUUUUCACUUUAAGAGAUCCAAAAAUAUAAAAAUAAAAGGGUUUAUUCAAAUUUCAUUUUUCACACUUAUUAAUACUAUGAAAAGAAAAGGAGAUAGGAAAGAAGGAGACAAAAAUUAGAUUUUACAAAGAAAAAAGUCUAACAUUAUCUUAUUAAUUUAAAAUUGUUGGGAUUAUGAUUGAAAUCUGAUGGUAAACAGUAAAGUGAAGUAAUUUCAAAAUAAUAAAAGUAUUUAAUUAUUUCUUAUUUAUAUUUUCUAACAAAAGAAUUGAACUCUCUCUCUCUCUAUCUCUCUCUCCCCCUCUCCCUCCCCCUUCGGAUCUUUCUAUUUUUUUUAUAUUAAUAAGAUUGUCAAGAAGAAAAAAAUUAAUAUUUUGACUUUUUUCCUUGAUAUUAAAGAGGAGAAUAGCCACUCUAAAUUUUUUAUUAUUUUUAUUAUACAAAGAUGAGGGUGCUUUCUUCUAAAGUUUUUUAACUUGCUAAGUUGGUUUAAUGGUGGGAUAAAUUAUCUAAAAAAAUUCUAUGGGGUAAAUUGAUAUUGAGAUUAUAGCUUAUGGGGAUAAAAUGAUAAUAACUUUAAGGGCUAAACUUGUCUUUUUACUUUAAUUAACAAACUCCGUUAAGUUUGACCGUUAGUUUUGGGGAUAAAGUGAUUAAAAGAUAACGUUAAGGGGGAAAUUGAUAGUGGUACCGAACAUUAAGGAGGUAAAGUGAUAAUAACCCUUUUUUUUAAGCAAAAGAUUGGUGGGAUUUAAGAAGUGAAAAGAGAGCGGGAAUUAGAAGUCAUUAGAACUUAAGAACUCUAAAUUCUAAAGAUUCAAUUUUAACCACUAGAUCAAAGUAUCCUCAACUUAUUUUUACAGAAUAUUUUUAUAAUAAUAUGAGAUAAUGAUCACUUGCAUUUAGGGAUGGCAAGUUGGCAACGAGAUGGUUUUGGCCUCACCCCAUUAUCAAAUAACUCCCUCUCAUCCCCCGCCUCAAAUCCUGCCACCGUUCCCCACCCCUGACCCCCGCAGUUCCCCUUGUAGGUGCUCAUAGGGAAAGAAAGCAAAAGGAUAAAUCACGAAAAGUUCUCUUAAGUUUUGCACUAUUUUGUACUUUAUCUCCUAACAUUAUAUUUUUGGUACUUUUAUCCCUUUGACGGUAGGCAAAACAUUCAACUAGUAACUGUGGUGAUGGUUAAUAGGUAAGGACAAUGGUAUUUUUGGUAAAACAAUGAAUAGACAAAACUGCCUACAGAUACGUGUUAGAUAAUAUUUUUUUCUAAAAAUACCCUUCUUGGAGAGAAAAAAACCUGCUCUUGCUAAUGUAUUUUGCAAAGAAAAUGAGCAAAUCAUAUGCUUGACGAUUCUAAAAAAACUUUUUUGUUUUUCAAAUUAUUUUAUCUAAAAGUAAAAAAAGACAUUAAUUUAUCGUACAAAUUAUACCUUAUAAUUUGAACAUCCAAGAAAUCCCCUUCUGGAAUUUUUCGGUGUCCACAAUCUUGUUAGGAGUGCUAUUUUACCACAUCUAUAGAUUUCUUAAUUUGGUUCUUUUAGAUGCUAUCCAUGACAACAUCUAGAGAAAAAUCAGCGAAAUGAAUUUGAAGUAGUUUAGAACAUUUUUUUCCUUUUUCAACCUCAAAUGUAGGACUUGGAAAUUUAAAGGCUUUAAUGAAUAAUAAAUUAAUAACAAAAUAUUUCUGAACUUGAAGGGAAACAUUUCUUUAUAAAUAACACAUUGGGGCAUUUUUGUCAGAAUUUUUAAUGAUUUAAAUGGGGGUAUUUUCAUCUAAUUUAAUGUUUCAAUGAAUUAUUUGUUGAGGUGGACUAAUAGAGGGGAUAAAGUGCCAAAAAGAUAACGUUAUGGGGCAAAGUACAAAACACCACAAACCUUAGGGAGACUUUUCGUGAUUUUCUCAAAGUAAAAUGCAAUCAAGCUCAAUUUGCCAUUGUAAAGAAAGUAAAAUUCUUUAUUAGGACCAAAAUCCAGAAUAAAAUGAGCUUUUUCAGGUAACAUAACCCCAAAAACUACAUUCCAAUUUGAAAAGUUAAGCAUAUCUUGAAUGUAUGGAUGAGACUUUUAAUCUUGCAUUGUUCAAGCGUGGUGCAUUGUUGCACAACCAUCUAGCCUUCUUCAUCGGGUAUAUAAAACUAAAUAUUUUCCCAAUACUGAUUUUUUCCAAGCUUAAGAAGGAUCAUGGCCUUCCUGAUCUUGGCGCGGACUAUGUGAGAUCAGGAAGUAUAUAGAAGCAGGAAGCAGAUGGCGAGUUGGUUAUGGCCAGUCUAUCAAAAUCUGGAAAGAUAGGUGGCUUCCACGGCCAUCUACUUUUAAAAUCGUGUCGCGGUCUACUGCAUUGCCUGAGAAUUCCACAGUUAAUUGCCUACUAGACUACGAGCGAAAGACUUGGCGAGUUGACUUAUUGCAGGAAAUUUUUUGGCCUGAGGAGAUUGAAUUAAUUCAAAGCAUUCCAAUUGGAGACACUCAUAAUAGGGAUAAGCUAAUCUGGCACUUUUCAAAGAAUGGAUAUUUUACUGUGAAGAGUGCGUAUUACUUGAUCAAGCAGCGAUCUUCUAAUUGGGAGAAUUUGCCAUCAAGUAGUAGUACUCUAAAGCAAAAUGUUUGGUCUCGGCUUUGGCACUUGAAUCUUCCUGAGAAGAUUAAAAGUUUCUUAUGGAGGGCAUGUAAAGAUAUACUGCCAACCAGCACAAAACUCAAUACUAAAGCGCUCCAUUUAGAUACCUCUUGCCCUUUAUGUCUUGCUCCAGUUGAUGAUAUUGAUCAUACCUUCUUAACUUGUCCUGUAGCUGUGCAAUCGUGGGCGCUUAGUUUCUUAACCCAGAAAGUUCAACUGCAAUCGGCUGAUCAUAUAACAUCCUGGCUUCCCAACUAGCUUUUGCGACUAUCAAACAAAGAGAUGGAAUUGGUGGAUGUUAUUCUUUGGAAUUUAUGGAAUAAUCGGAAUGGAGCAAUCUUUGAUGGGCCCUACAGAGAUCCUUUUAGCUUGGUCUCCCUGUCCAUAGCAUUCCUGAAUCAAUUCCAUGAAGCAAAUUCCAAAGAUAAGUGCAAUACGCCUACCUCUCUUCAAUCAAGGUUAUCAAUAGGUCAUUGGAUACGACCCAAUGCAGGUUUUGUUAAGGCAAACUUUGAUGGAGCUGUGUUUAUGAAUGAUAAAUCAUCAGGGGUUGGUGUUAUUAUCUGAGAUGAUAAAGGAAGUUUUAUUGCUGGCCUCUCCAAGAAAAUUCCUGGGAUAUUGGAACCAGAAGUGGUUGAAUCAUUUACGGCCAAACAUGCUACUCAAUUACUACAAUCUUUGGGUUUCAAUAAGAUUGUUUUGGAAGGAGAUUUACAAAAAGUCAUCAAAAUGCUAGACCAUUUGGGAUCUGACGAUUCAUCAUGUGGCUUGUUGAUUGAUGAUACCAUUGUCUUAUGUCAAGAUUUCAUGUGUUGGGAAGUUUCAUGGAUUUCUUGGUCGUUUAAUGUUCCUGCUCUUAACCUUACUAAGUAUGCUGUUAAUCUUUCAAACUCUUGUAUAUGGAGAAACUCUCCUCCAUCUUUUAUUUGUUCUGCACUUGUUGCAGAUUUGAUCUCAUGAUUAAUAAAAUUAUUCUAUUUUAUUAUAAAAAAAAAAUGUAUGGAUGAGACCUUAUUAGGAAUGAAGCCCCAAUCCUUCAAGUAAUUAAGGUUACAUAUUGUUAAUUGAUUGUUUAUUCUAAUUAGAAUGAAUUCAUAAUUAUUAGAUUUUAUGUAUGAUUAUUAGGUAUUUAGAUUAUAGGUAUAAUUUUUUAUAUUUUAUUUAAUUAAUUCAAGAGACGAAGUGGGGGUGUGCUUCCCCCCCCCCCCCCAUUUAAUCUCUGUGACAGCCCCACCUCGCCCAAGGCAAACCAAAGGGUUCGGCGGACCACCUGCCCACCUCUCGCCAGGACUACGGAGUCAAAUCACACAAACCCAAUAUAGUACGCGCGCGAUAGGACCCAAAGAAAAUGAACAAUCGGAGAUUACUAAGGUGAGAACAUGCUUACCAAACCAUAAAAUCAUAAUCGUAACUGAAUACACUUAAUAGACAAGGGUAAAUACUUAUACAUAUAUUUACAUCGGACUCUUUGGCAAAUUAACUAAACUAAAGUACAAGUCAAACCAUUCAUACACUUAAAAAUACGAUUCGGGUUUCGGUUGCAAAAGAGCUUAAUAAAAUACUAAUUACACUAGCUCGAUCCUUUCUUCCAAUAUCAUGGAUUCAAAGUUUGGUUCCCUGUAAGGAAAACAAAGAUAACGGGAAGGGGGUGAACUUACGCUCAAUGAGGUACCAAAAUAAUAGCAAGUAAAAAUCAUGGAUCUUCAUAUUCAAUUAGUCACAUAUGCAAAUCAAAUAAAGAAAUGAACAAACACCCUAGAUAGAAAGGAUACAGGUGGCUCUCAGGAGCCAAAUUCCCAUUUUCUUUACCGAAUCUUGAUUAAAUAAUAGUUGACACUCCGUUAACUUUCCAAAUAAAGUAACCAGUCCAGUCCAGUAGAGCACCACUUUACACCAAAAUCCCGUUCACCAAACAUACCCUUACCGAGCCCGAACACCUCAACAGAAACGGAAGUGGUAAUACUCGAGUAUACCGGAAUCAAGAGUCUCAAUACCCAAAGAUUCCGAGAAACAGACUACCAUGGUUUGUUAUCUAAUCGACCAGACCCUUGCCGGCUCGACUCGAGUAACUAACCAUAGGUUUUGAGUUCAGAGGUCGCAGACUUAUACAGAGAACAGAUACAAAUAACAAAAAUAGAGAGCAAAUGCAGACUUAUACAGUAUACAAGAAACAAGUAAACAGACGAGAGAAACGAGAGCAAUAAAAUAUACCCUCGUUUCAUACAGAGUAUACAGAAGUCACAGAUAGCCAGAUAAGCAACAAAUUAGGGAAGUGAUACACUCACCGGUUUCAGCACAGAUACUUCAAAAGUUUUUACCCAAAGUGGCUUUAAUCGCCAAGAAACCCUAAAAUAACCAAGAUAAAACAAUUAUAGUUCGCAUAUCCACAAACCCAGUAAAUGGAAUGCAUCAAUGAGACUCGACUACAAGUCGUAUGCUUUCCCAGGUUAAGUACCAGUACAAAAGAAUAAAAUAUGACUUUUGAACAAAAGAUAACAGUUGGUCUUAGGGUUACAAACAACUCCCAAACCCAUCAUUUUUACUAAGAUCAACUCAACUUGAAGGAAUCACGUAGCCCAAAAAUUUUGGGCACCACACCCUCUGUAUUUACCCAUUUUCCACCCAUUUAUGGCUUCAUUGUUUUCUUCAAUCAAUCCCAAAGUCACACACAAAAUAAUCUCAUUUCAAUAGCCGUUCAAUAGGCUCAAAACCGUACAAGUACAAAUUCAAGCUAGGAAAAUGUCUAGAAACGAAGUUUAAGUCAGAAAAAAAAAGACAGAUUUGACGUCGCUUAGCGGAACAGACACAACCAAAGCUACGCUUAUCAGACUGGGGUACAAUUUAUACCGUUUCGAAGAUAAGAUAAAGGCCUACAACUUUGAUGAAGACCACUUAGUCCAGUUCAUAGUGUAUCUAGGUCAAAAUUUCAAAUUACAGAACCAGCAUCUCACAAUUAGACUAGUUAACCGCACUAUGAUUAAACGACAAUAACUUAGGCUACCAAAGUCUGAUUGAGGUGUAUCUUAUCGCGUUUCGAAGCCAAGACAUAUACCUACAUUUUUAUGAAGGCCUCUAAAGCUAAAUCAUGUAUUUUCAGAGUCAAAAAUUGAAAUCUCCACGAAGACAGAAAACUGUCCGCGAAACAAGGAUUAUGGGCAGUCAGCGGUAUUUUUGUCUUUUCAUAUGAUACAGUGCUCAAAUUGACCUGAAUUUUUACAAGAAACUAUAAAACAACAUUCCCUACAACUUUCAUGUUUUGUGCUAAGCCUAAUUCGGCCUUUCUCAUGGUCAAAUAGAACCGAUUAGGACAAGGUAUCUUCAAAACUGAAAACUGGAAUUCAUGCAGUCUAAUGCUAAUUUUCUUAUUUCUGGCUUAAUUCACUACCUCAACUUCCAAUAUAAGAUUAUAAACAUCAUAUACCAUCUACCCAACAAGAAAUACAGUUGAAGACCUCAACCCUAACUCAAGAACAUGCACCAUAUCCAUCCAAACCAUUGAAAUAACUAUCAUUAACAAAAAAUUUAAGGUGCUAUACCAACUUAAGCAAGAUUAAAAGUAAGAAAAUGCUAAACCAGCAUUAUUACCUUACUAAAGUUGCUUUCAAGAGUAACCCUAGCUUUCCCUUCCAAACUUUUACCAACACACAACUACCUAAGCACUCAAAGGAAGAUUUAAUCGGUUUAGUUUCUUGAUUUUCUCACUCAAACAAGCAAAACCCAAGAUGGAAUUGAAGUUCUUUCUCUCCUAAUUUCAGCCAAGAGGUAUGAGAAAUGAAGAAGAAUGAAGGUUAAGGUUGGUAUUAGGUUGGGUCAAAGAUAGUUAGAUGUUUGCCAAGUGUCACUCCAAGAUCUUCCUCAAAUUUUUUUUUUCUUUUCCUUGGCUUUUUGGGUCAAAUAUUUCGGCCCUCUUGAUCAGCUUUAGAGCUGAUAUUUAAGCUCUAAUAUCAAUGAGAUUAACUUGAUAAAAAUGAUGGUCAAAUGGUGGGUUCAAUCGGUAGUGAACGGUACCUGUCGGUUCGAGCCAAUUUUCCUUAAAUCACCUAUACUAGAGUUUUCGCUUAUAAUUCACUAACUUAAUUGUUAUCACUUCUAAUCACACACUUAAUAUCAUUUAAAACUCACUCUUAAUCACCAAAUUUGCUCCACUCUCAAUACCGGAUAGUCACACUACGGAUAGGCGUAAAAAUCUUAGUUUACCCUAAUAAUGAAUGCAAAAGGAAAAACUCUUAAUUCUAUUCUUUAUUUUAAACAUUGGAGAUAUAAAUGAGUAGUAUAUCUAUUAUAAGGGAAUAAAUGCCAAAUAAAAAGGAAUUUUAAGAAAAUAUGAGGGAUUUUACAAUUCCAGUGAUUACAAUUAGGGUUUCGAUUCAAAAUAAGAGAUUUAAGAAAACCGGUUAGUCACAAGUAAACUAGGGUUUUUGAUCAGAAUUUAGGGUUUCUAGAAUUUAGGGUUUCUCAUUUUUAAAACAAAACAAUGUCUUAAAUAAAGAAAUCGUAAUAUCCUCUUUGAGACUAAACAACAAUAGUAUCCUAAAAGUUGGGGUAUCACAAUCUCCUCUCACCUCAUUCCUGCCUUGUCUCUAUUCCGUUCCAACUCCUAUUCCAUUCCUUUCUGUGAGGUGGGCACUCACCUCUAUUGUCAUCCCUACUUGCACUUUCAUAACUGCAUCUCCUUGAAAUUUUUUCAGUCACAGAAAGAGACGAUAAUGCACUUACGAGUCCUAAUUACUAGUUAAGAGUAUUUGAGACCAUUCAUGAGAAUAGAAAAGCAAAUGGUAGUACCAACAAUAAAUAGUAGGGUGUCAUGACAAUUCCCUAGUUAUGAGUAUUUGCUAUGAGUUGCAAAUUAUUUUUACAACUCUUUCCUAAAACUUUUUGCCAAUGAAUUUGGCAAUUCAUUCUAGUUUAUUAUUUUUGAAAAUGAUACAAAUAACUAUAACUUAGGUGAUUUUGCAUCAUUUUCACGAUGACCUCUACAACCUUGACUACAAAGUUAAUACUUUCAAAAUAUGAAAAAUUGUGAAACUUCACUUAAUAAAUAAUGAAAAGACCAAGAGUAAUAGAUAUAUUUUUUUAGAAGGAAGAGUAAUAGAUAGUUUCAAACCACAAUAGCCAUUAGCUUGCUGAAAAACUACUAAAUAGGUUCAUACUUAUACAGAAUUAAUAAUAUCAUCACUAUUCACAAUUCUAUCCAUUAUUAGUCCUAAAAUAUUAGGACCAAUGUGAAAACAAGGGAAAGUGAGCUGAGGAGAUAAUGCAUAAUGAGUUUCUUUAGAACAAUUUUGUCCCUUAGCGAAAUUAAAAGGUGUUCUUGUCUUUUUAUUAAACAAAAAAAAAAAAAGAAAGAUGGAGUGGCUAGUACUUUUUUGGAGAACCAAUAUUAGGGAUGGCAACAGAGACGAGUGCCUGCCUUGCGGGGGAGUAAUGGCCCCGUCCCCAGCUUCAACUUAUUAAUAUAAAUAAAUAUAAUAUAUUAUAUAAUCUAAUAAUAAUAAUUUUAGAAUAUUUGGUAACUAAACAUAACCUUUAUUCCAUUUCUAUCCAAGCAUGAACCACUUGUCCUGUUUCAAAACUCCAAUACCAACACAAGCAAACAGUAAAGUCACCAUUGCACGAUUAUCAGGCUUUACUCUUGCUCUCUGCAUAUCAUCAAAAAGCUCCAAGACUUCACUAUACCUGAUAAAUUAACCUAUCCGGUGAUCAAUGCAUUCCAAGAAAACAACAUCCUUCACUAACAUUUUAUCAAAAACCUUUCUUGCCUCAUUAAGAAGUCUAGAUUCCCGUACAUGGAAGGCAUAAAAUUCCUAGACUCCAACUUCUUUAUGAGCAUCUCACUAAUCAAAUUAUGAAACAAAGGUGUUAGGACAUUGAUUCGAAGAUAUCAAAUUCCUAGUUGAUAUUUGGCACAGGCAUGUUACACACUCUAUGAGUAUUCUCAGGUGUUGUCUAUACAAUAUAAUUGAGGUUCUUAAUUUUCUUGGUGAUUUAUUUCAACACUUUUCUUGUUUCAUUUUUCUUUUUUUCACUUUUUUCAGCUUUGUAUUUUAUUUUGUUCCUUGAAUUUGGCUUUGAUCUUUUGAAUAAAGGCUUCUAGAAUAAAAACCAAAUUAUCACCCGCAAGUACCUGCAAGGGAAAUAGGGCGGGGCGGGACAGAUGGAGUUUUUUGGCACCCCCGCCCGUUGCCAUCUCUAACCAAUAAUAGGUACAGACCUUCUUAGUAUCUUUUGCCUUUUCUUAAAAACUUGUAUUUUAGCCACAAUGACUCCCUAAAAGAUUUGUAAUUACCACUGAGAACUCCUCAUUUUUUGUGAAAUUGGAUAUCUUACAUCGACUUUCCUUAAGGUUUAUUUAACAUACAAGCGCAUGUCUUAUAAGUGCAUUAACAAUUUUUUAAAGCCUUUCUCUUUUUGAAUAGUAUCAUUCUUUUCUAUGCUGUAAAUUCAAAUUCAAAUUACACUAGUAACUCAUUUUGGGCCACCUAGUUAAUGAAAAUUGAUUAUUUAUUGAAUUUCUUUGCCACCAAGAAAAGUUGUUAUCUUUUUACAUUACAUAAAAAGGACUCCCAUACAACUUUAGAAAUGUCAAAAGUUCAUUGUUGAAAAAUAUACUAAUUUAUAAGUUGUAAAAAAUAAAAUGUACUCGUAACUUAAAUUAUUAGUAAAUGACUAAAUAAUUAUGAGUUGAGGUUUGGAUACUGGUUAUCUUAUCCAACUUUACAUAUAUGCAGGUUGUUAAAUUCAUGAGUAAAAAAUUAUAUCCCAUAUUGGUUCGAAAGAUGGAAAAAGAGCACUUAAUAUAUAAGUAAGAGCUCAAAACCUAAUAAUUUAAACUUUUGGAUCAGAAUUAGGUUCCUAAUUUACAUAUUGGACUUUUCAAUAGGUUCUCUCGAGAUGUUUUCUCCCUAACAAGUGGUAUCAAAGUUUCAAGUUGCGAGACUGGACUACUCAUGGGCAAGUGGAUUUUUCUCGAGGUUGAAUCGGUGAAAAUUCUCUUCUUAGUAGUGGAUCGAAGUGCCAAGAAGUUGGGUUGGUCUUGGAUCAGGUGUGCCAAGGGUUUAGCAACGGUCCAGUUGGUGUUAGACCAAGGAAUCAAGGAUUGGCAUGGGUCCAGAAUUCAAUUUAAAUAUUGAAGAAGAGCGGGUCCAUGAUUGGGUGAAGAGAUGACCCUAGGUAUUAAGGUGGAUUUGCGUUAAGUAUUACAGUGGAUUUGGAAAAGAGCUUGUAAACUUGGGUUCAAUGGGUUACUCAUAAAGGGAGAGAUAUAUUAGGUCCAUGGGUAAAGGAUUAUGUCGCACAUUGAUUUAAAAGAUGGAGAAAGAGUACUUAAUAUGUAAGUAAGGGCUCGAGACCUAAUAAGAUCUCCGUUUGGAUUAGCUGUUUUUUGGGGUGUUUUUAAAAAACUUUACUGUAGCAAUGUUUUUAGAGUAUAUUUUGAGAUAUUUUUAAAAAAUAUUUUGGAAUAUUUAAGGGUAGUAGAGUUUUUAAAAUAUAUUUUGGGAUAUUUUUUAAAUAUUAAAAAAUUUAGACUACUUUUUAGGGUAUUUUUUAGAGCACUUUUUAAAAAUUUUUAUAGUAUUUGAAAAACUAAAGGAUCCAAACAUAAACUUAAGUUUUUGGGUUAUAGUUGGUUCUUGAUUUACAUAUUGAACUCUUCGAUGGGUUCUCUCGAAGUGUUUUCCCCAUUUUUGAAAAUUGAAAACCACACCUUAAUCUAAUUUUUUCAAGUAGGUUUGACUAAUCUAACCAUUUUAAAAAUUAUGGGUUGGUCACCCUAUUUUUCAAUUUAGACCAAUUUGGUGUUCUCGAUUAUCCGCUUUUCUGAUUCUUUUUAAAACCCCUAUCUACUUACUACUUCAUGAAUCGGAUUCCAUGUGACCAAUCUCCCUAACUACAUGAUAUGACCAACACUACUAACUAAUAAAAACUAACACCACAUGAUUAAUAAACUAACCAAUAUGUCACUAGUUUGGUUUAUUUAUUAUUUAUUUAUUUUACAAUUCCUUCUUUAAACCAAACUUCUCUAAUUUGGACAUACCUAACAUCUUUUUCAACUUGACAAAUGUUUUUGUCUUUAAAGCCUUCAUGAAAAUGUCUAUCACUUGCUUUUAAGUUCUGCAAUAAUCAAUCUCAAUCUCUUUCUCUCGAAUCAACUCACGUAGGAAAUUAAAGAAUACUUGAUAUCUAUGUACUUGCUACACAUAUGGAAAAGUGGGUUAUUAGACAGUUCAAUUGUUGACUUACUAUCAUAAUAAAUUUUCGUAGCAUAGUGUUGUAGAACAUCAAGCAUGCGACUCAACUGCAAUGCAUGAGUUGCACUAUUAGCUACUGCAAUAUACUCCACUUCUGCAUAGACAAUGUUAUCAUUUGUUGCUUUUUCAAACUCUAAAAACCCCUCAAGAGCCAAUAAAAAAUGCAUAUCCUAAAUAUUUUUUCUCUCAAUCGUAUCACCUAUUCAAUCACUGUCUGCGUAGCCAAAUAAUUCAAUUGGAUCAUUUCUUGAAUAACAAAAUAUUAUCAUUAUGAAUACCUCCAAUAUACCUCAAAAUCUUCUUAUCCACCUACAAAUGUGACUGACAUGAAUAUUUCAUAAACCUGCUAAUCAAAUCAAUAGCAAAAUUGAUGUUUGAUCUCAUAGAUGUCAAAUAGUUCGAACUCCCAACCAAACUUUUAAAGUAAGUAGGAUCCACAUAUCCAUCAAUACCCUCCUUAGUCAAAUUCAACUUCAUUUUUCCUCAACUAGAGUUAGAAUUGGAUUAGUUGUAUCCAUCUUAAAUUUCUUCAAAAUAUCACAUGCAUAUUUCUUUUAAGACAUAAAAAUUCCACAAUGAGAUUGAAACUUCAACCUCUAGAAAAUAUGACAUAAGUCCCAUAUCUAUCAUUUCAAACUACUUAACCAUGGCCUUUCUGAACUUUGCAAUCAUUCUUGAAAUAUUUCAAGUAAAAAUCAAAUCGUCUAUAUACAAGUACAUGAUAAGAAUAUCACCACAAACAAAAUAUUUAAUAUAUAUAUAUAUAUAUAUAUAUAUAUAUAUAUAUAUGCGCUCAUAUGGAUACUUCUAAAAACCAUGAGUAAGAAUAUAGGAGUCGAUUCUUGUAUACUAUGCCCUCGUACUUGCUUCAAUCCAUACAAGACUCCUUCAACCUAUAUACUUUGUUUUCUUGAUCUCUUCUGACAAAUCUUGCAGAUUGCUCUACAUAUACUUCUUUAUUGAAUAUUCCAUUCAUUAUCAUACGAACUGUGUCAAACCUAUCAAUAGGUGCAAACACAUCUAAGUAGUCAAUUCCGGGUUUCUGCUUAGUCUUUGACCACUAAUCUUACAUUGUGCCUAUCAACCUCUUAAUUGGGCUUAAAUUUUGUCUUAUACACUCAUUUCACUCCAAUGGUUUUUUUACCAGUUGGAAGAGAAGUAAGCAUCUAGGUGUCAUUUUCUCAAUAGUAUGAAUUUCUUCAUCAAUUACAUUCACCUAAUGAUCAUCACGAUCUACCUCCUCAUGUACUAUUGGGUCACAAUUUGCAAGUAAAGCAAAAUUAAUACAUAAUCGUACAUAUCUUCUUCAAAAAAGUAUUAUCUGGUGUAAUUACAUAAUCCUACAAAUGAGUUAGCAUCUACCGCUAAUACUAUAGGCUUCCAAUUAACUCAAUCUAUGAACCCUGAGCAACUAGAGAUGGCUAAAAAUCAAGAUUAACCUCCUCUUCCUGAUAAUUUAAAGUCACCUCUGCUGUCUUGAGAUCUCUCAUAAACUAGUCCCAAGCACCUCUUUUAACAAAUGUCAUAUCUCUACUCACUAUCAUUUUUUCUGUCACAAGAUUAUAUAAUUUGUGUGCCCUAGAACUUCAUUAUAGCCAAUAAAUACACAGUACUCUCUCUUGUCAUCAAGCUUCUUCCUCAACUAAUUAGGAAUAUGAGAAUAGGCAAUACAACCAAAAAUUCUGAGAUGGUCAAAAAAGGGUCUUCUACCACUCUAAACUUCUUUAGGGGUUUUUCCCAAAAUACUUCUAAUAGGGUAUAUGUUCAACAAAUACACAUCACAGGAAACUACCUCUGCCCAUAAGGACUUUGGCAUCUUUUUCCAAUUUUAACAUAUACCUUACUAUAUCCAUAACUGUCCUAUUAUUUCUUUCCACAGCUCCAUUUUGUUGUAAAUUGUACCUGACAAUCAACUGAUACUGUAUACCAUUUUUCUCAUGAAAUUUUAAAAAUCAUAAAAGACUCACAUGUAUCAAAGUUUUCUUUAAAAAUAUAUCCAAUCCUUUCUACUAAAGUCGUUAAUAAAGAUGAUAAAAUACCUGCAUCCACCAGUAGAAUGAAUCUCCAUAGUGUAUAAAUCUAAAUUAAUAAUUUCUAAUGGUCUUCUAUCCCUCCAAGAUUUACUAGUGUGAAAAGAAUCCAUAAGUUGCUUUCUUAAACACAUAUCACAAAUUCUGUCAGUAUAUCUGAUAUCGGUAGCCCAUCAACCAUUCUUCUACUAGCUAAAAAUUUUAAACUGUCAAAAUUUAAAUGAUUAAAUUGCAUAUGCCAUAGUCAAUUACUGUCAUCUAUCACUGUACUCAGACAAAAAAAUUUUGGUAUUUAAAUUCAAUGGAAAUAAGUGAUUUGGAGUUAUUAACACAUUCGCAAUCAUUCCAUUUGUUUUAUCAAAAAUAGUGCAAGUACCAUUUUUGAUAUGAAUGUCAUAUUUCUUUUUAGACAAUUGACCUAUACUCAACAAUUAUAAUGUAGCUCAGGAACAUAAAAACAUCAUAAAUAAAAUCAGCAACUCUAUUUUUUCAAGCUGAUAGGGAUUUUUUUUCAAAUUUAACUUCACCACAGAUAGAUUCAUCAAACUCAAUAUAUGAUUCUUUCUUACUAGAAAUAUGGUUACUAUAGUCGGUGUCCAAAUACUAUUUAUUUUUAUCAAAUACAUCAAUAGCAUUACUGUGACGGCCCCACCUUCCCCUAGGGCGUACCCUAGGGUUCGGCGGGUCGCCUGUCCAACUCUCGUCAGGACUCACUCACUCAUAUCUCACUCAUACAUCCAUAAACAAUAAAUAACAUUGCAAAUCAAACUUAUAAUAUACAUCGAUGCUCAAAUCCAGAUACAAGGUUUCUACAUACCAAAAUACUUCAAAGUAUUUACAAUUCGAGUACAAUCAACCCUAGUCAGGUACUAGCACGAGUACAAAUUCAAAAUUGAAAAACAACUAGACUACGCUAGUCGAUACAUGUCUCACGCCUCGCUCAUACCCCCUGUAAGGAAAACAAAUGGAGUGGAAUGAGAUAAAAUCCCAGUGAGGUUCCAAAUAGCAAGUUGACCAUUAUUUAAAGGUACACGUAUCAACGUAGCAAAAGAUAGCGAGUAUAACAAGUUCAAAAAAGGGAACACUAACACUUCAAGUAGCAAAUUUCCAAAUGAACGAGUGUAAAGUGCUUUUGGAUUUCAAAAGAAACAAUAAUCCAAUAAGCAAUAAUCAUUUCCAAGUAUAAGGAUACGGAUGGCUUUCAGGAGCCAAGUUCCCAUUGCUUCACCAGAGUUUGAUCAAAUAUUAGUUGACACUUCGUCAACUUUCAAGUAAAGUAACCAAUCCAGUAGAGCACCACUUAACUCCAAUCUUUAUCCGCCCGAAUUCCAAGAUAAACAUUGGUGGUAAUAUUCGAGUAUACUGAUUAGUUGAGGAGAUAACACUCCACUCGACAACACUAGAUACCCAUGGUUCAUUAUCUAAUCGACCAGGCCCUUGCCGGCUCGACUCGAUUAACUAGCCAAUAGGGUUUGAGUCCUCAAAAAAUUGAUGAAAUAACACUCCAAUCGACUGAAUCAAGAUAAAAGUACGGAGACGGGAAUGAGAGGUACCACCCACUCGGAUCGAGUGUGGUACAUACUGCCGCUCAGUACUUACAAGUCACGCACAAGUAUCUCAAAUCAAUUGCAACAAUAAACAAGUACAUAUCACAUUAAGGCAAGUGCGAUAAAGUACACCAUUACCUGAUCAUACCAAUCACAUAUCAUUCGAUCAUAUUGGUCAAGUAUUGAAAACCAGUGUUCAGUUCAAUCAGGUAUUUGGAAGCACUCACUAAGGUCUAGUGCAUCUCAAAAGUCACGUUCAGGUCCAACUCCUUGGUUGGAGUCCAAAUCUGCGGUAAAAUAUCAUUUAUGAAUGUAAAACUCUCUAAAGUUCGAAACAUAGGAGUUUCGUUUCAAGAAAAUCAAGUUAAUGCAACUCGUUUAAGUAGUAUUCACGAUACUUAUCAAAUGCCGAACAAUCAUGCUCGCUCUUAACCUUUGAAAACUUUGAAGCAAUUAUACUUUGAAAUACCAUUUGAGUCGAAGAAAUGGAGAAAACAUAUUUUUAUUAGUCGUAAUUUUCAUUUUUCCAAGGGUACAAGUUUCGGCUGAAUUAUAACUCAUAUACCUCGAUAAAAGAAGACGCAAAUAUCCUAGAUGGUUCACAUGGUAUUCGCCCUCAAGCCUUACUCGAUUCGCAAGUAUAUCUACCUAACCUCGAGCAUAAAUUUGGGCAGCACGCCCUUUGUAUUUACCUAUUUUCCAACCCUUUAGGCUUCAUUCUUUUUCUCAAUCAGUCCCAAAGUCACACACAAAAUAAUCUCAUUUCAAUAGCCGUUCAAUAGGUUCAAAGUCAUACAAGUACAAAAAUCAAGUUAGGAAAAAUGUCCGGAAAUGAAGUUUAAGUCCUAAAGCAAAAGACAGAUUUGACGUCGCUUAGCGUAUCGGACACAGCCGAAACUACACUUAUCGAAUUUGUGUGAAAUUUAUACUAUUUGAAACUAAGAGAAAGGGCUACAAUUUUGAUGAAUACCACUCAGUCUAGUUCGUAGUGUAUCCAGGUCAAAAUUUCAAAUUACAGAACCAGAAUCUCACAUUCGGGCUAGUUAACCGUACUAUGCGUAAUGACAAUAACUCAAAGCUACCGAAGUCGAUUGAGGCGUUUUUUAGGGCCGUUAGAAAGCUAAGUGAUAACGCUACAACUUCUAUGUUUUGGCCAAAGGCUAAUUCAGUACGGAUUAGGGUGAACAGACGGGAUCAAAUUGGUGAAAUGUCAAAACUGGUCACAAAGCUCUACCUAUGACAGUCAGGGUAUAUUUGUCUUUUCACAUGCUACAGUACUCAGAUUGAAUUGAACUUUUACAUGCAGAUAUAAAAUAUUAUUCUCUACAACUUUUAUGUUUUGUACUAAAUCUAAUUCGGCCUCCCUUAUGGUCAACCAGAACCGGACAGAACAGGGCAGAUUAGUUUCCAAUUUUUGGCUUUUGCACCUUUACUCUAUAGAAAUCCAUAUCUAACAAGUGCUCUAUCAUCAAACCCACCAAUUACUAACUCAAUAACAUCAAUUAAGAGGUAGAUAACUAUAAUUAAAGCUGAAAAUGUAAACCCUAGCUCCAUACCCAACAAAUCAAUCAAACUAACCGAUUAACCGUCAUAAACCAAGAAUAUGAGUUUCUAUUCACACUUAAACAAGAUUAAGGAAGAGUAAAGGGAUAGGCAGCCAUGGUACCAUCCAAAAGCUCCUUGGAGGUGAGAAAGACACCACUUUCUUCCAAAAAUUUCAGUACACGAAGCCUUCCAAGCACCAAAAGGUAAGUUUAAUCGGUUUGGUUUGGUUAAUUUUAACUCAACAAGGAAGAAUCAAGGUUGGAGGUAAAGUUGUUUUCUCUCUUUUCCCUCUCUUAUUUUCGACCAAGAUGGAAGAAAAAUGGAAGGGAAUGGAGCCAAGAUAGAAGAUAAGAAGGAAGGAAACUCAUUUGGUCAAAGGUCCAUGGAUUGCCAACAAGUGUCACCACAAGAUUCAAUCUUAAUUUUUUUUUUUUUCCUCCCUUUUUUUGGUCAAUAAUUUUGGCCCUAUGGAGGAGAUAUUUAGGGCCAAUUUUGUUGAAAUAAAAGUGAGAAGAUUAAGGUAAUAAAGUAGUGUUCAAGUGGUACAGUCACUCGGUAACAAACGGUACCCGUCGGUUCAACCCGUUUUUUCUUAAAUCGCGUAUACUAGAGUUUUAACUUAUAAUUCACUGACAUAUUAUUAUCAUUUCUAAUCACACACUUAAUAUCAUCUAAAACUCACUCUUAAUCACCAAAUUUGAUUCACUCUCCGUACCGGAUAGUCACACUACGGAUAGGCGUAAAAAUCUUAGUUUACCCUAACGAUGAAUGCAAAAGGGAAAACUCUUAAUUCUAUUCUUUAUUCUAAACAUUGGGGAUGUAAAUGAGUAGUAUAUAUUAUAAGGGAAAAAAUGCCAAAUAAAAAGAAAUUUUAAGAAAAUAUGAGGAAUUUUACAAUUCCAGUGGUUACAAUUAGGGUUUUGAUUCAAAAUGAAGGAAUUAAGAAAAUCGGUUAGUCACAAGUAAACUAGGAUUUUUGUUUAGACUUUAGGGUUUCUAGAAUUUAGGGUUUCUAGUUUUUAAAACAAAACAAUAUUUUAAAUAAAAAAAUCGUAAUAUUCUCUUGGAGACUAAACAACGAUAGUAUCCUAAAAGUUAGGUAUCACAAUCUCUCCUUCAUCAAAGAAUUUUGUCCUCGAAAUUCUAACUUGCACUAAUCAGAUCAAACAAUUCUCGAAAGCAGUCAAGUACUAAGAAUCUCCAAUCCUAUUUAUCAUUAAGCAACGAGCCACCAGGUAGUUAAACAAAUAACCAAAUGGAACAUGCAAAAGCGCUCGGUUCAACCAACUAGCUCUGAGUUGAAAAUAAAGUCUUAGAUGUUUGAAAAAUUCAGAACAUGGCUUAGGCUCAAGUCGGAAGUUUUACCCCUAGCGGUGCUGGACAACACAACAAGUUAGCACAACAGCUAUACUUCGCCAAAGAGUAUUAGUUCAAAAUAUCAUCCCUGGUGGUGUUGGACAACACAACAGGCAUGCCUCGCUAGAAAAAUGGCGCUACUUGAAAACACAACAGACGAUGCCUCACCAGAGAGGUUCAGUUCAACCGCUACAGAAGAGUAGUAGCCGGUUUACAACCACACAAGUACGAAUAAGUUCAAAAGUAAGGUCAAAAGCAGGGUUCAAACAAAUAAGUUCAAAAGCAGAGCCAAAUACUACAGGUUCAAGGAGCACGAUUACGAAUAAAAACUCUCUCGCCUAGCCUAUGUACAGCGAUUUACCUUCUCAAGUAGUCAUAGAAUUUAAGUCCACUUACAGCUCACAUACGAAUCAAGCUACUUGUUCAUGCGUAAAAGAGAUACCCUAUAUUCAAGCAAGUCAGGUCAUUAAGUGUACGUAAGAGCACACUCGUCUAAACAGGUUCAAGUUUCAAGUGAACUCAGCCUGGUUAGUCUCCGACGGUUCAAAGUCAGUCUCAGGCAGUUCAAGUAGUUUAAAUCCCAACACUUACAAAACGGGUGGUGCCAACCUUAAUCAAACAAGAAGACUAGAAGAAGGAUGCAAAAUCAAAAGUUUUCUCAACAAUUUCGGCCACCACCAUAGUCUAUCAAAACCCAAGUCAAACACUUAUUGGACAAGUCCAAGUCCUUAUUUCAAUCUCCUCAUUCAGUUAAGUCUCGAGUAUAAUACAAAAUCUUCUGCGCUUUAACCUAUGCCAUUACAACUUAUCUCAAACUCAAUUAUAAUUUCUAUUCACAUCAUCAUACAUUAAACCAUGUUCCGUCCAAAAUUCACGAGAAUUUUCUCAGGAAAAGUAUCGAGUACUCAAGUACAAGAAUUCAAACUAAGAAACUUCACGACUCAGACCAUACGCUCUCAACGAAAAUCAACAAAGUCAUAUCUUACGCAUAUCACUUUCAAGAUUCACAACUUACGCUCCAAAAGAGCACUUAACUUACAAAUCAAUCCCACAGUCUGGCAUCCUAAACUUUAAGUUUAGGAUACACUACAGAGAUCUGAAACCUAAGCUCUGAUACCACCUGUGAUGCCCUCACCUUCUCCUAGGGCGUACCCCAGGGUUUGGCGAGUAGCCUGCCCAACUCUUACCAGGACUCACUCACUCAUAUCUCACUCAUACAUCUAUAAACAAUAAAUAACAUUGCAAAUCAAAACUUAUAAUAUACAUCGAUGCUCAAAUCCAGAUACAAAACUUCUACAUACCAAAAUACUUCAAAGUGUUUACAAUUCGAGUACAAUCAACCCUGGUCGGGUACUAGCACAAGUGCAAAUUCAAAAUUCAAAAACAAUUAGACUAUGCUAGUCGAUACAUGUCUCACGCCUCGCUCGUACCCCCUGUAAGGAAAACAAAUGGAGUGGAAUGAGCUAAAAGCCCAGUGAGCUUCCAAAUAGCAAGUUGACCAUUAUUUAAAGGUACACGUAUCAACGUAGCAAAAGAUAGCGAGCAUAGCAAGUUUAUAAAAGUAAACACUAACACUUCAAAUAGCAAAUUUCCAAAUGAACGAGUGUAAAGUGCUUUUCGAUUUCAAAAGAAACAAUAAUCCAAUAAGCAAUAAUCAUUUCCAAGUAUAAGGAUACAGAUGGCUCUAAGAGCCAAGUUCCCAUUGCUUCACCAGAGCUUGAUCAAAUAUUAGUUGACACUCCAUCAACUUUCAAGUAAAGUAACCAAUCUAGUAGAGCACCACUUAACUCAAAUCUCCGUCCACCAACCAAACCCCUUAUUGGACCCAAACUCCAAGAUAAACACUGGUGGUAAUACUCGAGUAUACCGAUUAGUCGAGAAGAUAACACUCCACUCGACAACACUAGAUACUCAUGGUUCAUUAUCUAAUCGACCAGACCCUUGUCAACUCGACUCGAUUAACUAGCCAAUUGGGUUUGGGUCCCCAAAAAGUCGAUGAGAUAACACUCCAAUCGACUGAAUCAAGAUAAAAGUACGGAGACGGGAAUGAGAGGUACCUCCCACUCGGAUCGAGUGUGGUACAUACUGCCGCUCAGUACUUACAAGUCACGCACAAGUAUCUCAAAUCAAUUGCAACAAUAAACAAGUACAUAUCACAUUAAGGCAAGUGCGAUAAAGUACACCCUUACCUGAUCAUACCAAUCACAUAUCAUUCGAUCAUAUUGGUCAAGUAUUGAAAAUCAGUGUCCAGUUCAAUCAGAUAUUUGGAAGCACUCACCAAAGGUCUAGUGCAUCUCAAAAGUCACGUUCAGGUCCAACUCCUUGGUUGGAGUCCAAAUCUACGGUAAAAUAUUAUUUACGAAUGUAAAACUCUCUAAAGUUUGAAACAUAGGAGUUUCACUUUAAGAAAAUCAAGUAAAUGCAACUCGUUUAAAUAGUAUUCACGAUACUUAUCAAAUGCCGAACAAUUCAUGCUCGCUCUUAAACCUUUGAAAUUUUGAAGCAAUUAUACUUUGAAAUACCAUUUGAGUCAAAGAAAUGGAGAAAAAGUAUUUCUAUUAAUCGUAAUUUUCAUUUUUCCAAGGGUACAAGUUUCGGCCGAAUUCUAACUCAUAUACCUCGAUAAAAGAAGACGCAAAUAUCCUAGAUGGUUCAUGUGGUAUUCGCUCUCAAACCUUACUCGAUUCGCAAGUAUAUCUACCUAGCUCUCGAGCGUAAAUUUGGGCAGUACGCCCUUUGUAUUUACCUAUUUUUCAGCCCUUUAUGAUUUCAUUCUUUUCCUCAAUCAGUCCCAAAGUCACACACAAAAUAAUCUCAUUUCAAUAACCGUUCAAUAGGUUCAAAGUCAUACAAGUACAAAAUCAAGUUAGGAAAAAUGUCCGGAAAUGAAGUUUAAGUCCUAAAGCAAAAGACAGAUUUGACGUCGCUUAGCGUAUCGGACACAGCCGAAACUACACUUAUCGAAUUUGUGACAGUCCCACUUUCCCCGAAGGCGAACCAAAGAGGUUAGCGGACCGCCUGCCCAACUCUCGCCAGGACUACGGAGUCAGAUCACACAAACCAUAUAUUGCGCACGAUCAAACCCCAAGAAAAGUAACAAUUAAAAACACUAAGUUACAAUACAUCUUACCAACUCGUGUAGGGAAAUAGGACAUCGAUUGAACACUCACCAAAACCCUAGAAGCGUAACAUCUCAAUGAAUACACUUAACAGACAAGACUAAAUACUUAUAUAUGUAUUUACAUCAGAGUUUUCAACAUUUUAACUUGAAGUACAAGCCAAAGGGUUCAUACUAGUCAAAAUACAAUUAGGGUUUCGGUUACAAAGGAACUUAACAAAAUAACGUAUACAUUAGCUCGACCCUUUUCUUCCAAAACCGUGGUUUCAAAAUUUGUCCCAUGUAAGGAAAACAAAGAUAACGGAAAGGGGAUGAACUUACGCUCAAUGAGGUACCAAAAUAAUAGCAAAUAAGAAACGUGAAACUUAAUAUUCAAUUAGUCACAUAUACGAAUCAAAUAAAGCAAUGAACAAACACCAUAGAUAGAAAGGAUACGGGUGACUUUCAGGAGCCAAAUUCCCAUUUGCUUCACCAAAACUUGAUUGAAAUAAUAGUUGACACUCUGUCAAAGCUAAAGGAGUAACCAAUACCGUAGACUCCACUUUCUCCAAUUCCUUCCACCUCACAUACCUCUACCGGCCCGAACUCCAAUCAGUUCAGAAAUGGUAAUAUUCGAGUAUACCGGAAUCAAGAGUCUCAAUACCCAAAGAUUCCAAACAGACUACCGUGGUUCGUUAUCUAAUCGACCAGGCCCUUGCCGGCUCGACUCGAAUAACUUAGCCACAGGAUUUGAGUUCAGAGGUCACAGAAAGGUCGUUGGAUACAAGCUUCCAAACGAUGUCCGAACAGAUACAGAUACAGAUAACAGAUUCAAAUUCGCACAGUAAAUUGGCAUAUGAACAGGCAAGAGAACGAGUGUGAUAAAGUACACACUUGUCUCAAACAGAAUAAACAGAUAGUACAUUCGUUCGUAUCACAGAUUGCAUAUACAGACCCUAAGUUAAACAACAAGUAAAGGGAGUGGUACACUCACCAGUUCAAGUAAAACAAUUUCAAACGUUCCCCCCCCGAAGUACUUCCAGGAUCACCAGCACGUCCUAAAAUAAUCAAAAUAAACAAUUAUAUGGUUCCUAUGGGAACGAUAUUCACAAAUGAAACUCAACUAUGAAUCGUAUGCCUAACCCAACAAACUACAAAUGCAGGGGUGUAAAAGCGUGAUUUUGGAAACAAAAGUAACGAGAGGACCUAGGGUUUGAACGACCCAAAAGCCCUUCAUUUCUUUUAAAAGGCAACUCAAAGCUAAAGAGGCUAAACGGCUUAGAAAAUUGGACAGCAUUUUCCCUAAAUUUGCUUACUUUUCCAGCCAUCAUGGCUUUAUUUUUCCUCAAAUCAGCCCCAAUGUCACACACAAAAUAAUCUCAUUUCAAUAGUCAUUCAAUAGGCUCAAAGUGGUACAAGUACAAAUUCAAACUAGGAAAAUGUCCGGAAAGGAAAACAGGUUUGACGUUACUUUGCGUAACGGAUACAACGGAGGCUACGCUUAUCGGAUUGGAAUGCAAUUCAUACUGUUUUGAAGCUAAGACAAAGGCUUAUAACUUUGAUGAAGACCACUCAGUCCAAUUCGUAGUGUAGUUUGGUCAAAAGUGCAAUAUACGAAACCAGAAUCUCACAAACAGGUUAGCUAACCGUACUAUGGUUAAACGACAAUAACUCAGGCUAGCAAAGUCCGAUUGAGGUGUAUCUUAUGAAGUUUCGAAGCCAAGACAUAUACCUACAUUUCUUAUGAAGACCUCCAAAGCCAAAUCAUGCAUUUUCAUGAUAAAAAAUGGAAGUUCCUAGGAAAAUAGAAAUCUGAGCGCGAAACAGGGUUCAUGGACAGUCAAGGGUAUUUUAGUCAUUUCACAAGAUACAGUACUAGGAUCGAGCUGAAAUUUUGUAGGUAACUAGUUUACACCAUUUUCUACAACUUUAAUGUUUUGGCCAAAAUCUAAUUCGGUAAGGAUCAGGGUGAAAAGUCACAGUCAAAUUGGGUGAAAUGACAAUGCUGUCCACCGAACUUUUACCUAUGGUAGUCUGGGUAUUUCUGUCUUUCCACAGGCUACGGAGCUCGGAUUAGGCUGAAAAUUUAUAGAAAACUAUAAAACAUCAUUUUCUACAACUUUCAUGUUUUAAUCCAAGGCUGAUUCCGCCUCUAACCUAGCCGAACAGAACCAGCCAGAACAGGGGUGAAUUGAAACCCUAAUCUGGAAAUUUCGGUACAAAGCGGAAAUUUUUCGCAAAUAACUACAAUUUACGCAUCAAAACUUCAUUGUAGACCAUUCCAAGCCAUCAUCCAUGGCCAUGCAAUAAUAAACAUAUAAAAUAGAAAAAAAAUCAUGAAUAAAAUAAAAUUCACCAAUCUCUACCAAAAAUCAAGAAAUCUUCCACCAAAUCGCAUCUUUAACCAACACAAGUCAUUAAUUUGACAUUAUCAAGACUAAAGAAAGAAUUUCCUAGCUACUCACCUUGCAACCUCAAGAAAAUAAGCAACUUAGCACCAAUUUCUUUCAAACAACUUCACCAACAACCUUACUACUACUAAACUAAGGGUUUUUAUGGAGGAAAUUCAAGUUUAAUCGGUUGGAUUGAGAGAUUGAGCAAGAUUAGAGGCAAGAGAGUUGAGAGUUUUUUUCUUUUCUUCCUACAGAAGGCCGGCCAAGAAGCUUCAAAAUGAAGAUGAUUUUGUGUCCAAAUUAGAUAUUUAGUAAAGGUAAUGAAUAGUAGUCAAGGUCAAGAUUGAACCACCAAGUGACACUUGUCACCCUUAUUAAUGCAACUGUAUCCUUUUGUCUCUCUAAUGGUAAUCCAUCUAGGUAACAUCUAAUUAUCCCUUAACACCUAGUAAAUUAAUCCCUGUAUACAAAACGUAAUCUAAUUGGUCGAAUUUAUCGCGCUUAACGCCACUAGUGGGUCCCACGUCCAAUAUACACUCUUUAUUUCUCAUGAACUAAUAUAGACUAGAAAAUAGUUUAAAAACUAUGUUUACUUAUAAAAUCUCAGAAAAAUAAAUAUAAUAUGUAGUAUAAUGACGAAAAAUGCAGGUGAGGGAAUAAAAUAAAUAAUAUAUAAAAUUAGAAAAAUUUACGGGUCCUCACAGAAUUUGUGUGAAAUUUAUACUGUUUCGAAACUAAGAGAAAGGGCUACAACUUUGAUGAAGAUCACUCAAUCCAGUUCGUAGUGUAUCCAGGUCAAAAUUUCAAAUUACAGAACCAGAAUCUCACAUUCGGGAUAGUUAACCGCACUAUGCGUAAAUGACAAUAACUCAGGCUACCGAAGUCCGAUUGAGGCAUUUUCAGGGCCGUUGGAAAGCUAAGACUACAACUUCUGUGUUUUUCAGUACGGAUUAGGGUGAACAGAUGCGAUUAAAUUGGUAAAAUGUCAAAACUGGUCACAAAACUCUACCUAUGGCAGUCAGGGGUAUAUUUGUCUUUUCACAUGCUAUAGUACUCAGAUUGAGCAGAAAUUUUACAUGCAGUUAUAAAAUAUCAUUCUCCACAACAUUCAUGUUUUGUACUAAGCCUAAUUCGGCCUCCCUCAUGGUCAACUAGAACCGGACAGAACAGGGCAGAUUAGUUUCCAAUUUUUGACUUUUGCACCUUUACUCUAGAAAUCCAUAUUUAACAAGUGCUCUAUCAUCAAACCUACUAAUUACUAACUCAAUAACAUCAAUUAAGAGGUAGAUAACAUUAAUUAAAGCUGAAAAUGUAAACCCUAGCUCCAUACCCAACAAAUCAAUCAAAACUAACCGAUUAACCGUCAUAAACCAAGAAUAUGAGUUUCUUUUCACACUUAAACAAGAUUAAGGAAGAGUAAAGGGAUAGGCAGCCAUGGUACCUUCCAAAAGCUCCUUGGAGGUGAGAAAGACACUGCUUUCUUCAAAAAUUUCAGUACACCAAGCCUUCCAAGCACCAAAAGGUAAGUUUAAUCUGUUUGGUUCGGUUAAUUUCAACUCAACAAGGAAGAAUCAAGGUUGGGGGUGAAGUUGUUUUUCUCACUUUUCCCUCUCUUAUUUUCGGCCAAGAUGGAAGAAAAAUGGAAGGGAAUGGAGCCAAGAAGAAAGAUAAGAAGGAAGGAAACUCAUUUGGUCAAAGGUCCAUGGAUUGCCAACAAAUGUCACCACAAGAUUCAAUAUUAAUUUUUUUCUUUUUCCUCCCUUUUCUUGGUCAAUAAUUUCGGCCCUAUGGAGGAGAUAUUUAGGGCCAAUUUUGCUGAAAUAAAAGUGAGAAGAUUAAGGUAAUAAAGUAGUGUUCAAGUGGUGCACUCACUCGGUAACAAACGGUACUCGUCGGUUCAACCCAUUUUUUCUUAAAUCGCGUAUACGAGAGUUUUAACUUAUAAUUCACUAAUUUAUUAUCAUCAUUUCCAAUCACACACUUAAUAUCAUCUAAAACACACUCUUAAUCACCAAAUUUGAUCCACUCUCCGUACCGGAUAGUCACACUACGGAUAGGCGUAAAAAUCUUAGUUUACCCUAACGAUGAAUGCAAAAGGAAAAAUAUUUAAGAAAAUGAGUAGUAUAGCUAUUAUAAGGGAAUAAAUGCCAAAUAAAAAGGAAUUUUAAGAAAAUAUGAGGAAUUUUACAAUUCCAGUGGUUACAAUUAGGGUUUCGAUUCAAAAUAAAGGAAUUAAGAAAAUCGGUUAGUCACAAGUAAACUAAGGUUUUUGUUUAGACUUUAGGGUUUCUAGUUUUUAAAACAAAACAAUGUUUUAAAUAAAGAAAUCGUAAUAUCCUCUUGGAGACUAAACAACGAUAGUAUCCUAAAAGUUAGGGUAUCAGAAUCUCUCCUUCAUCAAAGAAUUUCGUCAUCGAAAUUUUAAAUUGCACUAAUCAGAUCAAACAAUUCUCGAAAGCAGUCAAGUACUAAGAAUCUCCAAUCCUAUUUAUCACUAAGCAACGAGCCACCAAGUAGUUAAACAAAUAACCAAAUAGAACAUGCAAAAGCGCUCGGUUCAACCAACUAGCUCUGAGUUGAAAAUAAAGUCUUAGAUGUUUGAAAAAUUCAGAACAUGGCUUAGGCUCAAGUCGGAAGUUUUACCCCUGGCAGUGCUGGACAACACAACAAGCUAGCACAACAGUUAUAUUUCGCUAAAGAGUUUUAGUUCAAAAUAUCAUCCCUGGUGUGCUGGACAACACAACAGGCAUGCCUCGCUAGAAAAAUGACGGUGCUUGAAAACACAACAGGCGAUGCCUCACCAGAGAGGUUCAGUUCAACCGCUAUAGAAGAGUAGUAGCCGGUCUACAACCACAUAAGUAUGUAUAAGUUCAAAAGCAGGGUUCAAACAAAUAAGUUCAAAAGCAGAGCCAAAUACUUCAGGUUCAAGGAGCACGAGUACGAAUAAGAACUCUCUCGCCUAGCCUAUGUCCAGUGAUUUACCUUCUCAAGUAGUCAUAGAAUUUAAGUCCACUUACAGCUCACAUACGAAUCAAGCUACUUGCUCAUGCGUAAAAGAGAUACCCUAUAUUCAAGCAAGUCAGGUCAUUAAGUGUACGUAAGAGCACACUCGUCUAAACAGGUUCAAGUUUCAAGUGAACUCAGCCUGGUUAGUCUCCGACGGUUCAAAGUCAGUCUCAAGCAGUUCAAGUAGUUUAAAUCCCAACACUUACAAAACGGGUGGUGCCAACCUUAAUCAAACAAGAAGACUAGAAGAAGGAUGCAAAAUCAAAAAUUUUCUCAACAAUUCCGGCCACCACCAUAGUCUAUCAAAACCCAAGUCAAACACUUAUUGGACAAGUCCAAGUCGUUAUUUCAAUCUCCUCAUUCAGUUAAGUCUCGAGUAUAAUACAAAAUCUUCUGCGCUCUAACCUGUGCCAUUACAACUUAUCUCAAACUCAAUUAUAAUUUCUAUUCAGAUCAUCAUACAUUAAACCAUGUUCCGUCCAAAAUUCACGAGCAUUUCCUCAGGAAAAGUAUCGAGUACUCAAGUACAAGAAUUCAAACUAAGAAACUUCACGACUCAGACCAUACGCUCUCAAACGAAAAUCAACAAAGUCAUAUCUCACGCGUAUCACUUUCAAGAUUCACAACUUACGCUCUAAAAGAGCACUUAACUUAAAAAUCAAUCCCACAGUCCGACAUCCUAAAUUUUAAGCCUAGGAUACACUACAAAGAUCUGAACCCUAAGCUUUGAUACCAUCUGUGAUGCCCGCCACCUUCCCCUAGGGCGUACCCCAGGGUUCGGCGGGUCGCCUGCUCAACUCUCGCCAGGACUCACUCACUCAUAUAUCCAUAAACAAUAAAUAACAUUGUAAAUCAAACUUAUAAUAUACAUCGAUGCUCAAAUCCAGAUACAAAACUUCUACAUACUAAAAUAUUUCAAAGUGUUUACAAUUCAAGUACAAUCAACCCUGGUCGGGUACUAGCACGAGUACAAAUUCAAAAUUAAAAAAUAACUAGACCACGCUAGUCGAUACAUGUCUCACGCCUCGCCCGUACCCCUGUAAGGAAAACAAAAGGAGUGGAAUGAGUUAAAAUCCCAGUGAGGUUCCAAAUAGCAAGUUGACCAUUAUUUAAAGGUACACGUAUCAACGUAGCAAAAGAUAGCGAGCAUAACAAGUUCAUAAAAGUGAACACUAACACUUCAAGUAGCAAAUUUCCAAAUGAACGAGUGUAAAGUGCUUUUGGUUUUCGAAAGAAACAAUAAUCCAAUAAGCAAUAAUCAUUUUCAAGUAUAAGGAUACGGAUGGCUCUCGGGAGCCAAGUUCCCAUUGCUUCACCAGAGCUUGAUCAAAUAUUAGUUGACACUCCGUCAACUUUCAAGUAAAGUAACCAAUGCAAUAGAGCACCACUUAACUCCAAUCUCCGUCCACCACCCAAACCCCUUACCGGGCCCGAACUCCAAGAUAAACACUGGUGGUAAUACUCGAAUUCACCGAUUAGUCGUGAAGAUAACACUCCACUCGACAACACUAGAUACCCAUGAUUCAUUAUCUAAUCGACCAGCCCAUUGCCGGCUCGACUCGAUUAACUAGCCAAUGGGGUUUGGGUCCUAAAAAGUCGAUGAGAUAACACUCCAAUUGACUGAAUCAAGAUAAAAGUACGGAGACGUGAAUGAGAGGUACCUCCCACUCGGAUCGAGUGUGGUACAUAUUGCCGCUCAGUACUUACAAGUCAUGUACAAGUAUCUCAAAUCAAUUGUAACAAUAAACAAGUACAUAUCACAUUAAGGAAAGUGCGAUAAAGUACACCCUUGCCCGAUCAUACCAAUCACAUAUCAUUCGAUCAUAUUGGUCAAGAAUUGAAAACCAGUGUCCUGUUCAAUCAAGUAUUCGAAAGCACUCACCAAAGGUCUAGUGCAUCUCAAAAGUCACGUUCAGGUCCAACUCCUUGGUUGGAGUCCAAAUCUGCAGUAAAAUAUCAUUUAUGAAUGUAAAACUCUCUAAAGUUCGAAACAUAGGAGUUUCGCUUGAAGAAAAUCAAGUUAAUGCAACUCAUUUAAGUAGUAUUCACGAUACUCAUCAAAUACCGAACAAUUCAUGAUCGUUCUUAAACCUUUGAAACUUUGAAGCAACUAUACUUUGAAAUACAUUUGAGUCGAAGAAAUGGAGAAAACGUAUUUCUAUUAGUCGUAAUUUUCAUUUUUCAAGGGUACAAGUUUCGGGUGAAUUCUAACUCAUAUACCUCGAUAAAAGAAGAUGCAAAUAUCCUAGAUGGUUCACGUGGUAUUCGCUCUCAAGCCUUACUCGAUUCGCAAGUAUAUCUAUCUAGCCAUCGAGCGUAAAUUUGGGCAGCACGCCCUUUGUAUAUACCUAUUUUCCAACCCUUUAUGGCUUCAUUCUUUUUCUCAAUCAGUCCCAAAGUCACACACAAAAUAAUUUCAUUUCAAUAGCCGUUCAAUAGGCUCAAAGUCAUACAAGUACAAAAUCAAGGUAGGAAAAAUGUCCGGAAAUGAAGUUUAAGUCCUAAUCCAAAGACAGAUUUGACGUCGCUUAGCGUAUCGGACACAGCCGAAGCUACACUUAUCGAAUUUGUGUGAAAUUUAUACUGUUUUGAAACUAAGAAAAAGGGCUACAAUUUUGAUGAAAACCACUCAGUCCAGUUCGUAGUGUAUCCAGGUCAAAAUUUCAAAUUACAGAACCAGAAUCUCACAUUCGGGCUAGUUAACCGCACUAUGCGUAAAUGACAAUAACUCAGGCUACCGAAGUCCGAUUGAGGAGUUUUUAAGGCCGUUGGAAAGCUAAGACAUAGCACUACAACUUCUGUGUUUGGCCAAAUGCUAAUUCAGUACGGAUCAGGGUGAAUAGACGUGAUCAAAUUGGUGAAAUGUCAAAACUGGUCACAAAGCUCUACCUAUGGCAGUCAGGGGAUAUUUUGUCUUUUUACAUGAUACAGUGCUCAGAUUGAGAUGAAAUUUUACAUGAAGCUAUAAAAUGUCAUUCUCUACAACUUUCAUGUUUUGUGCUAAGCCUAAUUCGGCCUCUCUCAUGGUCAACCAGAACCGGACAGAACAGGGCAGAUUGGUUUCCAAUUUCUGGCUUUUGCACCUUUACUCUAGAAAUCCAUAUCUAACAAGUGCUCUAUCAUCAAACCCACCAAUUACUAACUCAAUAACAUCAAUUAAGAGGUAUAUAACUAUAAUUAAAGCUGAAAAUAUAAACCCUAGCUCCAUACCCAACAAAUCAAUCAAAACUAACACUUAAACAAGAUUAAGGAAGAGUAAAGGGAUAGGCAGCCAUGGGACCUUCCAAAAGCUCCUUGGAGGUGAGAAAGACACCGCUUUCUUCCAAAAAUUUCAGUACACCAAACCUUCCAAGCACCAAAAGGUAAGUUUAAUCGGUUUGGUUCGGUUAAUUUCAACUCCACAAGGAAGAAUCAAGGUUAGAGGUGAAGUUGUUUUUCUCUCUUUUCCCUCUCUUAUUUUGGCCAGCGGGUACUGCGAGGGAAACAGGGUGGGGUAGGAUAGGAGGAGUUUUUUGGCACCCCCGCCUCGUUGCCAUCCUAACCAUAAUAGGUAUAGACCUUCUUAGUAUCUUUUGCCUUUUCUGAAGAACUUGUAUUUUAGCCACGACUCCCUAAAAAUUUGUAAUUACCACUGAGAACUCCUCCUUUUUUGUGAAAUUGGAUAUCUUACAUCAACUUUCUUUAAGGUCUAUUGCAUUAACAAUUUUUUAAAGCUUUUCUCUUUUUGAAUAGUAUCAUUCUUUUCUAUGCUGUAAAUUCAAAUUCAAAUUACACUAGUAACUCAUUUUGGGCCACCUAGUUAAUGAAAACUGAGUAUUUAUGAAUUUCUUUGCCACCAAGCAAAGUUGUUGUCUUUUUACAUUACACAAAAAGGACUCUCAUACAACUUCAGAAAUAUCAAAAGUUUGUUGUUGAAAAUAUACAAGUUUAUAAGUUGUAAAAAAUAAAAUGUACUCGUAACUUAAAUUAUUAGUAAAUGACUAAAUAAUUAUGAGUUGAGGUUUGGAUAUUGGUUAUCUCAUCCAACUUUGCAUAUAUGCGGGUUGUUAAAUUCAUGAGUAAAAAAUUACAUCCCAUAUUAGUUCGAGAAAUGAAGAAAGAGCACUUAAUAUGUAAGUAAGGACUCGAGACCUAAUAGUUUAAGUUUUUAUAUCAGAGUUAGGUUCCCAAUUUACAUAUUGGACUUUUAGAUGGGUUCUCUCGAGGUAUUUUCUCCCUAACAAGUGGUAUCAAAGUUUCAAGUUGCGAGACUGGACUCAUGGGCAAUGAAUUUUCUCGAGGUUGGAUCGGUGAAAUUCUUUUCUUAGUAGCGGAUCGAAGUGCCAAGAAGUUGGACUGGUGUUGGAUUAGGUGGCUAUGGGUUUGGCAGGGGUCCAGUUGGUGUUAGACCAAGAAAUCAAGGGUUGGCAGGGUUCAGAAUUCAAUUUAAAUAUUGAAGAAGAGCGGUCAAUGAUUGGGAGAAGAGAUGACCUUAGAUCUUAAGGGGGAUUCACGUUAAGUAUUAAAGUGGGUUUGGAAAAAGAGCUUGUAAACUUGGGUUCAAUGGGUUACUCAUAAGGGAGAUAUUGUUAGGUUCAUGAAUAAAAAAUUAUGUCACACAUUGGUUCAAAAAAUGGAAAAAGAGUACUUAAUAUGUAAGUAAGGGUUCGAGACCUAAUAACUUAAGUUUUGGAUCAUAGUUGGGUUCUUGAUUUAUAUAUUGGAUUCUUUGAUGGGAUCUCUCGAAGUGUUUUCCCCAUUUUUGGAAAUUGAAAACCAUACCUUAACCUAAUUUUUCAAGUAGGUUUGACUAAUCUAACCAUUUUAAAAAUUAUGGGUUGGUUACCCUAUUUUUCAAUUUAGACCAAUUCGAUGUUCUUAAUUACCCGCUUUUUCGAUUCUUUUUAAACACCCCUAUCUACUACUACUACUUCAUGAAUUGGAUUCCAUGUGAUCAAUCUCCCUAACUAAAUGAUAUGACCAACAUUACUAACUAAUAAACUAACAGUACGUGGUUAAUAAACUAACCAAUUUGUCACUAGUUUUUUUUUACAAUGCCUCGUUUAAACCAAACUUCUCUAAUCUGGACAUACCUAACAUCUUUUUCAACUUGACAAAUGUUUUUGUCUUUAAAGCCUUCAUGAAAAUGUCUAUCACUUGCUUUUAAGUUCUGCAAUAAUAAAUCUCAAUCUCAUUCUCUCGAAUCAACUCACGUAGGAAAUUAAAUAAUACUUGAUAUCUAUGUAGUUGCUAUGCAUAUGGAAAAAUGGGUUAUUAGACAGCCCAAUUGUUGACUUACUAACAUAAUAAAAUUUUGUAGCAUAAACUUGUUUGUGUUGUAGAACAUCAAGCAUGCGACUCAACCACAAUGCAUGAGUUGCACUAUUAGCUACUGCAAUAUACUCUGCUUUUGCAUAGACAACGUUAUCAUUUGUUGCUUUUUCAAACUCUAAAAACCCCUCAAGAGCCAAUAAAAAAUGCAUAUCUUGAAAUAUUUGUUCUCUCAAUCGUAUCACCUAUUCAAUCACUGUUUGCAUAGCCAAAUAAUUCAAUUGGAUAAUUUCUUGAAUAAAAAAAUAUUAUCAUUAUGAAUACCUCCAAUAUACCUCAAAAUCUUCUUAUCCACCUAUAAAUGGGACUGACAUGAAUAUUCCAUAAACCUACUAAUCAAAUCAAUAGUAAAAUUGAUGUUUGAUCUCGUAGAUGUCAAAUAGUUCGAACUCCCAACCAAACUUUUAAAGUAGGCAGGAUCAACAUGUCCCUCAAUACCCUCCUUAGUCAAAUUCAACUUCAUUUUUCCUCAACUGGAGUUAGAAUUGGAUUAGUUGUAUCCAUCUUAAAUUUCUUUUGAAUAUCACAUGCAUAAUUCUUUUAAGACAUAAAAAUCCCACGAUGAGACUGAAAACUUCAAUCCCAAGAAAUAUAACAUGAGUCCCAUAUCUAUCAUUUCAGGCUGCUUAACCAUGGCCUUCCCGAACUUUGCAAUCAUUCUUGAAAUAUUUCAAGUAAAAAUCAAAUCGUCUAUAUAGAAGUACAUGUUAAGAAUAUCAACACAAACAAAAGAUUUAAUAUAUAAAUAUAUGUGUGUGUGUAUGUGCUCAUAUGGAUACUUCUAAAAACCACAAGUAAGAAAAUAGGAGUCGACUCUUGUAUACUAUGCCCUUGGGACUUGCUUCAAUCCAUACAAGACCCUCUUCAACCUAUAUACUUUAUUUUCCUAAUCUCUUCUAACAAAUCCUGCAGAUUGCUCUACAUAUACUUCUUCAUUGAAUAUUCCAUUCAUUAUCAUAUGAACUAUGUCAACCCUAUCAAUAGGUGCAAACACCUCUAAAUAGUCAAUUUCGGGUUUCUGCUUGUAGUCUUUCACCACUAAUCUGAUAGUUUACCUAUCAACCUCUUAAUUGGGCUUAAAUUUCGUCCUAUACACCCAUUUCACUCCAAUGGUUUUUUUACCAAUUGGAAGAGAAAUAAGCAUCCAGGUGUCAUUUUCUCAAUAGCAUGAAUUUCUUCAUCCAUUACUUUUACCUAAUGAUCAUCACGAUCUCCCUCCUCAUGUACUAUUGGGUCACAAUCUGCAAGUAAAGCAAAAUUAAUACAUAAUCGUACAUAUCUUCUUCAAAAAAGUAUUAUCUGGUGUAAUUACAUAAUCCUACAAAUGAGUUAACAUCUACCGCUAAUACUAUGGACAUCCAGUUAACUCAAUCUAUGAACCCUGAGCAACUAGAGAUGGCUAAAAAUCAAGAUUAACCUCCUCUUCCUGAUAAUUUAAAGUCACCUCUGCUGUCUUGAGAUCUCCAAUAAACCAGUCCCAAACACCUCUUUUAACAAAUGUCACAUCUCUACUCACUAUCACUUUUUCUGUCACAAGAUUAUAUAAUUUGUGUGCCCUAGAACUUCAUUAUAGCCAAUAAAUACACUACACUCUCUCUUGUUGUCAAGCUUCUUCCUCAACUAAUUAGGAAUAUGAGAAUAGGCAAUGCAACCAAAAAUUAUGAGAUGGUCAAAAAGGGCCUGCUACCACUCUAAACUUCUUUAGGGGUUUUUCUCAAAAUACUUCUAAUAGGAUAUUUGUUCAACAAAUAAAUAGUGCGGGGAACUACCUCUACCCAUAAGGACUUUGGCAUCUCUUUCCAAUUUUAACAUAUACCUUACCAUAUCCAUAACUGUCAUAUUAUUUCUUUCCACUGCCCUAUUUUGUUGUAAAGUGUACCGAGCAGUCAACUGAUAUUGUAUGCCAUUUUUCUCAAGAAAACUUCACAAACCAAAUAUUCCUAACCCCUUGUUCUCAAAAUGUUAAUCUAACAGCCACUUUGCUUCUCAACAAAAAUUUUAAAAAUCAUAAAAGACUCACAUGUAUCAAAGUUUUCUUCAAAAAAUAUAUCCAAUCCUUUCUACUAAAGUCGUUAAUAUAGAUAAUAAAAUACCUGCAUCCACCAGGAGAAGGAAUCUCCAUAGUGUAUAAAUCUGAAUUAAUAAUUUCUAAUGGUCUUCUAUCCCUCCAAGAUUUACUAUGUGAAAAGAAUCCAUAAGUUGCUUUCUUAAAACACAUAUCACAAAUUCUAUCAGUAUAUCUGAUAUCGGAUAGCCUAUCAACCAUUCUUCUAUUAGCUAAAAAUUUUAAACUAUCAAAAUUUAAAUGAUUAAAUUGCAUAUGCCAUAGUCAAUUACUGUCAUCUAUCACUAUACUCAGACAACAAAAAUUUGGCAUUUAAAUUCAUUGGAAAUAAGUGAUUUGGAGUUAUUAACGCAUUCGCAAUCAUUCCAUUUUUUUUAAUCAAAAAUAGUGCAAGUACCAUUUUUUAUAUGAAUGUCAUAUUUCUUUUUAGACAAUUGACCUAUACUUAACAAUUAUAAUGUAGCUCAGGAACAUAAAAAUAUCAUAAAUAAAAUCAGAAUCUCCAUUUUUUCAGGCUAAUAGGGAUUUUAUUUCCAAAUUUAACUUCACCACGGACAGAUUCAUCAAACUCAAUAUAUGAUUCUUUCUUACUAGAAAUAUGGUUGCCUAUUUUUUGAUGUUACAUGUGAUUUGAUUCCUAAUGAUAAACAACAAAUUUUAAUGUUUUUAUUUAAUGUAUGGGUUGCUAUUAAUAUUUUUUAUUUUCUAUUAUCACUUUUUGAUUAUUAAUUGGGUCUAAAUGUUACAAAAUAAUUAACCUUAAGAGAGGUUAGUGAAAAUUUUAAAACUUAGAGGGAAGCCAGUGAAAUAGUCAAAAACCUCAGGAGAGGUUUCUAACAUUAUCCCAUUGCUCAAUUGAGGCUACGGCUCUUUCUUACAAACUAGGAGGGGUUCACCACGCAAGUGCGUGGUGGAAAAUUUGAAAAUGUAUAUGCCCAGGCAUAGCGCGUUAAUGGAGUUUCGUAACAAAGUUGAUAACCAAGAAAUGUAAAACCACCGAAUGAAAUCAGACAAUAAUACAUAGAGCAUAUAAAUUGCUGUAAUGUAGCUGCAAUAAUUCAAAAUAGUUGCAUGCACUAAUAUUUUUAAAAGUGCAGAGUCUAAUAGUCAUCUGGCUAGAAACAGCUUAAAACUUAAAGCUAAGCGAACAAAAGCUUAGUUGUUGAUGUUAAGGCCAUUGAAGUUGACAUCAUUGAUGUUCAUGGCUUUAUCCGUAGCGUACGAAGUAAUUAUUUCAUAGGCUGCACAUUUGAUGCCGGAAAAUCUGGAAGAGGAAGGUCAAACGUAGAAUAGAUUUGUCUUUCCAUGUAAAGUGCACAUGAGGUACGAAGUUAUAUCAAUCCUGUGUUUGAAGAAACCAAAGGGAAAAAAUCAAUGUAAAGAGAAGAAAAAGGGAAGAAAAUAUUUAUGAAUGGAUAGUGAUCAGUAGGCACCUUUUCGUACAAAUAAUGGAGCUCAGCAGUUGAGUAGUUAAUUAACUUUUCAGCUUCCGUUCCCAUAGCAGUAGCAGCUAAUGAUCCGCUUGAAUCAGCAAUCGAAAUGGUAAUACAAGCUCUGUAAGGGAGAAGAGGGUAUAACUGUUAUAAAAAACUCUGGAUUGUAUGAAUUUAUUGAGUAAAGUGAAUGGAUUGAUUGAAUAACUUAAAAAACCUUGGUAAAAGUUCAAUGGUAGCCUGACAGUAUUCGCAUCUAACUAUCCAGGUGCCUGCAAAGCUGUUUGGUUGAUUACAUUGGGGGCAUGCCAUAUAGAAUAAUUUUUGGGGUCUAAAGGAAAUUUCAAUGAUUCCUCUAAUCCACGUAGUAUUUGUUCUCUGUAAAACAAUAAUAGUAAGGAUAGAAGGGAGGUAAACAUGAUUUAUGGAAUAUAAAUAAGAAUAAGAUUGCAAACUGUUGGAGUGCAGCACUAAUAUGAAGAAUUCUAUCACUGGUAACAGGAGGGAGAAGAACUCGUGGAUCAGUGUAACUUCCUCUAUCAACUAACUUGUCUAUCGCAAGUGCAUGGCUACGGUACUUGAUAGAUAUAAAAGGAAAAAAACGUUUCUUAAGCAGUGGAAUGUAAAUGGGAUAAUAGUGUAGCAUAUAUUUAAUACUUCUCACCAGUGAUCAAGAUGCAUUGCUUGUUGAGCAAAUGGAGCUACCAUAAUGGCUGAACAAUGACAAGUUGAGAAGCUCAGGUCUGAUCUCGAAAUAAAAGAAGUGUUAAUACUAACAGCUUUCAAACCAAUAGAUACAUUUAACGUUAUUUAGACAAAGAGGGUGAAGUAUAUAGCUACAAUUGUUUGUUGUGACAUUGACUCUUAUCGCAAUAAUGAUUGGAAAAUGGCGCCCAGGAGCUCUAAUGAUGGGACCAUCUAUUUCUUCAAAUUCAUUCUAGAGGGUUAGAAUCAUUGGUUUCAUACUGGGAAGAAAAAGAGAGCACAAGCUUUGUUAAUAAAUGCAUUUUGGUUUUAUAGAUUACGAUAGGAAAAUAACGAGAUGACCUAGGAAGGAUUUACCUUUGAUCAAUAAUCACAUAAUCUCGAGAAAUAGAGGGUGAUCUGUGAAAAGGUGUUGUUUUAGGAGGCAAAAUAUGGACAACAACUCCCAUGAUAUCUAACAUAGAUUGUAUAAAAGAAUAUAUUAGAAUACAAACGGUAAACUUUGCUGAGGGAAAAAAAUGGAUUGCGAAAGUUGUUACUUACUUAGCAAGUGACGGGUAUCAGCAAAGAUAUCCAACAUAGAAAAAGGGUUUAGGUGAAAAUAAAAAGGAAAUGAAGGAACAGGUUCCUGUAUUUCAUGUAUUAUGGUGUUCGGAGUAAGGAGCCAAUAGAACAGAUAUUCAUCAGUAUCAGCACAAGUUUGUGGCUGACGAACAGCAGUUCUAGAUAUGUAGUACUUUUUGAAAGGCAUAAGCAAGGUGAAAAACUAUUCAAUUAUAUCUUCAGCAGCAUAGACUAUAACUUGAAAUCCCUGGAAUAAGAAUAAAGUCAUGAUUUGAUGCAAUCUAACAGCCAUAACAGAAAAGAAAUAACCAUAUCAAUGUCACCUGGUCAUCUGCCAAUACAAACGUGCAAAGUAUUCGAUGAGCUGAGGAACUAUUUUUGGUAUGAGUGACUUCAAUUGCUCGGAGAAAAACACUCCAAUUUAGCAGAGAUGGAUCGAUAGCAGAUAAGGGAAUGUCAUUGGCUUCGAUGGUAAGAGGAUCUAUAAUGAAAUAGGAGACAGUAGAGGCUAAUUUUAAACAAAGGAAUGAAGUUAAACCAGAAACAAUAUCAUUUUGUAGAAAGAAUGCAAAAUAUAAAGUCAACGUAGAGAGGAAAUUAUUAACAAAUGACUGGAAAAGGUCAAAAGGUCGGGGAAGCAGAAGGAACAAGAAGACGUACAAGAUUACUGACGAAGAAGAUGAGGUAGAACCAACGGGGAACAAGAAGCAGAGCAAAAAGUAAUAGAAACUUGGUUGCAUUCGUAUAGUAAAAGUAACGUUAAUCAAAUGUCAUAUAUACUGCUAGGGAUGAAGUACGAACUGCAGAACUUAGGAUGCGCUGUCAAUAAUUUAGAAGAGAAAUAGGACUGAAUCUAAAAAGUAAAACUGAUACAUAAUAUUAGAUUACAGAUGCUUUAACGUUUGGUUGUUGAUAUCUGUAAUAGAUGUCUGCGUAGCGUUCUUUAACCUUUGGUUGUUGAUGUUACAUGAUCACUAUAUCUGUAUAAAAAAGGUAGAAAGGCUGCAUUCGCUUGUCGAGAGUCGUAGCAUUCAAAAGUAACUUUGAAUUGGUUCGCUUAGUUUUAAAGCCUAUAAGAAAAGUAGUGGAGAUGACUUGUGGAGGUCUGCAAAGAGCAGAAAAUAUUUAGCAGUUUGGAAAUUAUGUUUCGAUUGAGGUGAAGCUAUAUGUAACAGUGAAUAAGCCAUAUAAAUCCAUUAGACCAAGUUUCAAUGUAAUGUCUUAUUGUUUGUUUAUAAAUUGGUCGCUCAGUUGAAGGAUGCACAAGCUGUUAAGCCUAUUUCAAUUAUAAUAGUUCAUUGCUGCAAGGAAGCUGAAACAAGCUAGCAAACACAAGACGAUGGAAGUGAAAUUAUAAUAAAGUUAACUCCAACAAUGAACAGUACACAUCUAAAAAAAUUUGUUAUCAGAAGCUGUAGUAAAUGAGGAUGGCAAUAAACUAACGUUGAGAUGGAUGAGCUCAGGUGCAAACUAUAUAUCAGAUAGUUAACCGCAAACCUGAUUAUUUCAUUAAAUAAUGACUGUGUGGUACCAUGGAAAUAUCUUCUCAACUCCACUAUAAUAAAAAAUCAAGACUGCAAAUGUAGUUUGCGAUUCUGGAACAAAUACAAGAACAUCGUUAUGCUGCAAUUGGUGUCAGAAAACAAAGGAUCUCCAAUUUUUUUUGUGCCCGUUACCUUUAACUCCAAUUUAUAUAAUGUUAUGUCCCGUCUUGAUGAGAAUACUGGGAGUCUUCAUACCAUUCAAGAAGUGAUCAGUGAAUUUUGGGAUUUUCUAGUAGUGAUUGGAAACAGUUAGCACGGAAAGCUGACCAUGUAAAAGCAAGUGAAAUGGAAAGAAGGAAAGCGAACAUAAAAACAUCUUACCAGUGUGUUUGGAGUUGACAAGUUAAAGAUCUGAUAAAAGCAAUGUGAAUCAGAUAUGCAUUGACAGAAAUCUGGUUCUAACGACAAAGUCACUCUAUGUUGAUUAACCGAGCAUGUAUCAUCUAAGGUCAUUAAGCAUUCAAUGAGAAAGAAAUAACUACGUUGCAAAGGACUAUAUAAAUUAAGGCUAGAUAUGUACUGGCCUUGUUCAUGAUAAGUAGUAUUCUGCAAAAGAUUUGGUAAUAGAACCGUCUAAGGCAGGUAAACCUGUUACUAGAGUUCACAGAAAUGAAGAACAACGAAAAUAAGACGACCGGUAUGUCGAAGCAUUAGCAUAUCAUGCGUUUCAACGAUAUUGUCACGACAAUAUUCAUCCCAGCCAUCUUCAAACCAACCAUUAUUAACUGUGACAGGCCAACUUCGCAUUCCAUAUCUGAGAACGACGAUGUUUGCCUGGUGUUGAUUAAGUAAUGAUUGAACUGGGAAGGUAAAACCUGAAGUUUUCGAAUUUGAGCAAAUAAAGCGAGGCAAAUCGAUAUAAACAAUCUAUAUACAGAGAGACAGAAAGUUAUACUUGGAGAGGAAAAAAUGCCGUACCUGUCCUCUAUGGCUACAUCUAAAUAAAAAACAGUGGGGCUUGAAAUCAUUGUUAGGCAGCUGAAAAUUUGACAGAGAAGCGAGAGGACCUUGUGCCAUUAAACUGAUAGAAGAGCGUUAGACAAGAGGAAAUACCAGUGGUACAUAUAGGUAAAAAAGAUCAAGCGGAUGAAUGAGUUGAAGAUAUAAACAAGGAGUACAUGUUUGUAUAGAGCUGCAGCUUUUUCUGUCAGUUGUAUGUUACUUAAUUAUAGCACAUGACAUGGUCAAUAAAGAAGGCAUGAUAUAUAAAGAACUGAUGUCUUGCCGGUCAGGUAUUUUAUUGAUAUCAAUGUUUGUUGCAAUCUUUAGGCUGUCAUGUUUGCAAUAAUUUAAAAGCUGCAGAAGUAAAGACUGAGAAAUUUUUAAAGAGGAAAAAAGGUGAACAAACGAAUGAGCUGGAUUUGUAUAUAAACCAAUAUGUAUUUGUUAAACACAACGAAUCCAGAGGAAAACAAAGCAGUAUAAUGUUGAGAGCCUAACCAGCAAAAAGGAUAAAAAGUAGAUGAGUGACUUUUUCCUGAAAUGACAUGAGAUCACAAUAAAUGCAAAUAUUGUAAAUAUUUAUAUUUUUUGGUUGGUGUAUGGAUUAAUUGUACCUAGUAUUAGUAGCAGGAAAAAAUUAUUAUAUUUUCCAUGUAGAAGUGAAGGUUUAAUCGAAUUAUAUAAUAAGGCAUGGAAAAAGUUAAAUUGGUUAAGGAAGAAUAACAAGAAAGAAUAGGACAAAAGAAAUACAGCUUAAUUAGAUAAUUGAUAGCCAAUGAAGACAAUCAUCUGACAUAGCAGAUGCAAACGGUUCAAAGAGCUGCUUCAUUUACAUGUGCAAACAAAAGAAGAAAGUGUAUGGAGACAGUCAUAACCUCCAAAAUGAAGUUGGCAAAAGAUAACAACUUGGAUCAUUCAUAAACAACAUUUGUCCAGCAGAAUAAAAAAUGAGCAGCUAUGAUUUACAAAAACCAAAAAUAGCUAGUCUAUUUCUUGAACAUUGCAAUGGUUAUUCCAAUCUUGCCUUCUUUGGAGAGUCUUUUUCAGUACAUUCUGGCUGAAUUAGUUGUGAGCGCUGUUGAAUAAUUUGUCUCGCUUUCAUUAAAUUUGCUAAGAAGACAAAGCUUUCUCUUUGAUGAAGAAGUGCCUGCAUGUUAAAAGGAAGAUUAAAAUUUAAAGAUGGGAGAAAGCUAAGAAUUAGGGGGAAAAAAAGCAUAACGAUAAAGAACAAAAGCAUACCUCAACAAUGGCUUUAGGAGACUCAACGCUGGUGCAGGUCAGUGGAAACAUACUACUUUCUUGAGUAAUAACCUGUUGCUUACUUUGAUACUCUGAUGUUUCGCAACAAUAUAUAAUAGUAUAUUGUUGCUUUACAUCUGCAAGUUGACUUUGAACAGGUUUUAGAUGUGCAACAAACCAUUUUAUUUUUAAAGAUUCAUGAACAUGAUCAAGCUGUGGCUCUAUGUUCUGGAAAAAUGCAUAACAGAAUAGCGAACAAGAUGACGUGAAAAAGGUGAAAAGAGUGCAUGGCUUCAUGACAAAUGUAACGCAGAGGUAACAGAGAUACCUGGUUAAAAUGAUCCAUUGCUUCAGCAGCGGUGAAGGUAAGGAGUUUUUCAGCCAAAUCUCCAAAUAUGGAAGCUGUCACUGCGCCUAUUUCAUCUUCCAAAUCAACGUCAAAGCGACAUCUAUACAGGAACAUCAAUUAUAUAGAUGGUGUUGUAAGGCAAAGAGGAAAAAUUAGGGAUAUCAUCAAUCAAAGACAUUAAAAUAUAUAAAAGCACACAUAUAAAUUGACGUAAAGGCUUGUUAUUGCGUAAUAGGUUACCUUUGCUGAGCUGAGUGUUUUGCUUUACAUGAAUUACAGAGGAAAGCAACUCCAUGCAUUGCUGAUGUAGAGCGAAAACACUCACUGCAAGCCAUAUACCAGUAUCUUUGAAAAAUGUGUUCGAAGAGAAUCGAACCUUGACCCAUGCUGCCUGAAAGAGCAUGACGAACCAAUAUUAGGCUGAGAAUCAUACGGAUAAAUAAUGAUACAGCAAAAUUAUUUGUAUUAUACCUUGUGCAUCCCUGUGAGAUUGCAAACCCGAGUAAAUUUCUGGCUUGGUUGAAGCGAGAGCUCUGGAUUAUAGUUGUCGUAUAGUUUUUGGUUAACUUAUCCAAAAGAAGGUUCUAAUUUCUCACUGCCCUGUUGCAAAAAAUGAUAGAUAACAUUCAAACAGGGGGAAAAAUGGAGUAUGCACAGUGAAAGAUCAGAAGCACAUGUUCAUGAGAGCACUAAUUUUUUAGUUGUCUAGCUUCUUGGAUAGAUGGAUCAACAAGAAUAACAGAGUCAAACCACGUAGACAAAGCCACACCUAAAAGAAAAGAGCAUACAUGACUGAGGGAAAAGAAGCAGAGGAAAAAAGUUAACAGUUAGCUGCUGAAAAGUUUUUACUAUGGACUAUUAUAACAGCCAACUCUGACUCUUCUGCAUAUAACAACAGGAAACUUAUGCAUGUUUUGUAUCAGUUUCUGGCCCUCAUCAUUCACAAAGGCAUCCCACAUGGAGAGCUUAACGGUCUGAAAGCUAGUUUACAGAGAGACCAAUGAAUAAGUCAUAACAGAAACUGUAAAAGUUCAAUAUAAGAAAUGAUUAUAAGCAAGAGCAACUCAUACUCUUCAUUAACAAGGACAAACUUCUGAACGAUGGAUUCUUUACCAUCCCUAUUAACUUGUUUCUGGUCCAUCGCAGAUAUAACAACAGCCAAGAUGUCUAUUUUUAAAAGAAGAAACUAUAAACUAAGACUCUGAAAGAAAAGAAAAUUCGUACACGCAUAUACUUUUAAACAAACAAACCCACCUACAGACUGAUCUUUAUGAUCCAUGUAUUUGAUUAGAUCAGUAAAAUUUGGUGUAGCUGAGCUUCAUAGGUACAACAACUUCAUCAUCAUUGACCUCUUCGACAAGUGUCCUGGUGGAUAUGACCCACUGUGUGUGCAGACCUUUAGAUUGGAAUUUUGGAGGGAUUGGUCUGAUAACAACAUUUGAGAUAAGAUAUUUUUUAUACACUUGUAGAAGAAGGCUCAUUUUAGGGAUGUCAUUAUUGAAAAUGAUUCCUUCAACCAAAGAUCCCUAUUAAAAUACAGAAAGAGGUAUUAAUUUCAUUCGAAGUAGUAAGCUUUUGUAAGGUAGGAAAAAAAUAGAACGGGAAAGACUCUGAAAGCCGUAGCCGAGAAAUCUGAACAUAAGCAUUAAAGACUUUCAAAACUCUAGCUAUUUAUGUCUAGGCAGGGAACUAAGAUAGCGAACUACCUAGUUAUGUACCUCUGAGUCCAGAAAAAUGAAUUUCUAUUUUUUGUUGGAGUAGCAAUAGAUGAUGUAGCAUGCUAUUUUUCUUGAACUAUGACUUUGCAUGUCCAAUUUUGCGUGCCAGGAAGAAUGUCUUUCAUUGGAAGAAUCUGUGACAUCCUGAAGGGAAAAAGGAGAAUGGAUCCGAAAGCAUGAAGAUGAAACUGAGAAGACCGAGGACAUGAAGACGAAACUGAGAAGAGCAAUAAUUAUAAGUGGCAAGCAAUUCAUAUAAACUUACCUUGUCAGAGAGAUCUUACGUUCUAGCUAAACGAAACACUUCACUAAAAACAACAUUUCUUGUUUUUUUAUCGGUUUUGAUAUCGUCAAAAGUUCCCGGAACAAUCAAAAUUUUAACUGUAUCAGGAGUUCUCGCUCUAGACAGUGCAACGUAAAGUUGACUAUGAGAAAAGCAGGCUCGUGCAGGUAAAUUCAACAUAAUCCAAAGUCUGGCCUUGAGAUUUGUUAAUUGUCAUGGCGAAACAUAGACGGAUGGGGAACUGCGUUCUUAUGAAAAGAAUACCAUUUUUUUCGUUAUCAGGGAUUUGCAGAGGAAUUCUGGGAAUGAAAACUCGUUUCUCUCUGUGCUGUCCAAAGACAAUUUCAGCAUAGAUGGUAUGUUGCCGUAACUCUCUACAUAUAAGCCUUGUGCCAUUGCACAGGCCUUCAGCAGGGUUCAAGUUUCUCAGAAGCAUGAUAGGACAAUUUUCUUUGAGCAGUAGAUUAUGUGGAGGGAGUCCCUUUGGAUUCUGACUAUUUAGGAAGUCCUGAUAAUCUCUUUGAAACCUCUGAUUAACAGUUUAUCUGAACUUACAUAGGUAUAAAGCUUGCCUGGAAAUUUCUCAAUCAUCACCUCGUUAAGUUCAUCAACAGAGCUAUUUCUAGGAGAAAGAAUGCAUCUGUUGAUCAUUUGAUAAGGAUCGACUGAAUAAAGGUUCAGAUCUGGGAAACCAGAAUGUAUUAAUCUGCAUUUAACAUUCAUGAUUUUCUAGUAAAAAAAAUAUAACAUACAAGCUAAACAGCCAUUCAAAGAAAAAAUGGAUGAUAGAUAAAUGGAAUAACCUGCCCAAGGACUCGUGUUUGUCGUGAUAGGGAAUCACUAAGUGAGAAGGAAGUGCUACAUCUGCAUUUUUGUAACACCUUCACCAAUCCGUAACAAAAAUCAGAAAAGACUGGGUUCAAAAUAGCUCGCAUGUUUACUUUCAAUGUCAACUUAUGCAUACACAACCACAACGGUGAACUAACAAGGCUUGAUUCUAUCAAAUCCUGUUUAGAAGCCUAUUCAAUAUGUGACGACCCUACCUCCCCCUAGAGCUUACCCCAGGGUUUAGUAGACAUCCUGUCCAACUCUCGCCAGGACUCACUCACUCGCGUCAAGAAAAUAGGGUGCAACUUCAAGAAUAAAGGAAAUAACAGUUCCCAAAUUUGGAACGUAUACUUACAUUCAUUUCUAUCUCAAACAUUCAUACAAUCCCAAAUAUAACAAAAGUUGAGAAUUUCAGAUACAUUCAACCCUAACCGAGCACUAGCACAAGUACAAUCUUAAAAUUCAAAACUAGACUAUGCUAGCCUGUACCAGACUCACGCUCUCGCUCGUAUCCCUUGUAAGGAAAACAAAACUAAAGGAAUGAGCUAAAAGCUCAGUGAGGUUCCCAAACAAGUAAUCAGGUAUAGAAACGAAGAAAACAUUACAUUGAACAAAUUGCAUAUUUUGCACAGUAAUAGCCAAUCAUUCAAGAAAUAAACACUCAAUUAUUGGAAGGAUACGUGCUUACAUGGAGCCAUUCAUUUAUUCAUUCGUCAACCAUUUUUCUUAUCCCUCCGACAUUUGAAAACAUUUACAAAUGAAAACUCCUUCAGGGAUCUUAUCAUUCAUUCAUUGAUAUCAUUGCAUUGAAUUCAUUGGCCAGUUCUCCACCAGAUUUCGUGGUAAUACUCGAGUAUACCAAAACACUGUCCCAAGAUCACCAACCACCCGACCGAGUCCACUUCUAACUCGAGUCGACUGGCAAUGAAGGGCAAGGGUCCAAUUUAGCCAAAAGACUUACAUUCAUGCACAAGUAGCAUUCAAUCAUUUAAUCAUUGUAAAUUUCAUGUUCACUUAGGUUGGCGCGAUAAAGUACACACUCGCCCAUCAAAAAUCCAUUUAGAAAUCCUUGGAAAGCAUUUAACAUUCAAGCAAACAUUUACAAAUAGUCACAUAGUCACUUAUUGCACAAACACACAAGGAGCACUCAUUAGUCUAAGCCAAAAUAACGUCACAAGUUUCCUUCCGAGUUAUGCUCUUGAUCACCGACAAACCCUAAGAAUAACCAAUCCCAAUAAUUCAAAGUUUUCGAGAUAAAACUAACACUUUUCAUGUUAGUUGAUACUCAAUCUUGGUAAAAAAUAACUCAUAUACUACUUUUGAAGUGUAUUUAAGGAUACAUAUGUAAUUUAAGAUCCAACUAACCCUAAAAUCAAACCUUACAUCUUACUAAUAUUCAUAAGAGCAAGUAAUAGAAAUUUGGGCAGCAUGCCCUUUGUAUUUAUCUAUUUUUCAGCCAUAUAUGGUUUCAUUAUUUUCCUCAACUCAGCCCCAAAUUCAUACAUAAGUAAUCUUAACCCAACAACUCUUCAACUAGGCUCCAUGCCAUUCAAUUACAACACAAGUUUAACAAUGUAACCGGAAACCAGUUUUGAAGACAAAAGGCUAAGCAGCAGAUUUGACGUCUCUUGGAGUUUCAGUCACAAUUGAAGCUACACGCAUUGGAUUGGAUGAAUUUUAUGCCGUUUGGAAGCUAAGGGGGCUGCUCGAGAUUGGGUGAAUGUGAUUAAAGUCAAGUGGGAGCACGAAUAGACCCCCUGGACAUGGAUUAAUUUUACACGAAAAUUUAAUGAAAAAUAUCUGCCGCCCAUUGUGCAAGAGAAACGGGAAGAUGAUUUUAUCCGCCUGCGUCAAGGGGCAUUUAGUGUGGCGGAGUAUGAAACCCAGUUUACAAAACUCUCUCGCUUUGCCCCAGAUCUGGUGCUAACGGAGCAAAAAUGAAUUCCCCGCUUCGUUCAAGACUUAAAUGUGAAAAUCCAGGAAGCACUAGCGGCCGCACAGCUGAACACAUUUAGUCAGGCACUAGAAAAGGCACAAAGAAUUGAGACAGCUAUGGGACAAGUAAAAACCUUCCAUGACCGAAAAAGAAAAUAACCUAGCUCAAGCAACGUUGCGACCGGACAAAACUCGAGAAACGAGUCACCUUCCAAGAUGAGUAGAGGAACAGAUGGUCCACGACCCGCGGGGACUCCAAGCCAGGGUAAUUUUGGGAGAGGUCAGGUAUGGCAAGGGCCCCAGAGGAGUGCCCAGCGUGGAGGGUCAAGUGUGGGCAUUAGGCCGACCUGUGGUUUCUGUGGGGGCAAUCACACUAACGAUAAUUGUUGGAAGAAUAGUUCAGUAUGAAAAUGCUUUAAAUGUGGUAGCACAGAACAUUUGAUUGCCCAGUGUCCUAAGAUGCAGAAGGAGGGACUUAGGUCACAGACAGAAGGGACCACAACUCAACCGACAAACGUAGGGGGAAAUCGAUCCAAAGGACCAGUUAGAGUAUAUGCAAUGGGUCAACAGGAGGUGACUAACCCUUCGGCGGGCAUCGAAGGUACGCUCUCUCUUUUCGGCGUACCGCAAGUGUUUUAAUAGAGUCUGGUGCACGCACUCUUUUGUAAACCCUGCAUUUAUGGUUCACGAACAAAGGUAUUAAUUUCGAGGACAAAAUUGUUCUAAGUGGGAGAGGUUGUGAGACCUCGGUUAGUUCUUAAGUUGGAUAUUAUGUGAUGCUAAUUAUUUGUGUGGUAAAAUUUGGGUUUUAGGGUUAAUUGGAAAACCCUAAUUUAGGUUAUGAUUAAAACUCUAGUUUUUGUAUUAAUCACAAGUUUGAGUUGUAGUUAGAAUUUGUUAUGCUAGUGUGUGGUUUAGUAUAUGAUUCGAUCCAUUUUAUAUAGGUUAGGUAAAUUUAAAAGGUUAGAAAAUCCUAAACCAGUAAAACCUCUAGUGUUAUAACUUAUUAGAACCCUAAGUUGGGGUUAAAACCCUUAUUUUUGCCUAUGACAAGAAUGUUGUUGUUUAUUUGCUUUUAUGUGAGAUAAGGUAUGAUUAAGUAUAAGUGAUUAAGAUAGGAGGGUGAUUAAUGAAAUAAUUAAGUGUGGUUAAGUGUUUUAGACAAGAUUAACUGUAUAUCCUAUGGAGUUAAUUGAAAGCUUUCUAUAUAUGUUUGGGCAAUAGUGUAAGAAAGAGAAAUUAAAGGUGUAAGGGCUAAGGAGCAAAUUGGGAGUUUUUAUGUGAUUGGUGGUGUUGGAAAAUAUCUUCCAAAGCUUUGACUCAUCUUAUAUAUCAUAGGAUUUCUAAGACAAACAUAAGAAAUAAAACAAAGCAAGACUAAAGAGAGAAAGAGAGAGAGGGCCGAGAGUGAGGUGAAGAGGAGAAGCAAAAUUUCUUCCAAUUUCUUUCAAGUUUAGCCAAUCAUCUUGAGCUUGGAGCUUAGGGCAACAAUCUUGCCACUUGAUUGUGGUGGUUUGAUCAUCAACAAGGCUUGAUUGAAGGUAAAUCAUUUGAUUUGAAAGUUAAAUCUUGGUGAUUAAAUCUUGAAACCAUGUGAAGUGAUGUUUUUGGUUGUAAAUAUGAACUUGGAUGGUUUAUAUGAUGAAUAUUGAGUAGUUUAUUGGUUUCUUGUAGUGGUUUAUUGCUGCCCAAAUUUCGGUUAAGGCUAUGGCAGAAUUAGGGGUUCUUGUUUCAUGGUUAUUCAAGUUGAUUUGGAUGAUUGUUUGGCUUGUAAGUGGAGUCUUUGAUGUGUUAAUCUCACUUGAAUGGUUGAUUCUUAGCAAAUUCAGAUUUGGCCUUGAAAUCCUAGUUCUAGGGGAAGUUAGUUUCGUUGAGUUAAGGCUUUGAUGAUUAGGGUUUGAGUAGAUAGGUUUGGAGGUUAAUAGAACUUGUAUGAUUAGAGCAUAGGAAAUGGUUAGUAGUUGUUAGGUUUGAGGUUAAGUUGGGAGAGGGAUUUCAGGUCUUUUGUGGAGCUAUUAGGAGCUGGUAAGUGUGUGUUUAUUUGGUAGGAAUUUGGCUAGGAAACCUUGCAUGAGAACCAUAAAAACGGACGGUACGUUUGUGGCGCGCGAAACCGGUCAAUUUGGAAAACAUGGCAGCCCAGAAUCCGAACUUUGGCUCUAUUUUUUCUUUGUGCUACGUAUUGAUUCAGAGUUUACCCAAAACAUGAAACUUGUAUCUUAUUAAGUCCUUGUUGUGCCUGCAAAAUUUCAGCCCAAUCCGAUCAGUAUAGCCUGAAUUAUGACCAAAACACUAAUAGCUACGCAACACUGUUGAUUUGGGUGACGUUUCUUGAUUUUGCUUCUGACCGUGCUCAGCUCACAUUGAUAACGAAGGAAUUGGGUGUUGAGAUCUUCAUAAGACUUGUAUAUCUUUGUUUUAGAUUCAAAAUGAUAUAAAGUGCAUCCAAAUCCGAGUUCCGUGGCUCUAGUAACACCCAAAACAAAAUCGGGUGUCAGAACUGCCUUUGAAGUUGGACAGUUCUGACAGGAACUUUGGACCCAUUUUUCCUUAUACUCUGUACUGAUUCAGCUUCUGAUCAAAACACAAAAGUUAUAGCCUUAUAAAUGAGCUUUCCAACACCUCUAGAAUUUCUUAAUUCCGAUCUCUGAGUCAUGAGUUAUGGUCGUUCAAACAGGGCCUAUUCGGUAACCUAAAUUUGGUAUUGAGAAUAUUUGCAUGCGGUACACAAAUAGAUGGCUCAGGUUAACAGCAACUCGUGCAAUUUUCUUCACAUAAAACCUUUUCUGAUUAGUUAGUUAAUACAUCCUAUAUGUUUCCCCAAGCUUGACUGAGAUUCACCAGAUAAACCAUUGGCUCUCCGGAUUCUGAAUCCAACACUUCUUUUUUUUUUUUCUUCUUUUAGAGGAAUUCAAGAAGACAAAAUUGAAUAAAUUAAUUAGCAACUUUCCAAUUGCAGUCACAUGCAAGGCAUAUACUGCUAUUUAUUUAUUUAUUUUGGGACUAAAUUCCGGCAUGUAUACCUUGAUUCAAACAACUAAAGAAUCCCACUUGACUUGGUGGCUCUUGAGAGUUGAGUCCAUGAGAUUGUGAAAUAGUAUUGCAAAUUAUUCAUUUCAAAGCAGCCCGAGAAAGCAAAUUAUUGGCAUUUUCUCCUACCUUUCUCCAUGUAAUGAUACGUGCGUGGAUGUUCUUAUGGCCUUUUAUGUUCUCAUUAUUGCUCUUUUAUGAAUGUUCUUACAGAUAUCGAAUCAUUUGACUGCUUUUGAAAGUUGACCGUAAAAGACUACAAAUUAUGACUAUGUAUAUAUGCCAAGAACGUGCUUAUGAAAAUAUUAGAGACAAAGUCAAUCGUAGUUAUCAAAAAGCUUAUUAUCAUCCAAAAUAUUAAAAUGUUUAAGAAUCAAUUGUAUUUUGUCCCCCAAACUGAAAAUCAAAACCCAGUUUUUAAAGUUUUCUACAAAAUACCGGUGUUGAAAUGAAAUGGGGAUAGCUCACGACUAUUUACAAGAAUAGUUUAUUUGUUCCCAUUUUUAUAAUUUAAUUUAGUUUGUCCUUUUCUAUACUGUGAUAUCAACAACACUACAAGAUUAAGGGAAGGGGCUGUCAUUUGCUUCCCAAAAAAGAAAUCCACACAAUGCUUAGGGGUAAAAAAGAAAAAAAAAAAGAGAAAAAUUUAUAUCUCAAAAUGUCUUUGUAGUUGCAACAUGAAGUGUAAUCCUGAAUUUAAAUAUCCAUGUACAAACCAUGCUAUCCAAUUAAAGAAAUAAUUUAUAUCAAGUUAGUCGACAUUUGAGUAAGAAGAAAUGAUUCGAUAUUAAAUAAAGAAUAUAUCGAGCAUGAUAGACAACAUCUUAUCAGACUACGACCUUUUUUCACAUCUAAGACGUUAAACUUCAUAUAAAACCAAUGAGUUUGCCACACAAUUCUAUGAUUGCAAUGCUCAUAACUUUGUUAUAACUUCUUCGAGAUUUAUAUUUUGCCCAUUCGACGUAGAUAUAUAUAAAUUCAAUGUGUGAAAUGAAUAUGUCAUUAUUCCUUGCACUACAAAUUUUCUUGAGCCUAUAUAUAUUACGCAAUUGGUGUGUAAUGAGUUAGACCUGUUAAAGCUAAGUUCUCAUAAUUGAUGAACUGUAAGAUGUCAUUCUCUCUUCAGUGGAGAUUCCUAGGACCAAGUAAAACUGGGAAUUGAGUAACUAUAGUAACAGUCCAUCUGGCAAUUAGAACUUUUAAUUUUCUCACCCGCACAGAGUAGCAAUCAUAACAUACAAAUUUCUCUUUGACAUUUCACUGAACAUCUUAUAUGCAUUCCCAAAUUAAUCACAUUUAACUUAAACGCCUAGUCUCAAGUCCUUUCCUAGAUGUUUCAUAUGGCUAUAAGCAUAUUUUACCCGUAGAUAAUCAAAACUACAACCAUUUCCCAGAUGUUUCAACAGACAUUUUCAGCCCCAAAUUUGCAAUAAAUUCUUCAAAUUCUCAGCCCUAGAAAAUCUUGACAAACAAAACAAAUGAAAUAUAAAUAAAUUACAGCAAUAUAAUCAAACGAUUUCAAGAGAACAUGAUGGUCUAACCUCGUCACCGCUAUUUUUCAUCUGCUCUUUGGUUGGCUACCACCGUUGCUAACCCUUCUGUUGUGUCUGCAUAUGGCAGCAUCCAAAACCAACCGAUCGAUGAGGAAGGAUAGAGGGAAAUCAAAACAAAAACAUUUAGUGGAAUACUCAAUUUUCAGUGGAAUAACAGAAAAACAAAUCAUUUUGUUUGCAAAUAUACCUUGCUGGAAGGGCCUUUAAAUGGCAUCCAGUGAGAGUCAGAAUCUUCGUUCUUGAAUCCAUCCGGCAAUUCUCGAUCAGGACUAUCGUAAUCUUGCCAGGAAAAUUUUGCCAGGACAAAAUUUCUACAAUCUUCCGUGAGGUGAGAAGAAAAUAAAAAGAAGGGAAGCAAUUUUGGAGAGAUGUGAUAACCCAAAACCGUUUUCAGAAACCGGAUGAUUUUUUUACUUUAAUAUGUAAAUUUUUUACUUUUAGUAUUAGUAAGUUUAAAUUAAACAAAAGUAACAUUUGUCAAAUAAUAAGUAAAUUAAAUUACUCAAAGGGUAAAUUUCUAUUUAUGACUAAAACUUAUCUUUCAGGCAUAUACUUACUAGUUUUAAUUAAAAACUUACUAAAGUUAAUAUUAAUUAUUUUAAUAUAAUAUUUAAAAAGUCGCUAAAAAAUUUGAUCUGUCACUAAAGGUAAUAGAAACCUGCAAUAAUAGGUUUCCCUAAUAUCGUUACCAUAACUAUAGGCACUGUAGCAUUGUCCUUGUAUCAAUAGUUAGUAUUGACUUCUACUCAAAAGCAGAGUCUACGUCUUAAAGAAUAAAAUGGUCAAACAUUGGUCUUGCUGUCCUGCUAUGGCUUGAUCCACAUCUUCACUACAAGUUAGGGGGAAAAUCUUGUGCCAAGCUAUUGAACUUCUCCAUCCUUGGUUUAUUUAUUCCGUACCAAUCCCAUGAACCAUGUAUAAGGCCUAAUUGCCAUGAGGGGUAACUUCUUAUGUUGCUUGCAGAUCUGAGAUACAAGAAAAUAAAAAGAAAAGCAGAGAGUGGAGGAAAGUGCAUAGUUGAUGUCGAGUUGUAAGAACUUGGAGUUACCAUUCUGUUAUGCCCAUAGCAUUUUUAGAAUAAGAUUGCUUUUGAUUGAUAAUUGCUUCAACAGCACAGAUGAUAUAUGUGGUACAAUUAUUUGAGUUCUAGUAUCAGUUCAUUAUGUUCAUGUACGUUUGGCUGGACAAGGAAGAGAAAUAGUAAUCAGCUGUUCUCCAGGCUGCCCUUAUACCUGAUUUGUGAAAUGAACCCCAUAUGAUAUGCAUGGAAUGUUGCUCUCACAGUUUAUUCAUUUUAAGUCUUGCUCUGUGUAUCUGUCUAUAUACAAGUGGCUAAAAAGCUCUGCAUUUCAUAUACAAGUGGCUGAAGUCUGCUGCACCGCUUCACCGCUCCUCUUCUGGGCAUCCUCCACUUUACUCCUCAGCCCUUCUUUUUCUUUCUUAAGACUCCAAGAGUCUCCUCCCUUGCUGUACCCCAGAUCACUCCCCUUAAGACCUACUAUAUUAGAAGGAUUCCAUAUAAAGGUGAAAUUGCAAGCCUUAUAUCUGUUCUUGACAGGUAGAGCUCACCAGUCACCAUUGCAACGAAUAUGGAACAAAUGUAUUUGCCAAUGCUAAAUCAGCAGAAGUUAGAAGCCGAAGACCGACUCAUUUUGCUUUAAAAAUUUUUAUCAUAUUUUUCAUUUAUUAGAGCAUCAACAUGAACACUGCAAGCUAAUUGUUGUUCUGGCUUUUGUAAGGCAACAAUGAGUUUUUUAACAGUUAACAGUUAGUCGACUGAAGAUGCACUUGCCCGUCAAUUUCAUUCUUUUCCAUCGUGUGUCCUUCAUGCGCCACUGCUUCCUAUUUAACAUAUUUUGAUGUGAGUAAAUAGCUAAUGGAAAAACUAUUCAAACAGAAUCAUCAACUGAAAACAGGAUUAUGUGUUUCGUUUGGUAAUAAGUAGUCUGAGGAGGUGCUUGAUUCAGCAAUGAAUGAACAAGAAUUCUGGGAGCACAACUUUCAAAUUUAUGCAUCGGUGGCUUGUGGGAAAUCUCAUUUGAAAGUCAAUUAGAAAAGCAAGUGUAUUUGGAAGUCCUGCUAUGCUUGAAAGAUACUAGUCAAACCUGCAUUCUGCACGAUUUCAGCAGGUUACGAAUCAGACAUGUAUAUCAGCCUGUCAGGUUGACAACCGACUUGCAUAAGUGCUUGAGAAUGGGGAAAUUUUCUCCAAAUUUAAUGCAGAUUUUUGGUACAUUUUAUCAUUCUCUCUUCUCCCCCCCCCCCUCCUCUUUGGAGCUAUAUAUGUACUUCAGUCAUUUAGCAACAAGUCAUUACAGACUACUAGACUUCGACGACUAAACUUUGUAAUGAUAUUUUAGAGAAUGAGUACAGAUUUUGGACGACCAAUACAAAGCCACUAAGCAACAUGGUUCAAAGUCGCGGUCGCGGUCGCGGCCUAGACCGUUCCAGAUCGGUUUCGGUAUAUCGGUCACGAUCUCGGCGAAACGCCAUUUUUGAAAUAUUUAAUAUUCUAAAAAUUGUAAAAAAAUGAUAAACAAAAUAAUUAAUAAAUUAAUAAAAAUAAUAAAAAUUCAAGUUGAUUCGGGAUGACUCGGAGUGAUUCGGUGUGACUCGGCCGUUUCAACCCUCCACGGUGACGUCUCGGCGAGUUGAGUAUCUUGGUAUCGUUUCGUCACGGUAUCGUAUCAGCGAAGGCCGAGACGGUGACGACUCGGCCGAGACCGUGCUAAGCAAGCUGUACAAACUACAUAUAGCUUGCUCAGUUGCUCCAUGCCCUUCUUUGCUUCAUCUCAUGUGCUUGCUUUAUGCCAGGAAGGGCCAAAUUUUGUGUUUUCUUUUGAAAGAACAGUUGGAAUAUUGGUCCUGUAGGUAACUGAAUGAUAUGAUCUGAGGCGAGUCAUGCAUGAGAUGUCAUAUUGCAUUUUUAAAAGGAUUAUCAUGAUUUUUUCAGUAGCUUUAGAGAUUGAUACUCGAAGAGGUAGGAAUACAACAUGAGAGAUCAUUAAUUAUUAAUACAAUCAAAUUGAUCUUCUUCGGAAUUUUUUUUUCCUUUUGGUCGGAGGGAGUGGGGCUGGUGGUAGAAUUUGAAGCGAACAACUCACAAUGAUAUCCUUUUGGGGUCUCAUUUCAACAUCAGUCUCCUGAUUCACUUUCACAUGUGGCAGUCAAGCCUAUCCAGAGCAGGAAUAAUUUUUCUCAGCCUUAAUCCAUUGGACCAAAUUGUUGAAAUUCUUGCCAGAGCUCCCAUCUUUGGUAACACUGUUGAUAACCUUGGUUUUUAAUUUUAAGGCCCUUUUUUUGUAUUCUCCAACAGUGAGAAGCUGCUCAAUUUUAUUCUUUAUUUCUUCUCGUGCAAUGAUUCCAUUUGCAUCUCGUUCAAAUCCUAAACCGAUCUUCCAAACAUCACAUGUGUAUUUCUCAUUAAGGAACUGAUCUGCAAAGUAAGGCCAACAGAGGAAACGAACACCACUGCUCAAACCUUCGAUCGUAGAGUUCCAACCACAAUGGCUGAGGAAGCAAGCCACCGAAGGAUGGCUCAAGACCUGUUGCUGAGGUGCCCAGCCUGCUAGUAGCCCACAGCCUUGUAUUCGAUCUUUGAAGCCUUCUGGAUAUGCAUUCUCUGUCUCGGUAGUUAAAUCUUGCCUCACAACCCACAAGAAUGGCCUAUUGAUGAGCUCAAGCCCAAGUGCCAGCUCCCUGAAUUGUGUCGGAUCAAAAACUGCGAAGCUCCCAAAUGCAACAUAGAUGACAGAUUGCAUUGGCUGCUUAUCAAGCCAUGCCAAGCAGUCUGAAUCUUCAGGCCAGAAGGAGCCAACUGAUUUUCCAAGUCGAUUACUUGCCAAAAGAGGGCCUACAGGUAGUAUUUGAGGAAAUAAAGUGAAGGCUGCCGCCUCUAAUUCACAACUUGUAUUGCAAAUCAACCAAUCUGCCAGUUUGACUGUUGUGUUAGAUUUUAACAAGGUAUCAAAAGCAAUAUUUUGUAAUGUGAGAUCACUAAAGCAGGUCCAAAGAAGAUGUUCAGGCUUCAUCUCUGGCAUGGUAGGUGACAACUUUACCAUCUGGUUCUUCAACACGGUACCUGCACUAAAAAGCUUGACGUGUUUAGAUACUUUUCAACUGAAUACAACAUAGCAAAAUGUAGAACCGAUAGUACUAAUGGGUGUUAUGAUGAUUAGCAGUUUGAUGACUACAAAUAAAUUUAUCUUCUUUCUCUAAUGGUGCUAGCAAGGAAUUAUCUGAAAUGAGUCAAUCUUACCAGUGCUACUUAUGAUUCCAUCAUCUAUGAGCUUUGGGAUGCUGAAUAUCUGUGCCAAUAGUGAAGCUGACGCUGGCCAGAAGGCUACCGCCUUGAUUCUCAUUUUCUUUGCAAUCUCUAGUGCCCAUCCCAUGGUCUCAUCCGCAAUAAUGCAUGUGAUUUUAUCACUGUCAGAUUGAGUUAUGCUCUUUAUUAGACACUCUAGAUUCGCAGGCAUGACCUGGUAAACUGAUAGCGUCAAUUUGCUCAGGUCAUUUCUGUCCUCCCAUGAUUCCAAUCCAUCUGGGAUUGACACCAGUUGCAUCAUAGCUGGUACAUUGUCCUCCUGUGAUAAUGAUUUGGUAACUCUCUUGUGAUCGAAUUCGGAGUUGACAAAUGUUACUCUAAUACCCUGCCUGACUAAGCACAAGGCCAGUUCCAUUAAGGGAAGAACAUGACCUUGCGCUGGAUAAGGAAUGGCUAGAACAUGUGGAUGAGGAUGAUUCAUGAUAUGUUGUUGUUAUCUUAUCCUGCCUUUCCUCUAAUGCAAAAAUUGUAAGACAAGAACAGAAGAACUUCCACACUUCUCCCACCGUUUAUAGACUGCUUAGGAAAACGCACGUGCAUUAUGCGUGUUGGAUAAUGAAACAAAAUGUCAUUAUUCAAUUACGAAUUAACACUACUUAAUUUGCCUUAUGAAUUUAAAUAAUAAUAUUAGGAGUUGUGAGUUAAAAUUAUAAAUAUUUAGUCAAUCAUGCACGUGUUUUAGAAUAGAUAUAUUAAAUAGUUAUUUUAUUCAAAGACAAAAGUUUAUUCCCUUGAAAUUCGAUUGUGAUACAGGUUCAUUAAUACAUGUAGCGAUCGGCAUACAAUUUAAGACAAUUUAGAGAUUACUUUUUGUUUAAAGAGAUAAAAACCGUACAAAGACAUUUUUUCUAUUUCUUCGCAUAUGAACUAUUUCUUUCCACUUUGUUGAAUUACAACAAUUAAUUCUUUAUAUGUGUUAAUUUUGCAAUUCUAGGUUUUACAUUGGAUUUUUUUUUUUGAUAAUUUAUAUUGAUUCUUUUAUACGCAACUCCUUUGUCUAUCUCCCUCUAUAUCUUUGAUUAAGAAUAUCCUUCGCAUCUUCUUGUUAUUUGUCUUGUUGCGUUCUACACAUUUUAUAUUAACUUAAGGGAAGGUCGUUCAAAAUGUUCCUCACAUUUUGCAAAAUGACUUUUUUUGUCCCUCACUUUUAAAAGUAUAAUUUUACAUCUCUUACAAAUUCACAUUAAUCAAAUUUGAUCCCUAUCUAGGUUUUCCGACUAGUUUUAGCUGGAGUCCACCACGCGCCUUGUAUGUGGUCUUAUUUGAGGGGCAAAAUUGUCAAAUCAAAAUUUAUAUAUUCCGAUCCAUAAUCCCUCACAUUGCACAAAAUGAAUUUUUUCAUCCCUUACAUUUCACAAAAUGAAUUUUUCCUUCCCUCACAUUUUACAAAAUAAAUUUUUUCAUCCCUCAUUGAUUAUGUGUGCGAAUAGUUUUUUUUAAAUCCAUGUAUAUAUCUAUUUGAUUUUACCUGAACAGUAUAAUAUAAUCAAAUAGAGAUAUAUUAUAUUCUAUUCAUACUGUUCAGGUAAAAUCAAAUAGAUAUAUACAUGAGUUUAAAAAAAAAUCGUUAGCUUUACAUCCAUGUUCAUUUCCUUUUAUUCGAAAAUUGAAAACAAAGAAGACAUUUAAUCAAAAAUAAAUAAAAUAUUUAAAUUUCUCAAAAAAAAAAAAGAAGACAUUUAAUCCUAAACAUUAUCGAGUGUUCAUAUCGAAUUAAAUUUGGACAAAAAAAUUAAACAAAGGAAAAGUAUGACAAAAAGAAAUAAGUGAUUAACACUUUCAAAUUUUAAGAUAAUCACAAGGUAAGUAAUUCAACUGUUGAUCUUAAAGGUGGUGAAUAGAAAUUUCUAAUAAAAGCAAUUUAUUAGCAUGACUAUAGAAUUCGAAUUAGGACAGAUUAAUUAGAUGGCCUUAUUGUACAAUUCAACAAAUGAAUUAUUACCAAAAGAGAAAAUAUCACAAUUAUUGAAUAGGUUCACAUGGUGAAAUUAAAUAGAUAUAUACAUGGGUUUAAAACAAAAUUGUUAGUUUUAAACUCAUGUAUGCAUCUAUUAAACAGCAUGUGUAUAACUACAAUUAGUCUGUUUAGUUGAAAUCAAAUAGAGAUAUAUUACAUGCUAUUCAUACUGUUCAGAUAAAAUCAAAUAGAUAUAUACAUGGAUUUAAAAAAAAAUUAUUCGUACACAUAGUCAAUGAGAGAAGAAAAAAUUCAUUUUGUGAAAUGUGAGGAUUGCAAAUAUUCAUUUUGUGAAAUGUGAAGGACGAAACAAUUUAUUUUGUGAAAAUGUGAGGGACUAUAGAUCAGAUUACGUAAAUUUCGAUUUGACAAUUUUGCCCAUCAAAUAUCAUCACAUGCAUGGCACGUGGUAGAUUCCGAUCAAAAACUAGUCAGAAAUCUACAUAGAGACCAAAUUUGACUAAUGUAAAUUUGUAAAGGACGUAAAAUUAUAUUUUUAAAAGUAAGGGACAAAAAAAAUCAUUUUACAAAAUAUGAGAAACGUUUUGAAUGAUUUUCCCUUAACUUAAAGUUAAAAUAAAAGUUUUUAUGUGUCUUUAAAACUACUUAAAUGAUCUAUAUGCUUUGCAAUUCUUAAAUACAUCCAAGGGGAGGGUCGGGUUAGGUGAUAAGGUGUGAAGGAUUAUAAGUAAAAGAUCUUGACCUCAAAAUCUCCCACUUAGGAAAAACAAAAUUUAUCCAUAAUUUAUCUUGUCAAAUUACAAUAAUGCUGAGUAGUCAAUUUGUACACACAUAAUUUAUUAAGUAUUCAGUCUUUGAAUGGCUAAAAAUAAGAGAGCAAAAGUUUUUUCAUACAUCUGGUAUUCAACUUCUAAUUAAAUGGCCAACUGGUUUGAAAAAUAUAAAGUCUUCAUAUGCUGGCGCUUUGGUACGUACAAUAAUCCUUAUCAUACAAUAUUUUGUUGAAUAAUUUGAAAGAAAAAGAGAAGAUUCCUCCAGGAACACUAUGAAAAACAAGAAGUAAAUUUGGAGGAGGAAUGGGGUGGGUGACUCGGAGAGAGGGAAUGUAAGUGAGAAGUGCCGUACACCUAAAAAUGAAAAAUAAUCCAAUCCUACUUAUACUGAAUAGGAUACUUUAAAGUACUUAAAAUAAUAUUUGCUUGAAUAGGUUGAUUUAGACAGUCGUAAGUUGAAUUGAUUAUCAAUUGUUUUCUUUAAUUAAGUCCACAUUUUACUAGAGGGCUAAUGUAAUUUUGCAUCUUUAGCGCAUUGGGAUCAACUAUUGAAAUUCAAGAAUAUUUUUCUAGGAUGGGGUGAAUUUCAGAAACUUUUGAAAUCGAAAUAACUUUAUACCCUGCUAAAAUGUACAUUGUGAAGUGCUAAAUGGAUGGGCAUUAAAGAACCCCCUCUGUGACCAUGAAAGACAUGCACAAUUAGUUCUGGUAUAAAAUUGAUUCCUAAGUCAAGGAAAUUUAUUUAGAACUUAUAAGUACAGCCAAUUAGAACUGUAGAUAGCACAAUUAAUUUUGUGCCUUGAAUUUAUUUAGUAUUACAACACACUGGGAAGAAAUUCAAUCCCUGAAUCAAGUACAGAUGAAAAGAAAGGAGGCUACGAAGUUAAAAAUAUAUUUAAAAAACGAAAAGGUCAUACUAAAAAGAACAAUGCUUUUGCCUUGGCAACUUGUAUCUCUUAACUUUAAUUUCUGUUCUUUUAUGGGCAAAAACUAAAGAAAUAAAAGCUAUAACCCAUGUAUCUAUUCAUGCUUAACUAAAAUUUAUAAUACCACAUUAUAUAACCAUAUUAAGAUACUCCAAUCAAAAUUUAGUCCUACUUAAAACUUCACUAGUAAUAGUUCACGUGUUUUGCACGUGAUUGUAAUAUUUUAAAAUAUAUUAUUCUUUAGAUACUAAAAUUUUUUUAUAAAAUUUUGAUCAUCAACAUCAUAAUAUAGUAUUUUAAUGAUAUUUAUUUUUUUAAGCUAGUUACUUUUAAAAAUUUUAUUAAAUGAAAAGAAAUAGAAAACAUCUCAAUGUAGUUGACAUGUCCUUUAGAAUUGAAUUUGGAAUCAUGUACCAAACACUUUUUGAUUUAUAGCUUGAACUCUAACAUAUCAAAUAUUGAUAACAUCAUGUUUUACCAAAAUUAUUGCAUAUUCAUGAUUCUAUUGCAUAUAAACCACAAUCAUUGCAAGUUUUUAUAAAUGAAGAAUAUAAUUAAGUUAGAAAAAUAAAUAACAUACAUGUAAUUUGAAUUCUUUGUAUUAUGUUAAUUCUAUUUUUGUCAAUAAUGGAGUAUAAGUGAUCCACAACGUAAAGUUUUUUUAGCUUGUACAUUUUGACAAUUGAAAGUUUAUAGAUAGAGAUAGUUGGAGUUUUUCUAUUUUCCUUUUCUUUUAUUCAUAUUUUUAGCACAAUCCAAUGUGAAGCAAAAGCAACAAGUCUACUUUUUGCAUAUGAGCACAAUAUUUUUGGUUUUAGUAUUAGUUUUUUUUUGUUUGAUGAUCAUGGAAUUGGAAUGAGAAUUGCGGCUAAUUAACAAGUUUACUAUUAAUUUUUUUGUAUAUUGCAGUGUUUUAUUUUUAAUUGCCAACUUUUAAUCCAUAACCGCUAUCAUUAUUAUCAAUUAUUGGAAUGCACUAAAUAUGUCUAAUUACAAUUGUCACCAUAAAUAAAAUUUAAUUAAUUUUAAAGUUUUUCAUUUCAUAACCGCUUCCAUUAUUCGCUAAUAUUGCAAUACAAUAAAUAUAUGUAAUCAUUAGAAAAAAUAAGAGUAUUUUGGGCAUCACCAAAAACAAUUUGGAUAUCAUUUUUAUUUUGUCAUUCUUCAUUUUAAAUGUACUCUUAUUAUAAUUUUUAUUUUAUUAUUAGAGAUGGCUUCUACCUUGAUGGAUGGACUUGGUUUGCUCAAACCAAUACAAAUGAAGCAUUACUAAAUUAUUGUCAAUAACAAUGUUUGUUUUCCCUUGGAUAUAAGUGAUUUGGAUGUUGUCUUUGGUAUUAUUUGAAUUGUAUUCUAACUUUUUAAUUCAUUUGCUAUUUACUUUAUGUUAUUUUAUGAAUAGUUUUCAAUUUUUUUCAAUUUUUCUUGUUUUGAUCGGUUGCUAUUAAUGAUAAUAAUGGCUUGUAGGGUGCUACUUCAGAUUUCUUUUUUCCAAUUUAAUACUUCUAUUUCAGUUAUAAAUGUGUCAUCAUUUUUUGUGUAUUGAAAUCCAUUGGCUGCAAUAUGAAAAAUUCUUUAUAUUGGUAAAAAGUGCAUAAUUGUAAAAUUUGCUCGUGAUAUUUUUAUGAAGAUACACAGAUGAAUAAGUAUUCUCUUCUCCUUGUAUGUUUCUCCAUUUUCUAGAGACUGUCUAUAUUUAAACAUUGAUUUUUUUUUUUUACAGUCUUAACUAAUGACUAAUGAGAAAUUUUUCAUGCUUCAAUUAAGAAAUUUUGAUAUGUAUAAUAAUUGGAGAUGGAGUCCAAGGGUAGGAAAAUAGUUUUUAAUUAUAAUUACCAAUACUAUUAUGAUGUAAUCAAUUGGAGUGUUUUACUUCAUUUAAUUAGUGCCACAUUAAAAUACAAUAAUUCUAAUUAAAAGAUAUGAGGGUAAUUUAAGGAUAACAAAAACUAAGAUAAAAAAAAAGUGCUUACACUUACACUCCCUAAUACCAAGAGUGGAGUCCAAGGUUAGGUAAAUAGUAUUUAAUGAGCAGUUUUUAAUUAUAAUUACCAAUACUAUUAAGAUGUAAUCAAUUGGAGUGUUUUAUUUCUUUUAAUUAGUACCACAUUAAAAUGCAAUAAUUCUAAUUAAAAGACAUGAGGGUAAUUUAGAGAUAACAAAAAUUAAGAUAAAAAAGUGCUUACACUUACACUCCCUAAUAACAAGAUUCAUACUUUUUAUAUAGUAAUAAUAUGACCACUCUGGGGCUUGGUUUGGCGGUUGAGGUUGCUGAAGAUGGAGCCUUAGGUCCCUGGUUCGAACCUUGCUGCCAGCAAGUUAUGGAGAGAAUUUACUAAAUACUUGAGUGUAGUGAUAGGAGUUUAUUUUACGUAUUUUUAAGUGCAUUUUAUUAGUUAAUUUUGAGUUGAUUAUUUAGUUUUAUAAAUAAAAUAAAGAGAUUUUUGGUAAAAUUAUAUAUUUUUGGUAAAAGUGGAUAAUAUUGCAUUUCUAUUGAUUUUAAUGGUAAAAACUUCAUUUUUAUGCAGGAAUGAUGAUUCAAUCACCAACGGAUGUCAAAUGAGGUGAAAAAUAGAGAUUUGGUGAUGAAUUCAAGUGGUAACAAGAAGAAUGAAGUGAAAAACGUUCAAGUGAGGAAAUGCAAUACAAGUCAGUUUUGACACUCUUCGGUAUUUUGACCAUAUCUGGAGUUACACUUAUCGGAUUGAGGUGAUCUUUAAACCAUUUUAAAGAUAAGAAAGAGACCUACAAUUCAUAUGAAGACAUCGAAAUCCAAUUCUGCCAUUUUCAUAGACAAAAAGUCGGAAUACAAAAGCUGCAUUCUGUGGUCGGAAGUUAAAACAGAGGCUUGACUAGGUGUUAGUAUUUCAAUCAUAUCUCAGGCUACAAAACUCUGAUUUGGAUGAUUUUUGAAGCAUUGAAAAGCUAACUCAAAGGGCUACAACUUUUAUGUUUUGUACAAAAGCUAGUUCGGCCUUUAUCAUGGAGAAAAUCGCAGUUGAAAUAAGGCUAGAGCGAAAACGCGAGUAGACAAAACGCGAUUUUUUUCCGCGUUUUGUGUAGGCGCGUUUUGUAGCCGAAAAUCUGCAAUUUGCUCAAGCAUUCCUCUUGUGUUCAGACUACUUUCCAGCUAUAAGUUGCAAGGGAAUUCGGUGCACAUGCUUCAGAAGACCAAAGGGCAAGAAAGGGGGCUUAUUUUCAAGUCAAAAAUCAAUAUUUUUGACUAUGCUAACAAAGUGGAGAUUUGGGAAUCAAAGGUUAGAAUUUGACUUGGAAAAAUGGAGCCUUUGAGUAGUUUUUAUGCAGAGACAUUGAGGGAGGUCUGGACAUCCAGACGUAGCUAGUAUUCUCAACUAAAAAACAUAGUCUCUCUAGUUAGGUACUUGCAAGGGGCAAUUGAGGUUUCAUCUUGUAAUCAUCUAAGUUCAAGACAAAGGAGAUUUUUGGAAGGUUUCACCAUAUCUUGGCUAAGACUUUCUUUACUCUUUUUGUAUUUGUAAUUCAUGAUGAUUUACAUUAAUGAAGUUACGAGUGUUUCAUCAUUCAUGAGUAGCUAAUUUCCUUUAUCUAGGGAGUAGAUGAAGCUUAUGGCAAAAUGAUAUGAAGUGAUUGUGAUUUAUACUUGUUAUGUCUUGUAUUAACUUAUCUACUUUUGUAUGUUGGAUUACUUGUUGUUGCUUGAUCACCAAUAGCAGGUUUAUAGUUGUUUUUACUCAUUGAGAAUGGUAAAAAUAAUGGAAUGACAUAAGUAGAGUUUGAGUAGUAUAUUCAUGAGAAUAGAAAUACAUUCAAGUGGAUAAAAUCUAUAUUUCAGGUAUGCACAAAACAGAUUUAGUAUUUUCCAAGAAAUUAGGAAAAACUAAUCUGUUUUAACCCAUUAUUAUCAUGAGAAUGUGAUUUUUGUAUUGUUGGAAAUGAAUCCUUGGUUAAAUAAGAGUUGUAACAAGUGUUAAAUUCAUUCAUUUUAGAUCUUUUGUGUCAUAAGUGGAAUCUACAUCCCUAGAUCUUAAUAUUUAGUGAAUUCUACUCCUUUUGUGAAAUUGCAUUUAUCUAGUUAAGAAUUUUUGUAAUUGGAUUAAAUUCUGAAUUUUCUGCUCAAAUUUAUUGUGAGUCUAGAUAAUAGAGUAAAUUAGUAUCUAAUAAUUGUUUUAAUUGCUCCUCGUGGGAUCAACCCGAUACAUACCCAAUAUUACGAUUUUGGCCUGUAUACUUGCAGUAAAACGGGUAUAAUUCAGAAUUAAACUUGCACUUAAAGUAAAAACCAGUCAAGUUUUUGGCACCGUUGCCGGGGAGCGGCAAUAUUAGAGCCUAAUCAACUCUAUUAAUUUAGACAGAUUUAUUUUUAUUAGUUGAGCUGAUUAUAUUUAAUCUUAUAUUGUAAUCAGUUUUUCACAAUUGAAAUUGUAUAAUAUCUCUUAUUUCUGUUUGUAGUGUAUGCACCGGGCGUCUCGGGAAAUUACACCUUUCAAUCCAGAAAUUGAGAGGACACUACGUAGACAAAUGAGGCAUCCACCACAGCAAGAGGAACAAGAGAUUUGGCAAUCUAUAGAGGAAAUCUCAAUAGAUCUACCAUUUGAGGAAGAGAUGGCCGAAAAUGAAGCAAAUAGGCGAGUUUUACGAGAUUUUGCUCUACCGGGAACACAAGGAUUUCAAACAAAUAUAGUAAGGCCUAUGGUAAAUGCUAACAAUUUUGAGAUUAAACUAUCACUUAUCCAAAUGGUUCAACAAUCUCAAUUUGGAGGUAAUGCAGUAGAAGAUCCUAAUUCACACUUAACUACAUUUUUGGAAAUUUGUGAUACAAUUAAAAUGAAUGGAGUUAGUAAUGAUGCUAUAAGGCUAAGAUUGUUCCCAUUUUCAUUGAGAGAUAAGGCCAAACUUGGGUUACACUCUCAUGCUCCUAAUACUUUCACCGGAUGGGAUUAUUUAUCAAGAGCAUUCUUGAAUAAGUAUUUUCCACCAGGUAAGACUGCUAAACUAAGAAUGGAUAUCACUAGUUUUAGCCAAUUGGAAGGUGAAUCAUUAUAUGAGGCAUGGGAAAUGUUUAGAGAUUUGCUUAGGAAAUGUCCACAUCAUGGACUGCCGGAGUGAUUAAUCAUACAAACCUUCUAUAAUGGUUUAGCUUUUUCUACUAAAACUAUGAUCGAUGCAGCUACAGGUGGAGCUUUAAUGGGUAAAUCACCCCAAGAAGCUCAGAAUUUGAUAGAAGAAAUGGCUGCAAAUAACUAUCAAUGGGCCAAUGAGAGAGGUAAUACAAGACGUCACACAGGUAUGAUAGAAAUGGACACUCUCAAUAUGCUGAGUGUUCAAAUGAAUAAUGUGAUGAAAUUGCUAAGUAGACAAGGUGAAGUUGGUCCAAGUUCAUCUAAUGCACAUGUAGCGUGUUGUUCUAUAUGUGGAGAUGAACAUGAUACUAAUGAGUGUGUUGAUUCUGAGCAGGUACAAUUCGUCAAUUAUUACAAUUGUAAUGCUCAAAAUAACCCCUACUCGAAUACUUACAAUUCAGGGUGGAGAAAUCAUCCAAACUUUGGAUGGAAGGACCAAGGAAAUCAACCAAGGCAAACCAAUUCACCGGGGUUCCAAUCAAGGCAACCACAAGCUGAAACUAAACCGGGUUGGGAGAUUGCAGUGGAAAAACUUGCUAAGGUUACCCCGGACAGAUUUGAACGAGUAGAAGGGAGACUAGAUCAACUCACUACAAUGUAGAGGAAUGUAGAGGUCCAAAUUGGUCAAAUUGCUAGUUCUUUGAAUAAUCAAAAUCAAGGAAAAUUACCUAACAAAACAGAGGUCAAUCCUAAGGAGCAUGUGAAAGCCAUUACUCUUCGUAGUGGUAGACAAUUAGAAGAUCCUCCAGUGGUGGAAGUUGAGAAAGUUGAGAACGAAAAACAAGAAGAAAAGCAGAGGAACCAAGAGGUGAUUGUGGAGGAAAAUAGUCGGGAGAAUCCAAGAGAAAAGCAACCAUCAUCUUCCACUACCAUUCCAAUACCUCUUGCGGUUCCAUUUCCACAAAGAUUAAAGCAAAAUAAGUUUGAUAAAGAUUUUGAAAAAUUUGUUAAACUUUUCAAACAAUUGCACAUUAACAUUCCUUUUGCCGAUGCUAUUUUGCAGAUUCCGUCUUAGACGAAAUUUCUCAAGGAAAUCAUGAUUAGAAAAAGAAAGUUGAAAGACUGCGAAACAAUAGUAUUAACGGAGGAAUAUAGUGCAAUUAUUCAAAAUAAGCUACCACUGAAGUUGAAGGAUCCGGGGAGUUUUUCUAUACCUUGCACCAUAGGUAACGUUGAUUUUUCUAAGGCAUGGUGUGAUCUUGGUGCUAGUGUAUCAUUAAUACCUUUAACGGUGGCUAGACAAUUGGGUUUGCAUGAGUUUAAACGCACUAAUAUUACUUUGCAACUAGCGGAUCGAUCUAUUAGAUAUCCAUUGGGAGUGUUGGAGAAUGUAUUGAUAAAAGUUCAAAAAUUUAUCAUUCCAGUGGAUUUUGUGAUAUUAGAUAUGGAAGAAGAUAUAUCUAUGCCAAUUAUUCUAGGUAGACCAUUUCUAGCUACUGCAGGUACUAUUAUUGAUGUCAAAAAUGGCAAGCUUAAGUUUCAAGUAGGUGAAGAAGAGGUAGAAUUUAAUUUGAAUAAAAUGGAAAAAUACCCUUCUUUUACCGAUCAUGCUUAUUCUAUUGGCACAAUUGAUAAACUAACCCAAGAGAUGAGUCAAGUCAACUUUGACUUAGAUCCUCUUGAGUAUUGUUUAAUGAGUUUAGAUAAGCAAGAAGAUGUUUGUGAAGAAAUUGAAGAAUUGGCCAAGUACUUGGAUUUUCAAGCACCUUAUAAAAGGGGUAAUUUGUAUGAAAGUUUUGGCCAAGAAAAAGGGUUUUCACAACCUUCAGAAAUUGAACCUCCAAAGUUAGAGCUCAAGCCACUUCCAACUCAUCUAAGGUAUGAAUUUCUUGGAGAAAAUAGCACUUUACUUGUAAUUGUUAGUGCUGACCUUGAUGAUGAGCAGUGUGCAAAGUUGUUAAGAGUUCUAAGAAGGCGUAAGAAGGCAAUUGGAUGGACAAUUUCAGACAUUAAAGGUAUAAGUCCUUCUAUAUGCAUGCAUCGAAUUUUAUUGGAGAACGGUUGCAAACCAGUGGUGGAAACACAAAGAAGACUCAAUCCAAACAUGAAAGAGGUGGUAAGAAAUGAAAUUCUUAAGUGGCUUGACGCAGGUAUAGUUUUUCCUAUCUCCGAUAGUGUUUGGAUUAGUCCAAUUCAUGUGCUACCAAAAAAAGGUGGAAUAACUACAAUCGUGGGUAAAAAUGAUGAAUUAAUUCCAUCUAGACUUGUGGUAGGGUGGAGAGUGUGUAUUGAUUAUCGUAAGUUAAAUACGAUAACAAGAAAAGAUUAUUUUUCCCUACCAUUUCUUGAUCAAUUAUUGGAGUGAAUAGCUGAAUAUGAAUUUUACUGUUUUAUUGAUGGUUUUUCAGGAUAUAAUCAAAUAGCUAUAACUCCAGAGGAUCAAGAGAAGACCACAUUUACAUGUCCUUAUGGCACUUUUGCCUUUAGAAGAAUGCCAUUUGGUUUAUGCAAUGCUCCUGUAACUUUUCAACGAUGCAUGAUGGCUAUAUUUUCAUAUUAUAUUGAGAAAAUUAUGGAGAUAUUUAUGGAUGAUUUUUCUGUGUAUGGUUCAUCUUUUGACCAUUGUCUUCAUAAUUUGGAAUUGAUUUUGCAGAGAUGCGAGGAAACAAAUCUUGUACUGAAUUGGGAGAAAUGCCAUUUUAUGGUAAAAGAAUGAAUUGUCUUAGGACACAAGAUUUCCUCCAAGGGAAUUAAGGUGGAUCAAGCCAAAAUAGAAGUCAUCGAAAAAUUGCCACCCCCAAACAAUGUCAAGGGGAUAAGGAGUUUUUUAGGACAUGCUGGCUUUUAUAGACGUUUUAUUAAAGAUUUUUCUAAAAUAGUAAAGCCAUUAUGUGAUUUAUUAUGUAAAGAUACCCCUUUUCAAUUUGAUGACAAUUGUUUGGUUGCAUUUGAAAGGUUGAAGAAGGAAUUGAUUUCGGCCCCAAUUAUAACUUCGCCCGAUUGGUCACUACCAUUUGAAUUGAUGUGUGAUGCAAGUGAUUAUGCGAUUGGAGCAGUUUUGGGACAAAAGAAAGAAGGACGGUUGCACGUCAUUUACUAUGCUAGCAAGUUGCUAAAUGAGGCACAACUCAAUUAUGCAACUACAAAAAAAGAGCUAUUGGUUGUGAUAUUUGCUUUGGAUAAAUUUAGAUCUUAUUUAGUAGGAUCUAAAGUUAUUAUAUAUACGGACCAUGCGACUCUUAAAUAUUUGCUACAUAAAAAAGAUGCAAAACCUAGACUAAUUCGGUGGAUUCUUUUAUUGCAGGAAUUUGAUGUGGAGAUAAAAGACAAAAAGGGAACGGAGAAUCUAGUAGUGGAUCAUCUAUCACGCCUAGAAUAUAUUCCAGUCAAGGAUCAAGUUCCUAUUCAAGAGAAUUUUCCGGAUGAAUUUGUCCUAGCAAUUAUCAAUUCUCCAUGGUAUGCUGAUAUUGCUAAUUUUUUGGUAAGUAGAGAGAUUUCAAGAGGAUUUAAUUACCAUCAAAAGAAGAAAUUCUUACAUGAUGUCAAAAGUUACUUUUGGGAGGAACCAUUGCUGUAUAAACAUUGUGCCGAUGGUAUGGUGCGUAGAUGUAUUCCCGAAAAUGAGGUACAUAAUAUUUUAUAUCAUUGUCAUAACCUUGAAACAGGUGGUCAUUUUAGCACUUCAAAGAUUGUGGCAAAGGUAUGGCAAUCAGGAUUUUAUUGGCCAACUAUGUAUCGAGAUGUUCGGGAAUAUGUUAAAAGUUGUGAUGCAUGCCAAAAAAUUGUAAAUAUAUCUCGAAAGAAUGAAAUGCCCCUAACUACCUUCUUAGAAAUUGAAUUAUUUGAUAUAUGGGGUAUAGAUUUUAUGGGACCAUUUCCAAGUUCUUUUAAUAAUAAGUACAUCUUAGUAGCAGUGGAUUAUGUUUCUAAAUGGGUAGAAGCAAUCGCUUCACCUACUAAUGACUCUAAGGUUGUACUCUGAUUCCUUAAAAAGAAUAUUUUUUGUAGAUUCGGUAUACCUAAAGCCAUAAUAAGUGAUGAAGAAAAACAUUUUUGUAACAAACAACUGGAUUCCUUAUUGUUUAAAUAUGGCUGUAGGCACAAGACAUCACUCCCGUACCAUCCUCAAGCCAAUGGACAAGCGGAGCUAACUAAUCGUGAGAUAAAGCUCAUUUUGGAGAAAACUGUGAAUAAAUCACGCAAGGAUUGGGCUAUAAAGCUAGAUGACACACUAUGGGCUUACCGAACGGCAUUUAAGACUCCCUUAGGGAUGUCACCGUAUCGUUUAGUCUAUGGAAAAACUUGUCACUUACCUGUAGAGAUUGAACAUAAAACUUAUUGGGCUAUUAAAGCAAUUAAUAUGAAUUUUAAUCUUGUAGGCGGAAGGAGAUUACUUGAGCUGAGUGAAUUGGAGGAACACCGGUUACAUGCAUACGAAUAUGCCAAAAUUUAUAAAGAAAAGAUCAAAUAUUGGCAUGACAAGCAUAUUAUUCCUAAACAAUUUCAGGUAGGCCAAAAAGUGCUUUUAUUCAAUUCACGCCUGAGGUUAUUUCCAGGAAAAUUGAAGUCAAGGUGGUCUGGACCAUUUGAAGUCACUCAAGUAUUUCCCUAUGGAGCUGUUGAAGUGGCAAAUUCAAGAAAUGAAAGGUUUAAGGUCAAUGGACAACGAUUGAAACCCUACUUGGUAGGUGAAAUCAUACCCAAGGGGCUUAUAUGUCUUUUGGGCGAGCCCUCUUCAAUAUAAGAACCUAAUAUGUGAGUCGAGCCAACGACUAUAAACAAGAGCGCUAAUUGGGAGGCAACCCAAUAUUUAUGUUAUAUGUGUUAAUUUGGUGUGAUUUUGUGGUUUGAAUAAGUGUUUUAGUUAAGUUGAUGUUUUUGUGUUAUAGAGUUGACAAUUUGAAGCAAGAAUGACCAUUUGAGGUAAAGAAGACGAACUUUGAUCAACCCACUCAACCCCUUGAUUUGCGUUAAAUGUGUAUUUGAUCCGUCGAAAAGGGGUAAAAUGCAUGCUUUUAUCAUUUUACAUGUGCGUACAUUGAUAAAUUUUGCAACAAAUGAUCCAUGAUGCAUUUUGAGUGAUUGGGGUACCAAUGGUAAUUUUUCAAAGUUCAUUUUCUGCAAAAAAAUUGCAGAAGAAAACGCGCCUAGCAUAAAAACGCGGUUCAUUGUCGCGUUUUCAUCAAAACGCGUUUCCAAUUCUGCAACCACAAUGAAGAAAACGCGCUUAAAAACGCGACAUAGAGUCGCGUUUCUUAGAUAAAUCGCGUUUUCAAACCUGGAUCAUAAUCCAAAAACGCGACUUAAAAUACGCGACUCAAAGUCGCAUUUUCAAACACAGCCGCGUUUUUACUCCUGCAAGAUUUGUGCAUAAAACGCGACUUUAGAAAUGCGAGUUGAAUGUGCGUUUCUAGUCGCGUUUUCUGUGUCCCAAUAUAGGCUUCAGAAACCCGAUUUCAGCUUCAUUUCUUCCUCUCUUCUUAAUUUUCCAGACGCGUUUUUCUUCUUCUCUUCUACCCAACUCACAAAUCUUCAAUUUUGUUCCAUAAUCUUGCUAGAAAACAUCAACCCAACACCUUUUGAGUUUCAUACAACCUUUUUAACUGAUUAAAAUCCAAGAAAAACACCUCAAAUUUAGUUUUUGAAGGAUUGAAGGUUAGGGUUCUUCAACUCUAAUUUCUUCAAUUGGAGGUCAAUUGGAGGUUGUUUCAUAGGGCUUUUUGCAUUUUUAGCAUCACCAAACAUCCUUCUACGUGAUUGAGGUAAGUUUCUUCAUCAAAUCUUUUGAUUUUAGAAAGUCAUAUUCUUUAUCCUGAGCUAUCUGACAUCUUUUAAUGUCGAAAAUUUGAUGAUGUAUUUGACUAUUUUUGAAUUUAUUCAUGCUUAUUGAGAUUGUUUAAGUAUGUUUAUGAGUUUAAAUGUAGCAAUUUGUUGGUCAUUAUUGCUUUAUAAAUUCAUAAUUGCUAUAUUUGAAGGAAAUCGGAAAAUGAAGUUAGGAUGUUUUUGAGCCAUUGGUGAUGUUUAAUUAUGGUUAAGAAUGGUUAGUUGAUGAUGUUUGAGCAUGUGCAUUGGGUAUAGUGAGUAAUUUGGUUGAUUUGGUGAGUUCAUUGGUUUAAUUUUUGCUUAAACAUGAUUAUAGCUAAAAGCAUAUUUUUAUUGUUACGUUUAAAUAGUUAUAAUCAUAAUUGUUGUUAAUUUCACUGAUUGGGUUAUAAUUAUUCAAUAUCUUGUUUCAAUUGGUGAGUUUGAGCAAUUUUUGGCAUAAAUUAUGGCUCUUCUUGAUUCGGUCUUUUACAUUAGUUAUUGGACGAAUUAUCACUUGCAAGGACACAUUAGAGAUUAUUUGGAUCAUUUUAGGAUAUUCAUUGCCAAAUUGUACAUUGUGUCUAAAUACAUGUGAUUAAUUGCAACAUUUUCUUUUAGGUACAAUGCCAAGGGGAAGAAGAGCGGUACUUUCAUCCUCUAGUAGUGAGGAGAGGGAGGUUAAUGAGGAGAUGGAGGUGACUGAGGAGGAGAAUUCACCUUCUCCUCCACCAGUUAACCGAUAGCCUGGUGAGGGCACCUCCCGUGGAGCGGGUAGAUCGGUAUUUGACAGUGCUAGGUUCAAUACUCGCAGGAAUCAAGAAUGGCAUGAGGAGCACGCUAACUUGGAGUUCCUGUUUGAGAUGCAUGUCAACCCAACAGUUGAGAUGAUGUAUAACAUCUCAGAGGCUUUUGCUCAGUUGGGAUGGGCGCCGAUUCUCACCCUACCAAACCAUUACUACCCCGAUUUGGUGCUCGAGUUUUACGCCAACAUUGAAAGUAAGGCGCGCCAUAGUGGAGAAAUAGUUGAGUCCUGGGUGCGUGGAAAACGAAUCACCUUGUCACGUCAAGAUUUGGCCGCUAUUUUGGGGUGUAUGGAUGACAGACGUCCAGUAGAUCUGAAGAAGGAGUUUGUUCCCCCGAAUAGGAGGUGGGAUCCCUCGUUGGCCAUGGCUAGGUUUGGUCUCGAGUACCAACCUUUUCGCUCUACCAGAAAGGAGACCAUAUUGGCGAAUGUAUUCGAACCUCGUCAUCGUCUUAUCAUUUACAUGAUGGCUCACAAUGUCAUCCCAAAGAAGACGGGGCACACGGAGGUCCGCAACAGCGAUAUCUACUUCUUGGAUUACAUGUUCCAUAACCGGACGUCUCCAUAUACUCGGAUUUCAUUGCCUAACAUCAUCAUCAGCCACAUUAGGUCUACGGCGAGGCGUAAGACAACUUCCUUCAAACUAUCAUUUCCUCGUCUACUGACUUUAAUCUUCCCCCGUUUUGAGGUUCAGUUGGAAGGAAUGAGGCGGGAGAUUGUUCCACCACGGGCUGAGAUGACUAUCACUACUCUUCGCCGCCUUGGUAUUGGCAUGGGGGACAUUCCACGCCCUGUUCAGGAGCGGAGAUAGAAGGCUAGACAUGGUCGCGAUGAACCCGGACUAUCUACUGCAGCACCACCUUCUCCUCCACCACAGACUAAUUGGCAGCGACUUUUUGACCAUAUGGACGACUUUGCAUUCCAAUUUGCUGACGUUAGGAAUCGUCUAAGCCGAAUUGAAGAUCAUUUGGGCAUUCAUCCACCGCCCAAUCGUGAUGCACAGGAUGACGAUGAUGCCGAGGGGGAUGACUGACUUGGCGCAUUGCAGAAGCUAUCUUUAGUUGCUGGAUUUGCUUGCCUUAUUGUCUUAUCUUGUGGACCUUAAGUUGUUUAACUUCAUUUUAUUUUUCUGUUUUCUAUGUGGUAGGUACUUGUAUUUUGACAGUGGUUCGAGAUUAGUGGCUGAUAAGAAUCUCAGCCAUUGACUUGGGGAGUAUUUCUUUCUUUUCUUUUCUACUUUUGUUUAUUUCCUUCCCUACACAUUGAGGACAAUGUGUAAUUUAAGUGUGGGGGGAGAAAUAUGUGUGGUACUUGUGAUUUUAGUUGUGUUUGAUAUAAUUCUUAUGCUUAAAUUGUGUUUCUUGUGGUUGCUGGCCGGGAGUUUUAGUCCACUUUUAAGGGGAGAUUCUGUCAAAAUUUUUCCAAAACCUUAUACAUAUAUAUGUUAUUAACCAUAAUAAAUAAAUAAAAUUUUGUCACUUAUCCUUUUGAAAUAAAUAUAUGUGGUUUUGAAACUUCUUUUCUCAUGGAAUUUGAAAAUGAUUUUUAUGUGAUUAUAAUUUUUACAUCUAUAGGAAAGUAUAUCUAGUAAAGUGGAGAAAAUUAUGCCUACAUUUUGCAUAUUUGAUGAAAAUUCUUCUUUUUAUCUGAUUUUAUAAGAUAAGAAAUUAAUAUGGUCAAUAAGUGUCAUACUUUUCUCAUGAUUAUUCUUAGAGGGAAUUUUAUUAUAUAUAUAUAUAUAAAAGGGUUAUUCUACUCCAAUAGUUUUUGUACUUAGUAACCGAGAGUCUUCAUCUACAAAUGUCGACUUUCGCGUAAAACGAUACUUAAAUUAAGAGUAUGAAAAGCAACUUGAGUAUGUGAAAUAUUGAGUAACCGGGGAUCUUCAUCUAAAAAUGUCGAUCUUCACGUCAAAAGGCAUUUUUCACAACUUAAGUAAUAUUUAACUCUUAAAAUAUAUACAUAAAAAAAAACAAAGAGUAAGUAAAAUAAAUCUCUCUUUAAAAGAAAAAUAAGAAGUUGAUCAUGAGAUUAGUUAGCAUCUUUAUUGACUAUAGAAGUUGCUUGCUUGCGAAAUUGGAUAAAAAUAAGAAAUUGAGUUGAAUUGGUAAAAAUUAUGGUAUAUUUGGCUCCUCUUUGCUUGAUAUGAUGAGUACUUGAGGUUAAUUGAAAGAUCACAUAAGGUUAUUUACCUUGAUUCAAGGAAAUGGAGUUGAAGUACUACAUAUGUUUAUUUUCAAAUUUUUGGAUCAUUGAUGGUUGGAAUUUUAUAUUGCUUGAGGACAAGCAAUGAUUCAAGUGUGGGGGUAUUUGAUAAGAGUUUAUUUCACGUAUUUUUAAGUGCUUUUUAUUAGUUAAUUUUGAGUUGAUUAUUUAGUUUUAUAAAUAAAAUAAAGAGGUUUUUGAUAAAAUUAUAUAUUUUUGGUAAAAGUGGAUAAUAUUGCAUUUCUAUUGAUUUUAAUGGUAAAAACUUCAUUUUUAUGCAGGAAUGAUGAUUCAAUCACCAAAGGAUGUCAAAUGAGGUGAAAAAUAGAGAUUUGGUGAUGAAUUCAAGUGAUAACAAGAAGAAUGAAGUGAAAAACAUUCAAGUGAGGAAAUACAAUACAAGUCAGUUUUGACACUCUUCGGUAUUUUGACCAUAUCUGGAGCUACACUUAUCGGAUUGAGGUGAUCUUUAUACCAUUUUAAAGCUAAGAAAGAGACCUACAAUUCAUAUGAAGACAUCGAAAUCCAUUUCUGCCAUUUUCAUAGACAAAAAGUCGGAAUACAAAAGCUGCAUUCUGUGGUCGGAAGUUAAAACAGAGGCUUGACCAGGUGUUAGUAUUUCAAUCAUAUCUCAGGCUACAAAACUCUGAUUUGGAUGAUAUUUGAAGAAUUGGAAAGCUAAUUCAAAGGGCUACAAGUUUUGUGUUUUGCACAAAAGCUAUUUCGGCCUUUAUCAUGGAGAAAAUCGCAGUUGAAAUAAGGCUAGAGCGAAAACGCGAGUAGACAAAAUGCGAUUUUUUGCCGCGUUUUGUGUAGGUGCGUUUUGUAGCCGAAAAUCUGCAAUUUGCUCAAACAUUCCUCUUGUGUUCAGACUACUUUCCAGCUAUAAGUUACAAGGGAAUUCGGUGCACAUGCUUCAGAAGACCAAAGGGCAAGAAAGGGGGCUUAUUUUCAAGUCAAAAAUAUUGGUUUUUGACUAUGCUAACAAAGUGGAGAUUUGGGAAUCAAAGGUUAGAAUUUGACUUGGAAAAAUGGAGCCUUUGAGUAGUUUUUAUGCAGAGACAUUGAGGGAGGUCUGGACAUCCAGAUGUAGCUAGUAUUCUCAAGUAAAAAACAUAGUCUCUCUAGCUAGGUACUUGCAAGGGGCAAUUGAGGUUUCAUCUUGUAAUCAUCUAAGUUCAAGACAAAGGAGAUUUUUGGAAGGUUUCACCAUAUCUUGGCUAAGACUUUCUUUACUCUUUUUGUAUUUGUAAUUCAUGAUGAUUUACAUUAAUGAAGUUACGAGUGUUUCAUCAUUCAUGAGUAGCUAAUUUCCUUUAUCUAGGGAGUAGAUGAAGCUUAUGGCAAAAUGAUAUGAAGUGAUUGUGAUUUAUACUUGUUAUGUCUUGUAUUAACUUAUCUACUUUUGUAUGUUGGAUUACUUGUUGUUGCUUGAUCACCAAUAGCAGGUUUAUAGUUGUUUUUACUCAUUGAGAAAUGGUAAAAAUAAUGGAAUGACAUAAGUAGAGCUUGAGUAGUAUAUUCAUGAGAAUAGAAAUACAUUCAAGUGGAUAAAAUCUAUAUUUCAGUUAUGCACAAAACAGAUUUAGUAUUUUCCAAGAAAUUAGGAAAAACUAAUCUGUUUUAACCCAUUAUUAUCAUGAGAAUGUGAUUUUGGUAUUGUUGGAAAUGAAUCCUUGGUUAAACAAGAGUUGUAACAAGUGUUAAAUUCAUUCAUUUUAGAUCUUUUGUGUCAUAAGUGGAAUCUACAUCCCUAGAUCUUAAUAUUUAGUGAAUUCUACUCCUUUUGUGAAUUGCAUUUAUCUAGUUAAGAAUUUUUGUAGUUGGAUUAAAUUCUGAAUUUUCUGCUCAAAUUUAUUGUGAGUCUAGAUAAUAGAGUAAAUUAGUAUCUAAUAAUUGUUUUAAUUGCUUCUCGUGGGAUCGACCUGAUACAUACCCAAUAUUACGAUUUUGGCUUGUAUACUUGCAGUAAAACGGGUAUAAUUCGGAAUUAAACUUGCACUUAAAGUAAAAACCCGUCAUCUAGGAAUGUAGAUUCCACUUAUGACAUCAAAGAUACAAGUAAAUAGAUUUACCUCUUGUUACAACUCUUGUUUAACUAGGGAUUCAUUUCCAAUAUUACCAAAUCUCAUUCUCAUGAUGAAAUGGCCUAAACUAGACUAGUUUUCCAUAUUCUCAUGGUGAAUAACUAGAUCUACUCUUGUUUCCUUCAUGAAAUGCAAGUUUAAUCCACUUAAGUGUAUCUCUAUUCUCAUGAGUCUACUACUUAAGCUCUAUUUAUGUUGUUCCAUCAUUGUUACCAACAUUCAUUAAAUAAUAACAACUCAAAGCUUGUUAUUGGUGAUCAAGCAACAACAAGUGAUAAGCAUGCAUAAAUAAACAAGUUAAUACAAGAUAUAGCAAGUGUAAAUCAUAUUUACUUCAUAUCAAGUAGUCAUAAGCUUCAUCUACUCCCUACUCAUAUGAUAAAUAACAAGAAAUACAUAGUUUGAUUGCAUGAACACAUAUUGAAUCACAAGUAAAAAGAUAGAUAAAGAAAGUUUAGCCAAGAAGUGAAGAAGCUCCCAAUGAUCUUCUAUUUCUUCAACAAAAUGAGUUGUACAAUGGAGUCUUCAAUUGUUCACACAAAUUAUUCUCGCUAGAGAGAACAAGACAAGACUUAAAACUAAGUUCUAAUGCUAAAAUCGGAUUAUAUCUACUUCUAAUGUCCUAUUCUCUCCUUUUCUAAUGAUUCUUACAUCUCUAGUGUUAAGAGAGUAAAAAAGUGAUUUUUUAGACAAGACAUAAAACUCCUUUUCUCUUCCAAAAGGUCCCUUCAACAUGUGCAGCCGAAAUUCUUGUCUAGAGUAGAGCUGGAAAGUAGUGUGAAAACAGAGCAAGUGCUAAGGAAGUUGUAGAAUUCUGGCUACAAUAUGAAACCUAGUGAAUACGCAACUAGCUCUUAUGAAAAACAUGAAAGUUGUAGCCGUUUGAGUUAGCUUACCAAUGCCUCAAGAAUCAUCCCAUUUAAAUCUCUAUAAACUGAGAAAUGACCAAAAUACUCUCGACUGGUCAGAGCUUUGUUCAGCUUUUGACAAUAGAAUUGUACUUCUGUAUUUCGACAUUUUGACUAGGAAAAUGACUAAACUAGACUUUGAUAUCCUAUAUCAAAUGUAGAUCUAUGUCUUCGCUUCAAAAUGGUUCAAGAAUCAUCUCAAUCUAAUACUUUUAACUCAAGAUAUAGUCGAAAUACAAUGAUGUGUCAAAUCUGAAAAACUUGCAUUUCUUUUGUUCUUGUUUGCAUUUCAUCUUUGCACUUCAUGUCUUCUUUAAACUACUUCAAAUCAUCAAUAAUCAUCUAAAUAUGUUCUCAAUUCACUCCCUUUGUUGAUUGUAUCAAUAAACCUACAAAAACAUGAAAUUUUCAUCAUUAAAAUCCAUAGAAAUGCAAUUUUUAUCACUUAAAUCACAAAAUGUACAUUUUCACUAAAAUCCUAGUUAAUUAGCUAUAAAAGUGACUAAAACACACCAAAACUAAUUAAUAAAACACACUAAAAAUAUGUAAACUAUAUACGUAUCAGCAUGCACAAUCUCUAGCCUAGUGAAAAAUAAGCAUUAGAUGCAAAAAGCAUUUGAAUGGCAAAUUAGAGGAUAACAAGAUUAUACGAAAGUUUUUCUUCAAAAUGGGGGGAGAGAACACCUAGUUUGAUCAUUAAAUUUGUAAGUAUUACCUCAUUGAUCAUGAUUAGAAAUCUGGUUGAUUUCUCAUUUCCUAAUCUAUUAUGUUCCUCUCCAUGUAUGUUGUUGGAUACUUUAUGAAGUAUCGGACAAUCAAAUGCAUGAGCUAGUGUUGUAUGAGCUAAUGUCUGCCAACGAUGAGCCCAAGAGGGAUCCAAUGGAUUGAUAUGAUUUUCUUUAGCAUCUUCAAUGGUUUCAAUUCCUAUACCCAUGAGCAGGUUUGAUGUCACUGCAUUACCAUAUUCUACUUUAGGUCACGUUUUGAGCCAAUCUGUGGUGGUUGUGACCAUUGUCUAAUUGGGAACCAUUUUCCUUGCAACCUUCUUAGCUUAAAUUUAAUGUAUUCUGAGGCUUCAAUUUUACUUUCUGAAGGGAACAACCUCUUUAUUGUUGAGCUAUACUACAAUUCAAGAAAAACUAACAACAUGAGAGUCCAGUGUCCUUUUAUUUUGCUUUCUCAUUUCUCUCUCAAAUUUUUUUCCUCUUUCUUUCCUUUUCUUCUUUUUAGUUUCAUGUAGAUAUUUUGCAGAAAACAUUAGGAGGACAUCAUAUCAACUAGUGUCUAGUAAAAUCUGACAUAUUAACUAUGUUAUCGUAAUUUUAUACUCCUGUCCUGAUUUCUAAAGCACUAAAGAUGUUCGUGGCAGUUCCUAGAAAGCUUUUCCUUCGCGUAAAAUGUUAUUUACUUUCUCCCUUGACCUUAUUUGAGUGGAAAACCCUGAUUCUUUUGCCACCUUAAAUUGUUGCUUCAGGUUUUUAUAAGCAUGUUGCCCGAACCAAAAGAGUUGGCAUGAAGUAUCAUUAAUGAGGGAGGAAAGGAUGAAUCCAUGAAAAUAUAUGUUACCCUGGAGCUUUCUGACUUACUGCAUACCUGAGUGGGUAAUGUUUCUUUUCCGAGCUAGCUGAUUUUGACAGUGCAACCUCUGGAUUCUUUGGGAAGAUACCUUGUGAAAGUAGUAUGUGCAGCGUAAAUCCUUAUGAUCAGCCAAACAAAAGUUUGAAAUACCAAUCUGUAAAACCUCCAGACUCAUUGGAAGAUUCCUUAUGAAUGUUGUAUGUGCAGAGCUAAUUUAAAUGCCUAUAUCAGCUAAGUAAAAGUUUGAAAUUCCAACUCAUAAACUUGGAAAAGACUAAAAAACAAACCCAAAUAGGUUUCAUUUGUUUUGAAAUAUAGGGACUAGGUUUGAAAGCAUUGAACUCAUUUGACUGCAAUGGGAAUGUAUGGUUUUCCUUUGUAAGUCCUAGUAUAUGCAUUUACGGUCGAGAAUUCCUCUUGGUUUAUGUAAGAACUAAUGCUUGGCUUAGCUGAUCCAGAAUUAUAGCCCUCAUUGCUAGCCUUUUUGAAUACAAUGCAAGAUUUGGACCGAAAAUGACUAGACAAGAGUUUUAAUUCUUAAGUCCCAUGUGGAGAAACUAAGCCUUUCACAUAAAGCCGAAGAAUGUAUUUUCAUCCAUUACUGACAAGAACAUCCUGUUGUACCAGUAGAUUUAAAAAGUUUCCAAGGAUGAAAUGUACCGUGGAGUAGUCUCUGAUCCACCCCCCCACCCCCAACCCCUUCUUCCCACCCCCAAAAAUAGAGAAAAUCUUGAUCAAGAAAAUUUUGUGUCACCAUGUCGGUUAAAGAAAUUCUUUUCACGAGAGCUUAUGCUGAUGAUAAUGAUCCAACUUUUCAGUCCUGUUCACUUACAUUCUCUAAGGAAGUGGGCCAUAACUUAGGGAGAUGGUGAUUGUGUACUAACUGUGUGACACACGAUAAAUUAGUUCCAGCAUAAAACAGGUUUAUGAUAUCCUUAGAAGAUAUUGUGGUUCACAAAAUUUAUCAGUUUAGGUUCUGAAUUUCAAAUAGUUAGUCUAAUUAGUUCCAGCAAUACAACAGGUUACAAAAUCCUUAGAAAAGAUAUUGUGGUCCACAACCUUUACCUAUGUGCUGGCUAAUGAAAAUUCAGCUUUUCAAGAAAUACAACUUUGAAUAUUAGGGUUAUUCUAGUUUUUCAAAGUCCCUAUUACCCAACACCAAAUGCAAAUUCAAUGAUCUUGUGCAUGUGAUAUCCUAGCAAGGAUUUUUCUUUUUCCAAGUGAAAUUAUGUAAGAAAUUUGGUUGUUUUGGUUGUCAGGGCGCUCGAAGGAAGUCCAGAUGGAGGUUUAAACUAGCAUAUUUUGUAUGGGAAAACUUCUCAAAUCUUUAAAGAACGCUUUCAGCGGAAAGUACUUGAGGUCAAAUCACCAGAAAUUUUAGCAAAUGGCUUCAGGUAAACUUGAUAGAGUUUCUUGAGUCGCUUCCGAUUUGGUUUUAUGUAAUCUUUGCACAUGAUCAUUAAAAUCGCAGGUUAAGGUUCGCAGCAGUAAGAGAUCCAAAAGCAACUUCAAGGCUCCAAAUAGGUGUUAGAAAUAUUCACUUGUUUUUAGUUGACCAUGUUUAUUUGUUUUGUUCUACCUAGUUAGUGGAGUUAGUGAAAUUAGUAGAGUUAGUGGAGAUAGUGGAGUUAGUGGAGUUCUUUUAAACUCUAUAAAUAGAGCAUUUUCAUGUUAUGAAUUAAGUAUCAGCUUUACAAAAAAAUAAAAUUUAAUUUUUGCUUCGCUUAUUAUUUUUCUCAAUAAUUGUAUUAGUCGCACCAGAGCCAAGUUCAUGAGUGAAAACAAAAGUGGGUUGUGAGAAUUGUGUUGGUAAGUCAUGGUGGCCACCAACAACUUUGUGCAGGCAACAAUUCCUCGCUUUGAUGGUCACUAUGAUCAUUGAAGCAUGCUAAUGGAGAACUUCUUGAAGUCCAAGGAGUAUUGAGGUUGUCGAAUCUAGAGUAGCGAUGCCAAAAGUCAGAGUAGUAUUGUCAGAGGUGCAGAAAACAGAGUUGGAAGUAUUGAAACUAAAGGAUCUUACAGUCAAGAAUUACCUUUUUCAAACUAUUGAUCGAGCCCUCUUGAAGACAGUUCUUGGCAAAGAUACUUCCAAGCAGAUUUGGAAUUCCAUGAAGAAGACUUAUCAAGGAAAUACAACGGUAAAGUGGGUGUAGUUUCAAUCUCUUUGGACCGAAUUUGAGACUUUAUGUGACAACCCCACUUUCCCCAAAGGUGAACUAGAGGGGUCAGCGGAUCGCCUGCCCAUCUCUUGCCAGGACUCACUACAAUCCAUAGCAAGAAUUACUUGAAAUUUCUAAACUAACCAAAAUAAUGUUCAUUACACCCCAAAAUAACAUUUACAUACAUCCAAAAGCUAUUAAUAGAUUCGUGUACAAAAGAUUCAUUAUUCGCCGUCUAUCUUAACUAUAAUCCAAAAAUAUAUACAUUACAAUCAUUUCUACUAAAAUAAAAACUUAAAGUCUCUCAAAACAUUCCAAUAGUAUUCUUGAGUACUCUCGGAUCCAAAUCCUGUUAAGGAAAACAAAACAUAGGAUGAACUUACGCCCAGUGAACAUUCCAAGUAAACUGGCCAAAUAAGAGAAUAACACAAUUUAACAUAUAAACACAUUUUCCCAAAUAAUAUAUGUUCAAGUAAAUCGAUACUCAACUUUAGAAACUAGCAGUGGAGCAAUUAAUUGUAAUAGAAAUCUUUCAAUGUAAAAUACUUGAUAAACAAUAACAUUCAUGCAUGCAUUCAAUCAUUCAUUCAAGUAAAUACAAGGAUGAACAACAAUUCGAACAUUAAAAGGAUACGGGGUUCAUAGGGAGCAACAUUUAUCUUAUAACUGCCAAUAAACGAUCUCCUAUAUUUUACCACCUUAUAAUCUCCGAACUCGCACCUUAUGUCCUCCGAAAGAUCAACAAUUCCCUUAUUUAACAUUCACCUUAUGCCCUCCGAAAAAUCAACAAUCCUCUCAUUUAACAUUAAACAUUAAACAUUGUGCUCAAGGCCUUUCGACAAAGAGUUCUGAGCUUCGCACUUAAUAUUGGUAAGUUAUAAACCCAAAGCUGUCCAACUGAUCCGACCUCGCAAAUGGCGGGUCUCGGAUAGGGUGCCGACAUAGGUUAAGCUCAGUUCAGUUGAUGUGAUAAAGUACACAUCGGCCUACAUUCUUGCAUAUUUAUCACGCGUUCAUGCAAUGUGAACAUGCGCUCAUAGCAAAUUAACAAGACAAGAAAAUCACAACAGUCAUUCACUUAUUAGCAUGUCAUUCAAAGGAGAGCACUUAAGCAAAUAAUAGCAUUUUCUCAAGUCAUGCAUAAUCAAAUAACAUGCAUUGGAACACUCACCAAUCAAUUGCAACCCUUCACUUUAACCCCAAGUCGUUCUCUUGAACUCUCUCGAGUCCUAUGGUCAUAUACUAUAUUAAAAAACUAGCAAUACAAAGCCAAAAUACAUGAAGAAAUUGAGGUUUCAUAACUUCAUUUAGAAAAUGCAUCAAUUUACAAGUUUUAUGCCUGUAUAACCUAUCAAAAUAUAAUAUUUUCUUGUUUCAAUCGAGGAGAAAACCUCAUGUGCUUACUAAAUCAACGUUGCAAAAGCCAUUUGGAGCACAAGAGCAUCGAUUAUAGUCAAACGUUUGAAGAAAUUAGAACAAGACUUUCAAAAUACAAAGUUGAAAAUUGUCUGACCUAAACUGAUUUGGAGAAACUCAUUUCCUUUCAUUUAAACCUCAAUUCCACUCAUAAAACCAAGGUUAAAAUGGUUUAACAUCUCCAACUUAAAGUUGGAAAUGGAAGCAAGGACAAGUUUAGAAAACAGAAUUUUCUCUAGUUUUGCGCGACACUGUUUGAAAAAUUGUAUUGCCAGCUUCUUAAGUCCAAAAUUUAUAAACUUUAUACUGUUGGAAAAUAGACUCAAAGGACUACAAUUUUUCAGAAUACAUAUUUGUAAGAUUCUAUCCAUAAAUCAGUCAAAUUCCAGUCUCAAGUUGCUUCUUCAUCAAGUAGAAAAACAGAGCAGGUAUGAAAAUUCAGUCAAUUUUGAGAAAUCAUAGAUAUUCAUAGAAAUUGAGAAAAAUUCUGAAAUUUUCAUGGUAGAAUGCACUCUGAAUCUAGUUUCAAACGCAAUAAGCAGCACUCAAUUUGAAUUUUUCUAUAUGAAGUUAUAGUAAUUUUACCAAACUACGCAGAGCUCUCUGCGAAAAUUUCUAGCAACACUUCCCCUUAUUUUCUUAAUUUUUCUAUCCAAACUCAACACCAAUAUUUAUAGCAAUCCAACUUCAAUCACAGCCACAAGUUAUAGGCUAUAAAUUACACUUGUUUAAGGCCACAAAAUCAUCCAAUAUAGCCAAUUUCUUGCUCAAGAAUCAACCACAACAAAGCUGAAAUUUAUAACCCUAGGCUAAAAAUUUCAACUACAAGCUGAAAUUUUCCAUAAGCAAGCCAAAAUAACUUGUAAAAGCUAGCAGAUUCACAUGGCAAAGAUACUAAAUCAUGGCCAAGAUCAAAGCAUCAUAUAAAAACUGAAAUUUCACCAUCAAAACUGAAAUUUUGAAUCACCACUCAAAUCAUGAAAUUUCUCAUGAAAGCUACCAAUAUCAAGCCCUAAAUCCACUCUUAUUCAAGUAUUAAAAGAAAAGAGAGUUUCUUGAUAGAGUUACCUUAAUACCCUAAGAAGAAAAGGAAACCAAGUGCUUCUUUCUCCCAAAUCACUCUACCAAAGCCCUUAAUCUUCUUUGGAUGACACCUUUUAUGGAGUACUUUAUAAGAUUAAAGUGAAAACUCAAGAUUCAAGCAAGGGACUAAGUUGAAAUUUUGGAGUUUUCCCCUCUCUUUUCUUGCUAGGAAGUUCAGCCAAGAAGUAGAAAGAAAGGAAGGGAAUUUUGACCAAACUUCUAAGAGAAAGUUCAAGAGAAGUCUUGGUCAAAAUUCUAUAGAUGAGUGACACUUGGCAAGGCAAUGAUUAGUGUCUAAUUAAUGACCUAAUUAUCUUGGUUGAAUAAGAAGAAAAUUUGGUCUUAGUCAAAGUUAAGAUUCUAUGGUUUUAUGACAAAUGAUAAACCAAGAGCUAAUCCUUAUCUAAUUAUCUUUCAAGCACUAAAAUAUCUAGUCAACUUCUAAUUAUCUCUUGACUCUUUACAAAUAAUAUCCCUUUGUAUCCAACUCCUCCUAAUCUUCCAAAUUUAUCACACACACCUCACUAGUGGGUCCCACUUCCAUAAUGCAUUACAGACUUAACAUGGAAUAACUUAUAUAAGGACAAUGAUUUAAAAACUUGACUCACUUGUAAAAAUAUCUAGGAAAUGAAGACAACACGGUAAAGUAACGAAAAUAUAUUUGAAAAAAUAAAAUAAGAAAAUUUUUCGGGUCCUCACACUUUACGCAUGAAGUCAAGCGAAUCGAUCACAGAUUAUUUGGCAAGAACGAUGGCAAUCACUAACAAGAUGAGGAUCUGUGGAGAACGUUUGGAGGACGUCACCAUUAUCGAGAAGAUCCUUUGAUCGAUGACAUCAAAAUUUAACUUUGUUGUAUAUUUUAUAAAGGAAUCAAAAGAUAUUGAUACACUUUCAAUUGAUGAGUUGUAGAGCUCUUUGCUGGUUCAUGAGCAAAAAAUUAACCAGCAAGAGAAAGAGGAGCAAGCAUUGAAGGUUUCAAUAGAAAGUCAUCUAACAUCGAGAGGAUAUAGAGGACAAGGCAAAGGUAGAGGCAGAGGAAACAAUAAUCGUGGCAACCAACAACAACAACACCAGCACCAAGAAAAUCAAUUUCAACGAAGAGGAAGAGGACGAAGAGGCCAUCAUUGAACAAUUCAUAGGCCAAAGUUAACAGACAAGUCUAUUGUUGAAUGCUACAAAUGUCAUAGGUGUGACCAUUAUCAGUCAGAAUGUCGAACUAAUUUGAAUAGACAAAAUGGAGAAAGGACUAACUUUGUAGAAAAAUAAGAAGUGUCUCUUUUGAUGGUGUGUCAUGUGAAUGAAGAAACUCAACAUGACAUGUGGUAUUUAAGCACCGGCAGCAGCAACCCCAUGUGUGGAGACAAGAAGGCAUUCUCUGAGUUGGAUGAGUCAUUCCGUAAUACUGUCAAGUCUGGCCAUAACUCCAUAGUUUCUGUUAUAAAAAGAGGAAGGGUAACUAUCCAAACUAAAAGAAAUUCUACUCACACUAUCAUUGAUGUUCUUUUUGUUCCAGAUUUAAAGACAAACUUACUUAGUAUGGGUCAGUUGCUAGAAAAGGGGUAUGAGAUUUCUAUCAAAGAUAGAGUAUGCAGGAUUCGAGAUGCAAAGUUGAGCUUAAUUGCUCAAGUUAACAUGACGGCAAAUUGUAUGUUCCCACUCUAUUUACAGAACUCAACUCAUUCAUGUUUUUCAGUAAAAUCAAAAGAAGUGGCAUGGUUAUGUCAUUUUCAUUAUGGACACCUAAACUUUAAUGGAUUAAAGACUCUGCAACAGAAAAAUAUAGUGGCUGGUCUACCUCAAAUUACAAUUUCUUAAGAAAUUUGUGAAGAGUGUAUCAUUGGCAAACAACAUCGAGAUCGCUUUCCAAAAAAAAAAUCAUGGAGAGCAAAACACAUAUUAGAGCUAGUUCAUUCUGAUUAUACGGACCCAUAAAUCCGCCAUCUAAUAGUGAAAAAAGUUAUUUUAUGAUGUUUAUUGAUGAUUAUAGUCGAAAAACUUGGGUCUAUUUUUUGCAGGAAAAAUUUGAAACAUUUUCAACCUUCCAAAAUUUUAUAACUCUUGUUGAAAAGAAAGUAGGCAUGUCCAUAAAGAUUAUUCACAAUGAUUGUGGUGGAGAAUAUAACUCAUAAGAAUUUGUAAAUUUUUGUGAGGAGCAUGGAAUUCAAAAGUAGCUUAUAGUAGCCUAUACGCCACAACAAGCAGUGGUGUCUCAAAAAGUUUUUGGUCUGAAGCUAUCAAUUAGAAGUCCCAUACUUUGCUAUUAAAAAUAUGAUAUCAAAGGAAGCAUGGAGCGGACGGAAACCAACAGUGAUCAUUUAAGAAUUUUUGGAUGCACUGCUUAUGCUCAUAUUCCAGACCAAAAGAGGACAAAUCUAGAUAAUAAGGGAAAAAAUGCAUUUUUCUUUGUGUUAAUGAUCAACCAAAGACCUAUAAGUUUUAUAAUCCUAUUACUAAGAAAAUUGUCAUCAGUCAGGAUGUAAUUUUUUUUAAGGAAAAUUUUUUUGCAUGGAACAAUAAUGUCAUUGAACAACAAAUACCUACUGAUUUUGAUGAAGUUGAUUAAGAGAACAGGCAGUAGCCAACAGAACAAAUUCCACCAGAUGGUUCAGAUGAGGUUCCAAGUUCCCAAAUAGUAGCAGAAGAUAAAGAAUGUUCUCAACGUAUUAGAAAAAGACCUGCAUGGAUGAUCGAUUAUGAGGACCAAUCUAAGGACCCAAUUGCAACUAUUGAACGAAACAACGCAUGGGAGUUAACUGAUCUUCCAGAAGGACACAAGUCAAUUGGUGUCAAGUGGCUAUACAAGACAAAAUUGAAGGAGAAUGGAGAAAUUGACAAGUACAAGGCACGUUUAGUAGCUAAAGGCUAUAAGCAACAAUUUGGGGUGGAUUGUGGAGAAGUCUUUGCUCCAGUCAUAAGACAGGACACGAUCAGGAUAGUGAUUGCAUUGGCAGCACAAUAUUCAUGACCUAUCUUCCAGUUGGACAUGAAAUCAACAUUUUUCCAUGGUGAUCUACAGGAACAGGUAUUUAUUGAUCAACCUCUUGGUUUUGUGAAGGUUGAAAGUGAGCACAAAUUAUACAAACUCAAAAAGGCAUGAUAUGGGUUAAAACAAACUCUACAUGCUCGAUAUAGCUGUAUAGAUGUUUAUUUUUCUAAGGAGGGAUUUAAAAAAAUCCAUAUGAGCAUACGCUUUUUAUGAAGAUUGGAGAUGGAGGUAAAUUGCUCAUUGUUUGCUUAUAUGUUGACGAUCUUAUUUUUACUGGAAAUGAUAGUAACAUGUUUGAGAAAUUUAAAAAAUCUGUGAUAGCUGAAUUUGAUAUGUCUGAUUUUGGAAAUAUGCAUUACUUUUGGGCAUUGAAGUGGUGCAAUCUACUGCUAGAAUUUUUGUCUUUCAAAGGAAAUAUGUGCAAGAAAUUCUAAAUAAAUUUCAAAUAAAGAAUUGUAAUUUUGUUAGUAUGGCAGUUGAAGUGUGUUUAAAGCUUAUCAAAGAACCUAAAGGAAAGAGAAUUAACAGCAUACUUUACAAGCAAAUUGUGGGAAGCCUCGUGUAUUUGACAGCUACAAGACCUGAUAUUAUACAUGCAAUAAGUGUUAUUAGUAGAUCCAUGGAAAGUCAAAGGAAGACACAUCUUCUAGUUGCCAAGAGGAUUCUUCGAUACUUGAAGGGAACCAUUGAAUAUGGAUUGUUCUACAAUAAUGGUGAAAACUCAAAUAUGUUCGGUUUUACCGAUAGUGAUUAUGCAGGCGAUCUUAAUGAUAGAAAGAGUACAUCUGCCUAUAUAUUCAUGAUAGGUUCAGUAGCUAUUUCAUGGUGUUCAAAAAAGCAACCAAUUGUUACUUUGUCAACAAUUGAAGCAAAGUUCGUAGCUGCAACAACUUGUGCCUGUCAAGCAAUUUGGAUAAGAAAUAUUCUUGAAAAGUUUCAUUUUCAGCAAGAAGGAGCUAUUACAAUCUACUGUGAUAAUAGUUCUCCCAUCAAACUCUCAAAAAUCUAGUUCUACAUAGAAAAACCAAGCACAUAGAUAUGAGAUUUCACUUUCUAAGGGAGUUCACAAGGGAUGGAAUAAUUGAUUUUUUCCACUGCAAAAGUGAAGAUCAGAUUGCUGACACAAUGACCAAGCCAUUGAAGUUAUCCACAUUUAAGAAACUAAAGAAGCUGCUUGGAAUUUGUGCAGUUGAUAAGUCCUGUUAAAUUGAAUAUUUGAAAAACUUUCAAUUUAAGGGAAGGAUUGUUAAAAACAUUCACUUGUUUUUAGUUGACCAUGUUUGUUUGUUUUGUUCUACCUACUUAGUAGAGUUAGAGGAAUUGAUGCAGUUAGUAGAGUAGUUAGUGGAAUUAGUGUCUGUUUGAUAACAUAAAAAAGUGCUGAAACUGAAUUCAUUCAGACAUUCAGAUGUUUUGGGUGUUUGAUAAAUAAAAAUUUUUCUACUGAACUUAUUAAGUGGUGCUGAAUUUGUAUGUUUUUUUUUCAGCACAAGAAUCAUAACUGAAUGCUUAAUUUCGAUAAGAAUCAAGAGAUUUACUUCAACUACUUUAUCUUAUCUAUCAAAUCUAUCCUUGUUUGUUAACUACAUUCAAAAUCCUUAUCUAAUUAAACAACCUAAUAUUCUCUAUCCAAAAUCCUUAUCUAAUUAAACAACCUGACAUUCUCUGUCUAAUGGCUUUCUACUUCUAUUUUCUCCCUAUUUAAUGACUUUUUUACAAUUUCCCCAUGCUCCUCACAUCUGUCUACUCCUUAUCUUUUUCCAUCUUUCUACUCUUUCAUAAUUUUGUCAUUUUUUCCCCCCAAUUUUUUUUAUUGCUACCGUACUCACUGAUCUCAAAUUCAUUAUUUCCAAUUGAUUAUUUGUUGUUUUGCGUCAACAUUUUUCCAUUGAAGUAAUUAAAUUUCUAUAUAAUUUGGUGUGAAUUUAAAACUUGUUUAUUACAGCUUCCUUUUGCUUAUAUUUGGACUUUUCUUAUCAAACUCUGAUUUAAAAAUAUAUUUGCACCGAUAUUUGGACUUUUCCGUAAUAUAUUUCUUCUUUUAUAAUACUUUGAUUUAAAAAUAAAUAUUGUCAUUUUCAUACCUAACAAUUUUAAGCUAAUUAAAUCAUAGGUUCUAUUUCCUUUUUGGAUUAAAAGAUAGAAGGGCAAAAUUGUACAAUUUAGCUUAUUAAGCAUUAAGUUAUAAAUGUUUAUCAAACAGUAUAAAUAUGUUCAGCAUUAAGAUUUAGAUAUUCAUAUAUCUCUUUUCAGUGCUUAAUAUUUAGCAAAUUAAUUGUUUCAAGAUUCAGAAUUCAGAAUUCAGAUUCAGUUUUAUCAAACGGAGCCUUAGUGAAAUCAGUGGAGUUAGUGGAGAUAGUGGAGUUGUUUUAAACUCUAUAAAUGGAGUAGUUUCAUGUUAUAAGUAUCAGUUUUACAGAGAAAUAAAGUCUAGUUUUUUGCUUCUCUUAUUAUUUUUCUUAGUAAUUGUUUCAAUAGGUAGUAUUGACUUCUAUUCAAAAGCAGAGUCAACCUCUUAAGAAUAAAAUGGUCAAACAUUGGUCUGGCUGUCCUGCUAUGGCUUCAUCCACAUCUUCACUACAAAUUAGCGGGAAAAUCUUGUGCCAAGCCAUUGAACUUCUCCAUCCUUGGUUUAUUUAUUCCGUACCAAUCCCAUGAACCAUGUAUAAGGCUUAAUUGCCAUGAGGGGUAACUUCUUAUGUUGCUUGCAGAUCUGAGGUACAAGCAAAUAAAAAGAAAAGCACAGAGUGGAGGAAAGUGCAUAGUUGAUGUCGAGUUGUAAGCAUGGUUCAAAGUCACGGUCGCGGCCCGGAACAUUCCACAUCGGUUUUGGCAUAUCGGUCGCGGUCUCGGUGAGACACAAAUUGUUAAAAUAUUUAAUAUUCUAAAAUUUGUAAAAAAUAUGAUAAAUAAAAAUAAUUAAAAAUUAGUAAAAAUAAUAAAAAUUCAAGUUGACUCGGGAUGAUUCGGAGUGACUCAGUGUGACUCGGCCGUUUCAACCGUUCACGGUGACAUCUCGGCCUGUCACGUAUCUCGGAACGUUUCGGUCGCGGUAUCGUCUCGGACUCGGCCGAGUCUUCGAACCAUGGUUGUAAGAACUUGGAGUUACCAUUCUGUUAUGCCCAUAGCAUUUUUAGAAUAAGAUUGCUUUUGAUUGAUAAUUGCUUCAAUAGCACAGAUGAUAUACGUGGUGUAAUUAUUUGAGUUCUAGUAUCAGUUCAUUAUGUUCAUGUACGUUUGGCUGGACAAGGAAGACAAAUAGUAAUCAGUUGUUCCCCGGGCUGCCCUUAUACCUGAUUUGUGAAAUGAACCCCAUAUGAUAUGCAUGGAAUGUUGCUCUCACAGUUUAUUCAUUUUAAGUCUUGCUCUGUGUAUCCGUCUAUCUACAAGUGGCUAAAAAGCUCUGCAUUUCAUAGACGGUCGAAUGUUUUCAAUUUUUCCGACUUCUCCGUCCUUACAUUUUCGGGAAUAGAAUUGCACGCUGAUAACAGUAAAUUUGUACACACAACUGGUAAUAUAAAAAUUACGUACUUAGGUCAACUCCAUGAUUCUCAUUCCAACGUACAAAGUGUAGAAUUCUGCUGCACCGCUUCACCUCUCCUCUUCUGGGCAUCCUCCACUUUACUCCUCAGCCCUUCCUUUUCUUUCUUAAGACUCCAAGAGUCUCCUCCCUUGCUGUACCCCAGAUCACUCCCCUUAAGACCUACUACAUUAGGAGGAUUCCAUAUAAAGGUGAAAUUGCAAGCCUCAUAUCUGUUCUUGAUAGGUAGAGCUCACCAGUCACCAUUGCAACGAAUAUGGAACAAAUGUAUUAGCCAAUGCUAAAUCAGCAGAAGUUAGAAGCCGAAGACCGACUCAUUUUGCUUAAAAAAGUUUGAUCAUAUUUUUCAUUUAUUAGAGCAUCAACAUGAACAGUGCAAGCCAAUUGUUGUUCUGGCUUUUGUCAGGCAGAAUCAUCAACUGAAAACAGGAUUAUGUGUUUCGUUUGAUAAUAAGUAGUCUGAGGAGGUGCUUGAUUAAGCAACGAAUGAACAAGAAUUCUGGGAGCACAACUUUCAUAUUUAUGCAUCGGUGGCUUGUGGGAAAUCUCAUUUGAAAGUCAAUUAGAAAAGCAAGUGUAUUUGGAAGUCCUGCUAUGCUUGACAGAUACUAGUCAAACCUGCAUUCUGCACGAUUUCAGCAGGUUACGAAUCAGACAUGUAUAUCAGCCUAUCAGGUUGACAACCGACUUGCAUAAGUGCUUGAGAAUGGGGAAAUUUUCUCCAAAUUUAAUGCAGAUUUUUCGUACAUUUUAUCAUUCUCUCCCUCUCCCUCCCCCCCUCUUUGGAUCUAUAUAUGCACUUCAGUCAUUUAGCAACAAGUCAUUACAGACUACUAGACUUCGACGACUAAAUUUUGUAAUGAUAUUUUAGAUAAUGAGUAAAGAUUUCGGAGAUAGGCUAGACCAAUACAAAGCCACUAAGCAAGCUGUACAAACUCCAUAUAGCUUGCUCAGUUGCUCCAUGCCCCUUUUUGCUUCAUCUCAUGUGCUUGCUUUAUGCCAGGAGGGGCCAAAUUUUGUGUUUUCUUUUGAAAGAACAGUUGGAAUAUUGGUCCUGUAGGCAACAGAAUGAUAUAUCAGAGGCGAGUCAUGCAUGAGAUGUCUUAUUGCAUUUUUAAAAAGAUUAUCAUGAUUUUUUCAGUAGCCUUAGAGAUUGAUACUCGAAGAGGUAGGAAUACAACAUGAGAGAUCAUUAAUUAUUAAUACAAUCAAAUUGAUCUUCUUCGGAACUUUUUUUUUCUUUUGGUCGGAGGGAGUGGGGCUGGUGGUGGAAUUUGAAGCGAACAACUCACAAUGAUAUCCUUCUGGGGUCUCAUUUCAACAUCAGUCUCCUGAUUCACUUUCACAUGUGGCAGUCAAGCCUAUCCAGAGCAGGAAUAAUUUUUCUCAGCCUUAAUCCAUUGGACCAAAUUGUUGAAAUUCUUGCCAGAGCUCCCAUCUUUGGUAACACUGUUGAUAACCUUGGUUUUUAAUUUUAAGGCCCUUUUUUUGUAUUCUCCAACAGUGAGAAGCUGCUCAAUUUUAUUCUUUAUUUCUUCUCGUGCAAUGAUUCCAUUUGCAUCUCGUUCAAAUCCUAAACCGAUCUUCCAAACAUCACAUAUGUAUUUCUCAUUAAGGAACUGAUCUGCAAAGUAAGGCCAACAGAGGAAAGGAACACCACUGCUCAAACCUUCGAUCGUAGAGUUCCAACCACAAUGGCUGAGGAAGCAAGCCACCGAAGGAUGGCUCAAGACCUGUUGCUGAGGUGCCUAGCCUGCUAGUAGCCCACGGCCUUGUAUUCGAUCUUUGAAGCCUUCAGGAUAUGCAUUGUCUGUCUCGGUAGUUAAAUCUUGCCUCACAACCCACAAGAAUGGCCUAUUGAUGAGUUCAAGCCCAAGUGCCAGCUCUCUGAAUUGUGUCGGAUCAAAAACUGUGAAGCUCCCAAAUGCAACAUAAAUGACAGAUUGCGGAGGCUGCUUAUCAAGCCAUGCCAAGCAAUCUGAAUCUUCAGGCCAGAAGGAGCCAACCGAUUUUCCAAGUCGAUUACUUGCCAAAAGAGGGCCUACAGGUAGUAUUUGAGGAAAUAAAGUGAAGGCUGCCGCCUCUAAUUCACAACUUGUAUUGCAAAUCAACCAAUCUGCCAGUUUAACUAGUGUGUUAGAUUUUAAAAAGGUAUCAAAAGAAAAUUUUUGUAAUGUGAGAUCACUAAAGCAGGUCCAAACAAGAUGUUCAGGCUUCAUCUCUGGCAUGGUAGGUGACAACUUUACCAUCUGGUUCUUCAACACGGUACCUGCACUAAAAAGCUUGACGUGUUUAGAAACUUUUCAACUGAAUACAAAAUAGCAAAAUGUAGAACCGAUAGUACUAAUGCGUGUUCUGAUGAUUAGCAGUUUGAUGACUGCAAUUAAAUUUAUCUUCUUUCUCUAAUGGUGCUGGCAAGGAAUUAUCUAAAAUGAGUCAAUCUUACCAGUGCUACUUAUGAUUCCAUCAUCCAUGAGCUUUGGGAUGCUGAAUAUCUGUGCCAAUAGUGAAGCUGACGCUGGCCAGAAGGCUACCGCCUUGAUUCUCAUUUUCUUUGCAAUCUCUAGUGCCCAUCCCAUAGUCUCAUCAGCAAUAAUGCAUGUGAUUUUAUCACAGUCAGAUUGAUUUAUGCUCUUUAUUAGACACUCCAGAUUCGCAGGCAUGACCUGGUAAACUGAUAGCGUCAGUUUGAUCAGGUCAUUUCUGUCCUCCCAGGAUUCCAAUCCAUCUGGGAUUGACACCAGUUGCAUCAUAGCUGGUACUUUGUCCUCCUGUGAUAAUGAUUUGAUAACUCUCUUGUGAUCGAAUUCAGAGUUCACAAUUGUUACUCUAAUACCCUGCCUGACUAAGCACAAGGCCAGUUCCAUUAAGGGAAGAACAUGACCUUGCGCUGGAUAAGGAAUGGCUAGAACAUGUGGAUGAGGAUGAUUCAUGAUAUUUUGUUGUUAUCUUAUCCUGCCUUUCCUCUAAUGCAGAAAUUGUAGUACAAGAACAGAAGAACUUCCACACUUCUCCCACCGUUUAUAGACUGCUUAGGAAAAUGCACGUGCAUUAUGCGUGUUGGAUAAUGAAGCAGAAUGUCAUUAUUCAAUUACGAAUUAACACUACUUAAUUUGCCUUAUGAAUUUAAAUAACAACAUUAGGAGUUGUGAGUUAAAAUUAUAAUUACAACACUUUGUUGAAUUACAACAACUAAUUCUUUAUAUGUGUUAUUUUUGCAAUUCUAGGUUUUACAUUGAUUCUUUUAUACGCAACUCCUUUGUCUAUAUUCCUCUAUGUCUUUGAUUAAGAAUACCCUUCACGUCUUAUUGUUAUUUGUCUUGUUGCGUUCUACACAUUUUAUAUUAACUUAAAGUUAAAAUAAAAUUUUUUAUGUGUCUUUAAAACUCCUUAAAUGAUCUAUAUGCUUUGCAAUUCUUAAAUACAUCCAAGGGGAGGGUCAGGUUGGAUGAUAAGGUGUAAGGGAUUAUAAGUAAUAGAUCUUGAACUCAAAAUCUCCCACUUAGGAAAAACAAUAUUUAGUCAUAAUUUAUCUUAUCAAAUUACAAUAAUGCUAAGUAGUCAAUUUGUACACACAUAAUUUAUUAAGUAUUCAGUCUUUGAAUGGCUAAAACUAAGGAGCAAAAGUUUUUACAUACAUCAGGUAUUGAACUUCUAAUUAAAUGGCCAACUGGUUUGAAAAAUAUAAAGUCUUCAUAUUCUGGCGCUCUGGAGCGUGCAAUAAUCCUGAUCAUACAAUAUUUUGUUGAAUAAUUUGAAAGAAACAGAGAAGAUACCUCCAAGAACAUUAUGAAAAACAAGAAAUAAAUUUGAAGGAGGAAUAGGUUGGAUUGUUCGAGGGGAGAGAAUGUAAGUGGGUUGGGUGGUUCGGAAGGGAAGGGAAUGUAAGUGAAAAGUCCCGCUUUUCUACUUAUACUAUAAAAAAAAACAUUUAAAAAAAAUCAAAUCUACAAAGUAGUUAUGUUUCUAAAAUUCUAGUAUUGCACCCAAAAAAGAAAAAUAAUCCAAUCCUACUUAUACUGAAUAGGAUACUUUAAAGUACUUAAAUUCUUGAAUAUAAAUUGAACAAGUUGAUUUAGUGUCUUACCAAUCACAGUAGUAAGUUGAAUCGAUUAUCAACUGUUUUCUUUAGUUAAGUCCACAUUUUACUAGAGGGCUAAUGUAAUUUUGCAUCUUUAGCGCAUAGGGAUCAACUAUUGAAAUUCAAGAAUAUUUUUCUAGGAUGAGGCGAAUUUCAGAAACUUUUGAAAUCGAAAUAACUUUAUACCCUGCUAAAAUGCACACUCUGAAGUGCUAAAUGGAUGGGCAUUAAAGAACCCCCUCUGUGGGCAUGAAAGACAUGCACAAUUAGUUCUGGUAUAGAAUUGAUUCCUAAGUCAAGGAAAUUUAUUUAGAACUUAUAACUACAACCAAUUAGAAAGGUAGAUAGCACAAUUAAUUUUGUGCCUUGAAUUUAUUUAGUAUUACAACACAUUGGGGAGAAAUUUAAUCCCUGAAUCAAGUACAGAUGAAAAUAAAGUAGGCUGAGAAGUUAAAAAUAUAUUUAAAAAAUGAAAAGGUCAUACUAAAAAGAACAACAAUGUUUUUGCCUUAGCAACUUGUAUCUCUUAACUUUAAUUUCUGUUCUUUUAGAGGCAAAAACUAAAGAAAUAAAAGCUAUAACCUAUGUGCAUAACUAAAAUUUAUAAUACCACAUUAUAACCAUAUUAAGAUAUUCCAAUAAAAAUUUAGUCCUACUUAAACUUCACUAGUAAUAGUUCAUGUGUUUUGCACGUGAUUGUAAUAUUUUAAAAUAUAUUAUUCUUUAGAUACUAAAAAUUUUUUAUGAAAUUUUGAUCAUCAACAUCAUAAUAUAGUAUUUUUAUGUUAUUUAUUUUUUAAGCUAGUUACUUUUAAAAAUUUUAUCAAAUGAAAAGAGAUAGAAAACAUUCCAAUAGUUGACAUGUCCCUUAGAAUUGAAUUUGGAAUCAUGUACCAAACACUUUCUGAUUUAUAGCUUGAAUUCUAACAUAUCAAAUAUUGAUAACAUCAUGUUUUACCAAAAUUAUUGUAUAUUCAUGGUUCUAUUGCAUAUAAACCACAAUCAUUGCAAUUUUUUUAUAAAUGAAGAAUAUAAUUAAGUUAAAAAAUAAAUAAACAAACAUGUAAUUUGAAUUCUUGAUAUUAUGUUAAUUCUAUUUUUGCCAAUAGUGGAGUAUAAAUCAUUCACGGCGUAAAGUUUUUUUUUGGCUUGUACAUUCUAACAAUUGAAAGUUUAUAGAUAGAGAUAGUUGGAGGUUUUCCAUUUUCCUUUUCUUUUAUUCAUAUUUUUAGCACAAUCCAAUGUGAAGCAAAAGCAACAAGUCUACUUUUUGCAUAUGAGCACAAUAUUUUUGGUUUUAGUAUUAGUUUUUUUUUUUUUGAUGAUCAUGGAAUUGGAAUGAGAAUUGUGGCUAAUUAACAAUUUUACUAUUAAUUUUUUUGUAUAUUGCAGUGUUUUAUUUUUUAAUUGCCAACUUUUAAUCCAUAAUCGCUAUCAUUAUUAUCAAUUAUUAGAAUCAAUUAUUGGAAUGCACUAAAUAUGUCUAAUUACAAUUGUCACCAUAAAUAAAAUUUACUUAAUUUUAAAGUUUUUCAUUUCAUAACCGCUUCCAUUAUUCGCUAAUAUUGCAAUACAAUAAAUAUAUGUAAUCAUUAGAAAAAAUAAGGGUAUUUUGGGCAUCACCAAAAACAAUUUGGAUAUCAUUUUCAUUUUGUCAUUCUUCAUUUUAAAUGUACUCUUAUUAUAAUUUUUAUUUUAUUAUUGGAGAUGGCUUCUACCUUGAUGGAUGGAAUUGGUUUGCUCAAACCAAUACAAAUGAAGCAUUACUAAAUUAUUGUCAAUAACAAUGUUUGUUUUCCCUUGGAUAUAAGUGAUUUGGAUGUUGUCUUUGGUAUUAUUUGAAUUGUAUUCUAACUUUUUAAUUCAUUUGCUAUUUACUUUAUGUUAUUUUAUGAAUAGUUUUCAACUUUUUUCAAUUUUUCUUGUUUUGAUCGGUUGCUAUUAAUGAUAAUAGUGGUUUGUAUGGUGCUACUUCAGAUUUCUUUUUUUCCAAUUUAAUACUUCUAUUUCAGUUAUAAAUGUGUCAUCAUUUUUUGUAUAUUGAAAUCCAUUGGCUGCAAUAUGAAAAAUUCUUUAUAUUGGCAAAGAGUGCAUAAUUGUAAAAUUUGCUCGUGAUAUUUUUAUGAAGAUAUACAGAUGAAUAAGUGUUCUCCUCUCCUUGUAUGUUUCUCCAUUUUCUAGAGACUGUCUAUAUUUAAACAUUGAAUUUUUUUUUACAGUCUCAACUGAUGACUAAUGAGAAAUUUUUCAUGCUUCAAUUAAGAAAUUUUGAUAUGUAUAAUAAUUGGAGAUGGAGUCUAAGGGUAGGUAAAUAGUUUUUAAUGAGCAAUUUUUAAUUAUAAUUGCCAAUACUAUUAUGAUGUAAUCAAUUGGAGUGUUUUACUUCUUUUAAUUAAUGCCACAUUAAAAUACAAUAAUUCUAAUUAAAAGAUAUGAGGGUAAUUUAGGGAUAACAAAAACUAAGAUAAAAAAAAAGUGCUUACACUUACACUCCCUAAUACCAAGAGUGGAGUCCAAGGUUAGGUAAAUAGUUUUUAAUGAGCAAUUUUUAAUUAUAAUUACCAAUACUAUUAAGAUGUAAUCAAUUGGAGUGUUUUAUUUCUUUUAAUUAGUACCACAUCAAAAUGCAAUAAUUCUAAUUAAAAGAGAUGAGGGUAAUUUAGGGAUAACAAAAAUUAAAAUAAAAAAGUGCUUACACUGACACUCCCUAAUAACAAGAUUCAUACUUUUUAUAUAGUAAUAAUAAGACAAUUUAAAGUCCUUAAACUGAUAUUUUAUGGAUGAUAAAGUGAAUAGGCUGAUUUAAGAUGAAUCAAUACCAGUAGUUUUCUUCAAAGGGUAAUGUAAUUUUGCAUCCUUAAAGUAUUGGGAUCAAGAUUCUUUUUCUACAAGUUUUACUUGUGACUAUUUAGUCCCUAAAAAUCUAUUUUCUUGAUUAUUUUGACUCCAUUUAAAAGUGGUGAUUGUUGUUCUUAGAAGGAUGAAAAAAGCAUGCACAAUCUCUAGCCUAGUGAAAAAUAAGCAUUUGAAUGGAAAAUUAGAGGAUAACAAGAUUACACGAAAGUUUUUCUUCAAAAUGGGGAGAGAGAACACCUAGUUUGAUCAUUAAAUUUGUAAGUAUUACCUCAUUGAUUAUGAUUAGAAAUCUGGUUGACUUCUCAUCUCCUAAACUAUUAUGUUACUCUCCAUGUAGGUUGUUGGAUACUUUAUAAAAGUAUCAGACAAUCAAAUGCAUGAGCUAGUGUUGUAUGAGCUAAUGUCUGCCAACGAUGAGCCCAAGCGGGAUCCAAUGGAUUGAUAUGAUUUUCUUUGGCAUCUUCAAUGGUUUCAUUUCCUAUACACAUGAGCAGGUUUGAUGUUACAACAUUACCAUAUUCUAUAUUAGGUCACGUUUUGAGUUUGGAGCCAAUCUGUGGUGGUGGUGAUCAAUGUCUAAUUGGGAAUCAUUUUCCUUGCAACCUUCUUAGCUUAAAUUUAAUGUAUUCUGAGGCUUCAAUUUUACUUUCUGAAGGGAACAACCUCUUUAUUGUUGAGCUAUACUAAAAUUCAAGAAAAACUAACAACAUGAGAGUCCAGUGUCCUUUUGUUUUGCUUUCUCAUCUCUCUCUCAAUUUUUUUCCCCUUUCUUUCCUUUUCUUCUUUUUAGUUUCAUGUAGAUUUUUUGCAGAAAACAUUAGGAGGACAUGAUAUCAACUCGUGUCCAGUGAAAUCUGACAUAAUAACUAUGUUAUCGUAAUUUUAUACUCCUGUCCUGAUUCCUGAAGCACUAAAUAUGUUCGUGGCAGUUCCUAGAAAGCUUUUCCUUCGCGUGCGUAAAAUAUUAUUUACUUUCUCCCUUGACCUUAUUUGAGUGGAAAACCCUGAUUCUUUUGCCACCUUAAAUAUUUCCUUUAGGUUUUUACCGAACCAAAAGAGUUGGCAUGAAAAAAUAUAUAUAUAUAUAUUACCUUCAGGAUGAAUCCAUGUUUUAUAACCAAUUAGGAGGACGUAUUUUAUAACCCCCCUUAAAUAUUUCCUUUAGGACGAAUCCAUGAAAAUAUAAAUUACCCUGCAGCUUUCUGACUUACUGCAUAUAAUUGGUUUCUUCGUUCCUGGGUAGGUAAUGUUUCUUUUCCGUGCUAAUUGAUUUUGACAGUGCAACCUCUGGAUUCUUUAGGAAGAUACCUUGUGAAAGUAGUAUGUGCAGCGUAAAUCCUUGUGAUCAGCCAAACAAAAUUUCGAAAUACCAAUCUGUAAAACCUCCAGACUCAUUGGAAGAUUCCUUAUGAAUGUGGUAUGUGCAGAGCUAAUUUAAAUGCCUAUAUCAGCUAAGUAAAAGUUUGAAAUUCCAACUCAUAAACUUGGAAAACACUAAAAAACAAACCCAGAUAGGUCUCAUGUGUUCUGAAAAGGGACUAGGUUUGAAAGCAUUGAACUCAUUUGACUGCAAGUGGGAAUGUAUGGUUUUCCUUCGUAAGUCCUAGUAUAUGCAUUUACGGUCGAGAAUUCCUCUUGGUUUAUGUAAGAAUUAAUGCUUGGCUUAGCUGAUCCAGAAUUAUAGCUCCCAUUGCUAGCGUUUUGAAUACAAUGCAAGAUUUGGACCGAAAAUGACUGGACAAGAGUUUUAAUUCUCAAGUCCUAUGUGGAAAAACUAAGCCUUUCACAUAAAGCAGAAGAAUGUACUUUCAUCCAUUACUCACACGAACAUCCCAUUGUACCAGUAGAUUUAAAAAGUAACCAAGGAUGAAAAGAAAGUACCGUGGAUUAGUCUCUGAACACCCCCCCCCCCCCCAAAAAAAAAAAAACUCCUCCUUCCCACCCCAAAAAUAGAGAAAAUCUUGUUCAAGCAAAUUUUGUGUCACCAUGUCAAUUAAAGAAAUUCUUUUCACAAGAGCUUAUGCUGAUGAUAAUGAUCCUUGUUUUCGGUCCUGUUCACUUUACAUUCUCUAAGGAAGUGAACCAUAACUUAGGGGGAUAGUGAUUGCGUACUAACUGUCCAACGCAAGAUAAAUUAGUUCCAGCAUAAAACAGGAUUAUGACAUCCUUAAGAGAAGAUAUUGUAGUUCACAAAAUUCAUCAAUUUAGGUUCUGAAUUUCAAAUAGUUAGUCUAAAAGCUAUGUGCUGGCUAGUCAAAAUUCGGCCUUUCAAGAAAUAUAACAUCGAAUAUUUUAGUUACUCUAGAUGUUCGAGGUCCCUAUUACCCAACACCAAAUGCAAAUUCAAUGAUCUUGUGUAUGUGAUAUCCUAGCAAGGAUUUUUCUUUUUCCAAGUGAAAUUAUGUAAGAAAUUUGGUUGUUUUGGUUGUCAGGGCACUUGAAGGAAGUCCGGAUGGUGGUUUAAACUGGCAUAUUUUGGAUGAGAAAACUUCUCAAACCUUUAAAGAACGCUUUCAGCGGAAAGUACUUGAGGUCAAAUCACCAGGAAUUCUAGCAAAUGCCUUCAGGUAAACUUGACAGAGUUUCUUGAGUCGCUUCUAAUUUGGUUUUAUGUAAUCUUUGCACACAAUAUUUUAAUGGAUCAUGAUCGUUAAAAUUGCAGGUUAAGGUUCGCAGCAGUAAGAGAUCCAACAGCAACUUCAAGGGUUCCAGAAUCCAGAUAGGUAGUAUUGACUUCUAUUCAAAAGCAGAGUCUACCUCUUAAGAAUAAAAUGGUCAAACAUUGGUCUGGUUGUCCUGCUAUGGCUUCAUCCACAUCUUCACUACAAAUUAGGGGGAAAAUCUUAUGCCAAGCCAUUGAACUUCUCCAUCCUUGGUUUAUUUAUUCCGUACCAAUCCCAUGAACCAUGUAUAAGGCUUAAUUGCCAUGAGGGGUAACUUUUUAUGUUGCUUGCAGAUCUGAGAUGCAAGAAAAAAAAAGCAGAGAGUGGAGGAAAGUGCAUAGUUGAUGUCGAGUUGUAAGAACUUGGAGUUACCAUUCUGUUAUGCCCAUAGCAUUUUUAGAAUAAGAUUGCUUUUGAUUGAUAAUUGUUUCAACAGCACAGAUGAUAAUAUGUGGUAUAAUUGUUUGAGUUCUAGUAUCAGUUCAUUAUGUUCAUGUACGGUUGGCUGGACAAGGAAGACAAAUAGUAAUCAGUUGUUCUCCAGGCUGCCCUUAUACCUGAUUUGUGAAAUGAACCCCAUAUGAUAUGCAUGGAAUGUUGCUCUCACAGUUUAUUCAUUUUAAGUCUUGCUCUGUGUAUCUGUCUAUAUACAAGUGGCUAAAAAGCUCUGCAUUUCAUAGACGGUUGAAUGUUUUCAAUUUUCCCGACUUCUCCGUCCUUACAUUUUCGGGAAUAGAAUUGCACGCUGAUAACAGUAAAUUUGUACACAAAAUUGGUAAUAUAAAAAUUACGUACUUAGGUCAACUUCAUGAUUCUCAUUCCAACGUACAAAGUGUAGAAUUCUGCUGCACCGCUUCACCUCUCCUCUUCUGGGCAUCCUCCACCUUACUCCUCAGCCCUUCCUUUUCUUUCUUAAGACUCCAAGAGUCUCCUCCCUUGCUGUACCUCAGAUCACUCCCCUUAAGACCUACUACAUUAGAAGGAUUCCAUAUAAAGGUGAAAUUGCAAGCCUCAUAUCUGUUCUUGAUAGGUAGAGCUCACCAGUCACCAUUGUAACGAAUAUGGAACAAAUGUAUUUGCCAAUGUUAAAUCAGCAGAAGUUAGAAGCCGAAGACUGACUCAUUUUGCUUAAAAAAGUUUGAUCAUAUUUUUCAUUUAUUAGAGCAUCAACAUGAACAGUGCAAGCUAAUUGUUGUUCUGGCUUUUGUCAGGUAACAAUGAGUUUUUUAACAGUUAAGGGUUAGUCAACUGAAGAUGCACUUGCCCGUCAAUUUCAUUCUUUUCCAUCGUGUGUCCUUCAUGCGCCACUGCUUCCUAUUUAACAUAUUUUGAUGUGAGUAAGUAGCUAAUGGAAAACACUAUUCAAACAGAAUCAUCAACUGAAAACAGGAUUAUGUGUUUUGUUUGGUAAUAAGUAUUCUGAGGAGGUGCUUGAUUAAGCAAUGAAUGAACAAGAAUUCUGGGAGCACAACUUUCAUAUUUAUGCAUCGGUGGCUUGUGGGAAAUCUCAUUUGCAAGUCAAUUAGAAAAGCAAGUGUAUCUUGAAGUCCUGCUAUGCUUGAAAGAUACUAGUCAAACCUGCAUUCUGCAGGAUUUCAGCAGGUUACGAAUCAGACAUGUAUAUCAGCCUAUCAGGUUGACAACCGACUUGCAUAAGUGCUUGAGAAUGGGGAAAUUUUCUCCAAAUUUAAUGCAGAUUUUUCGUAAAGAUAUUUUAGAUAAUGAGUAAAGAUUUUGGAGAUAGGCUAGACAAAUACAAAGCCACUGAGCAAGCUGUACAAACUACAUAUGGCUUGCUCAGUUGAUCCAUGCCCUUCUUUGCUUCAUCUCAUGUGCUUGCUUUAUGCCAGGAAGGGCCAAAUUUUGUGUUUUCUUUUGAAAGAACAGUUGGAAUAUUGGUCCUGUAGGUAACUGAAUGAUAUGAUCUGCGGCGAGUCAUGCAUGAGAUGUCAUAUUGCAUUUUUAAAAAGAUUAUCAUGAUUUUUUCAGUAGCCUUAGAGAUUGAUACUCGAAGAGGUAGGAAUACAACAUGAGAGAUCAUUAAUUAUUAAUACAAUCAAAUUGAUCUUCUUCGGAAUUUUUUUUUCCUUUUGGCCGGAGGGAGUGGGGCUGGUGGUAGAAUUUGAAGCGAACAACUCACAAUGAUAUCCUUUUGGGGUCUUAUUUCAACAUCAGUCUCCUGAUUCACUUUCACAUGUGGCAGUCAAGCCUAUCCAGAGCAGGAAUAAUUUUUCUCAGCCUUAAUCCAUUGGAACAAAUUGUUGAAAUUCUUGCCAGAGCUCCCAUCUUUGGUAACACUGUUGAUAACCUUGGUUUUUAAUUUUAAGGCCCUUUUUUUGUAUUCUCCAACAGUGAGAAGCUGCUCAAUUUUAUUCUUUAUUUCUUCUCGUGCAAUGAUUCCAUUGGCAUCUCGUUCAAAUCCUAAACCGAUCUUCCAAACAUCACAUAUGUAUUUCUCAUUAAGGAACUGAUCUGCAAAGUAAGGCCAACAGAGGAAAGGAACACCAUUGCUUAAACCUUCGAUCGUAGAGUUCCAACCACAAUGGCUGAGGAAGCAAGCCACUGAAGGAUGGCUUAAGACCUGUUGCUGAGGUGUCCAGCCUGCUAGUAGCCCACGGCCUUGUAUUCGAUCUUUGAAGCCUUCUGGAUAUGCAUUGUCUGUCUCGGUAGUUAAAUCUUGCCUCACAACCCACAAGAAUGGCCUAUUGAUGAGCUCAAGCCCAAGUGCCAGCUCCCUGAAUUGUGUCGGAUCAAAAACUGUGAAGCUCCCAAAUGCAACAUAGAUGACAGAUUGCAUUGGCUGCUUAUCAAGCCAUGCCAAGCAGUCUGAAUCUUCAGGCCAGAAAGAGCCAACUGAUUUUCCAAGUCGAUUACUUGCCAAAAGAGGGCCUACAGGUAGUAUUUGAGGAAAUAAAGUGAAGGCUGCCGCCUCUAAUUCACAACUUGUAUUGCAAAUCAACCAAUCUGCCAGUUUGACUGUUGUGUUAGAUUUUAACAAGGUAUCAAAAGCAAUAUUUUGUAAUGUGAGAUCACUAAAGCAGGUCCAAACAAGAUGUUCAGGCUUCAUCUCUGGCAUGGUAGGUGACAACUUUACCAUCUGGUUCUUCAACACGGUACCUGCACUAAAAAGCUUGACGUGUUUAGAAACUUUUCAACUGAAUACAAAAUAGCAAAAUGUAGAACCGAUAGUACUAAUGCGUGUUCUGAUGAUUAGCAGUUUGAUGACUGCAAAUAAAUGUAUCUUCUUUCUCUAAUGGUGCUGGCAAGGAAUUAUCUAAAAUGAGUCAAUCUUACCAGUGCUACUUAUGAUUCCAUCAUCUAUGAGCUUUGGGAUGCUGAAUAUCUGUGCCAAUAGUGAAGCUGACGCUGGCCAGAAGGCUAUUGCCUUGAUUCUCAUUUUCUUUGCAAUCUCUAGUGCCCAUCCCAUGGUUUCAUCAGCAAUAAUGCAUGUGAUUUUAUCACUGUCAGAUUGAUUUAUGCUCUUUAUUAGACACUCUAGAUUCGCAGGCAUGACCUGGUAAACUGAUAGCGUCAAUUUUCUCAGGUCAUUUCUGUCCUCCCAUGAUUCCAAUCCAUCUGGGAUUGACACCAGUUGCAUCAUAGCUGGUACAUUGUCCUCCUGUGAUAAUGAUUUGGUAACUCUCUUGUGAUCGAAUUCGGAGUUCACAAAUGUUACUCUAAUACCCUGCCUGACUAAGCACAAGGCCAGUUCCAUUAAGGGAAGAACAUGACCUUGCGCUGGAUAAGGAAUGGCUAGAACAUGUGAAUGACCCAUGAUAUUUUAUUAUUUCUUAUCCUGGCUUUCCUCUAAUGCAGAAAAUGUAGCAUAAAAACUUCCAUACUUCCCCCACCAUUUAUAGACUAUGAUUCAUGCUGUUUAUUGUGGAAUGCCAAUUGCAUGUCCAGCCCUAUUGAUCAAGGUAUUUGCCCAAGUUUUACUCAGGCUGCAAUAAAGAAUUCAUUCUUCUUGUUUGCCAUUGGUAGAUUAUAUUUCAGUUGGUAGCAUUAGGCACCCUUUGUUCUUGUUUGGUUUCCUUUCCACCUCUUUGAAGAUUCUCAGUUCCUUGCUUAAAUUUUAUCGACCUUUCUUGUUUGUGUUGAUGUUACUUAUUUACUUGAUUAUCCACGAUUUUGUUGUUAUAUGAGGUAUAUGAUCUGCCAUUGAAUUCUGUUUUGGUUGUGUUUAUUGUUGUUUCUAAUAUUGUAAAUUUUCUAGCGUCCUAAAAAGGACAUAUUUGAGUGAUUGAGUGGAGUUGGCCUUCAUCAUUCCCAAAGAGAGGAAGCAUACUUUGUCAAACAGUUUCUGUGUACUAUUAACUAACUACUCUUAAAGUAGUUAGAGUAAUUGGCCAAGCUCUCCUUGGGCGUAGGUCAAGGACUCUUGUUCAAGAUUUCUUGAAAUUUUCACCGGCUGGUGCAAAGACACUCGUCUGGUUCGGUGACGGAUUAAACUCCUCCAAAUUUCCCAUUAACUCCUUUGGAUCUAUCCCUUCCCCUUAGUAUAGAGUCGGAGUAUGUGAUCCAGUGACGGUUCAGUCCUCUCCGGAUUUUUCAUUAAUCUACUUGAGUUCACCCUAUCCCCUUAAUAUAGAGUAGGAGGACGUGCAAAAUAGAAUUUAUCAUGUCCGAGAAAAAAAAAAGUGUAAUAGUGCACGUGCUACACACAAUCUUAAGUCUACCCAUUAAAUGAUUAAAACUUAUUAUAUAUGCUCAUUCCCAUUUGUAUACAACGAACAAAGACUAUUGGGCCAUAUGCAGAUCAAGAUACCAUCCCUAUCUUUGUCUAUUGCAAUUUUGGCUUCCCUUGUAUCUGAUGCACUUGUUAUGAUUACUUCAAAAUUAUACGAGAAGAUUUCAAAGAUGUUAACAUGUACAAACUUAAGAUCUGUUUGACAUGAUAUGCAAAUAAAGGCAAGUUAAUUUCACUGCAAUCUCAGAUACUUCAAAUAGAUACUGUGUAUAUAAUCGGGUCAUGUAUCAUUCUUCCCUUCUUGUGGCAGAAAAUUAUCUCAUUGAUUACACAUGCAGAGACAUCGAAAAUUGUACCUCUGCCAAGAUGCCACUGUCAAAAGUCAUUCACUCUACAUUGUUUCUCAAAGAUAACAGCACUGACAGAUUACCCUAGUAAUGCAACUAUAGGGGCUAUAAUUCAGAAAACUUUAGUUAGAUUAGUCAUGGCAAUAGGAGAGGAUGUAUAAGAACGUUGCGGGUAAUCAGAUGCUCAAAUGCACAAACCAUGGGAUAACGAGUAUUACUGGAAGAUACUUCAAUAAUGGAGAAAAUCUUCGAAAAGGGAAAAAAAAUACAAGCCUAAACUUUGUGUAUGGAGUGUUAUGCGAAAGUGACAAACAGUAAAUGCUCUGUUACAUUCCUUAGAUAAGCAAGGAAGGAAGCAUCGUUUGAAGUCCCAAGCAAAUGGAUCAUCUGAUCUUCAUUGUUUCUAUAACAACAAAAGCACUAAAAUGCUCGAAACAAUCAUCCAUUGUUGCUGAAUUUAAGGGUCAGUGGUCCUCAAUCUUCUUCAGUGCUUUCAUAUCUGUUGUCUCCACCCUGCAUCAUAAAAUGCCAUCGCCAGAAAGUCGCAUCAAGUGAACAGACGACCUAGUUUUUGACAGCUAAUUUUUGGAAUAAGACAAAGCACAAAGUACAUACAUAAACAAUCAAAUAAUUUGAAAGCUAACUUGAAAGCUAACUUUUGGAAGAAGACAAAGCACAAAGGACAUACAUAAACAAUCAGAAGAAUCUAAAGAGGGAGGGGGAAAGAGAGAUUUAAGAGCAGAACACAGCAUGCUUAUAGGCCUAAGCUUAAACCAAAAGCACAAUCACGUAAUUAUGCCUAUGAAAAUUAUUGCUAUUAUCUUGCCAGAAAUAAGGCCGGCUAAGCUGUAAACCCUCAAUAUAAAACUUUAAAAAAAAAAAAAAGAUUAAGUGAGAGACAAAAAUCUUAGUACAUUGCACUAGAUUUCACCACUUCAUAUUUAAAUCUCUAAUUAGUUAUGGUGCCACUGCCAAUCUAGACAUGUAUAUGACAGCCAAGAAUAUUCCAAGUCAUUCUAAUUGACAAGUUUUUGGUUGUGAGUGAUGACUUCAUUCUCAAUUCAUAUCUCCAUAGUAGUAGAAAACAGUAUUCCUAAGGAUUACAUGCAUGGAUAUAAUGCUUCAGUUCUUAAGGCUGAGAAUGUUAGGAUUUCUCACAAGUAAUAGUGACUUAUGAGGCUACAUUUCUGCACAAACUGUUGCUUGAAAAUAUCACAUAUCAGCAAGCAUAAUUAUUAUGAAAAGGAAAAAUUAGAAUUACGCUGUUCUAGUAUUAAGUAAGUGAUAGAGAUAAGUGGCAAAAUCUACUAGGGUUUAUAGGAGGCGUGGAACGGGUGUGUCGAAUGCCCCAGCGUUGAUUUGGCAUGCUUUUGAUGACAAGGAACCAACUUGGGAGUUGGUUUGAAUCCUAAGGCAUUUGUUUUCUGAUUUUCACCAGCUGGGAUAUUUUAGUAAUUUGGUUAGCUGCAGGAAUUUUAUGUUUAUGUUAAUUUUCUAUUUAGUAAUUAUUUUUGAUAAUUAGUAUUUUAGUUGUUAUGGGGAAUAAGAAAGCUUAGCUUUCCAGUUUUCUACUAGGAUUCUAUUCUAGUUAGGAGUUCUAAUUAGGAUUGGAGUUGACUUUGUUCUAGCAUCUAAAAAUAACCACUUCUCCACAAAGAGAAGUCAGAUUUUUUGGCGUUAAUAAAAUUUUCCUGCAGACUCAACAUCUUUCUUAGGGUUGUGUGAUACAUCCCAACUUUAAGUGUGAUGCCUAAGAUUCUUAGGAGUGAUUCCUAGACUUAAUAACCAGAUUUUUAUCUUCUUAAGCAUAUUUUCUUAUCCUAUUCCUAGUUACUAUUUCAACUUCGGGUGAAAUUCGAUAUCUAGGUUUCUCUACAAAGCUGCUGUGUCUACCAAGUGUUCGUGCUGCGUCAGUUUUGGUAUCAGGGCAAGGCUUUCCCAUGACGACAAGUAGUGGGUUGAAUUUUAGGGGUCGAUACACAGACAAGGAACGGAAUAACAUCAUUAAUCUUCUCUUGGAGAGGGUUGCUGUGUUAGAAGACAAAAUUUUUAAUACUAAGCAACAGCAAAUUCCUGAAUCUAGAGGCAACGGGGGGUCCAGAUCUGGGGUCAAAAACAAUGGCAAGGAACCAAAGCAUCUUGAACAGCCUGAAGACCCAACCGGGAAUCAAUCUGGUAGGAGGGAAAAUACAUUAAAUCAAUCUUUUGGAAGGCCACGAGCUUCUCUUUUUGACAAGGCUAAUGAGAUUGUUCAAUCAGCAAGGCAAGGAAGACAAGACUUAUGAUUUCGCAGGAGACAACACAAAAAAUGUAAGAGUAGAUAUUCCUGAUUUCGACGGAAGAAUUGAUCCUAAAGUUUCUUCUAAUUGGCUUGCUACUUUGGAACGCUAUUUUGAUUGGUAUGAUAUGACUGAUGAGAGAAAAGUUAAGUUUGCUAUCAUGAAACUUGUUGAACAAGCCCAAGUGUGGUGGACAGGAGUCGAGCAUGAUCUUCGACUUGCUGGACAACUAGACUUGACGUGGAAAAAGAUGAAACUGCGUUUGAAGAGAAAGUACGUGCCUUUACAUUAUGAAGCUGAUCUUUUCAAUGAUACGAAUAGCUUGAGGCAAGGAGGAAUGACAGUUGCUGAGUAUAUGAACAAGUUUGAAGAGCUGAAUAUUCGCUGCGGAGGAAUAGAAAGUUUAGCACAAGCUUUGUCCAGAUUUAAGUUGGGUUUGAGACCUGAAAUUCGCAAAGAAUUGAUGGGAUAUGAUAUCUACACAGUUGAUAAUGCAUUCCAAGCAGCUCUUAGAAUUAAAAAGAGCCUACGGCAGCCACUAAUUAAGAGGUUCAAUACGCAAGGUGGGGAGGUAGUUCCUAAAAGAUUUGCUACAAAUGACAAGCCAUAUAAAUCAGCAGCAACUCAAGUAACUUCCAAGCCUGCAAAGACAAAAACUAAGGUUUCCACAAUAGAUGAACAAAACAAGAACAAAUAUGGAUGUUUCAAGUGUGGUUUGAAGGGACACAUGGCAUGGGAGUGCCUGAACAAGAGAAACUUGCUCAUUGACACUAAUUCUGGAGAUAAGGAAAAUCUAGAGGUCGAGGAAGAUGAAUGUGGUGAUUAUUUGACUGAGAUGGCAUGACUUAAUGUUCAUGAUUUGGAAGACGAAGAAGAAGACAUGUCUUAUCUCUCGGUUGUGAGGCAUUUCCUCGGUGCACCGAAGUCACAAAAGAAACUUCAAUCUUUCAAACCUUAGUUUGCUGUGGACAAGAGACUAGAAAGCUCAUUAUUGAUGGUGGCAAUAGCAUGAACAUGGUUUCAGAGUCUACCGUACAGCGGUUAAAGUUGCCGACGGAGCCACAUCCUAAACCAUACAAGGUUGUUUGGAUCAACAGUAACUCUAUUCUGGUAAUGAGGCGUUGCUUGGUGUCCAUUAAACAUGGACCUUACAGUGAUUCUAUAUGGUGUGACAUUAUUCCAAUGACUGUUUUCCACAUACUUCUUGGUCGAUCUUGGCUAUAUGACCGAGAUGUGGAUCAUAAUGCGAAGUCGAACACUUAUUCAUUCAAGUUUAAUGACCAGCAGAUUGUCUUAAAGCCUAUGAGUGCUGAAACUAUGAAGAAGUUUCACGACAAGAGACCAACCAAACAAGAGAAUUCAACGGUUAAUGAAGUGAUUGAGACAAGGAAGAAGCCUCCUCAGAUUUUAAGCAAGAAGCAAUUUGAAAGGAAGAGCAAGGAGCAAGGAGUUAUCAUGGUAUUAGUCUUCACAGAGGUGAAAAUUUCAGCAGUUGUCAACUCUGAAGAAGUGCUUCCAGAAAUUGUCAAAUUGCUGUCUGAUUUUUCUGAUGUAGCUCCAGAUGAUUUGCCGCAUGGACUACCACCUAUGCGUGAUAUUCAACAUGCAAUAGAUUUCAUACCAGGCUCUCAACUCCCUAACUUGCCUGCCUAUCGCAUGAACCUGAGUGAGUCUGCUGAACUUAAGAGACAAGUGGAUGAGCUCUUGGACAAAGGACAUAUUCAAAUCACCUAAGUCCUUGUGCAGUGCCAGUUUUAUUGACUCCAAAGAGAGAUGGAACCUGGAGAAUGUGUGUAAAUAGCCGUGCAAUCAAUAAGAUAACAAUCAAGUAUAGGUUUCCCAUACCUAGAUUUGAUAAUAUGAUUGAUAUGAUGACUGGUACUAUUGUCUACACUAAAAUUGACUUGCGAAAGGGGUACUGUUAGAUCAGAAUUCGUUCAGGUGAUGAGUGGAAAACAGCCUUCAAGGCGAAGGAUGGUCUCUACGAGUGGCUAGUGAUGCCGUUUGGCCUCUCUAAUGCUCCUAGCACCUUUAUGAGAUUCAUGACACAGGUGUUUCAGCCCUUUAUUGGCCUUUUUUUGGUUGUCUAUUUCGAUGAUAUUUUAAUUUAUAGCAAGAACAAAGAGGAGCACAUUAACCAUCUUCAGCAAGUAAUGCGAGUUCUUCGUCAAGAAAAGCUCUAUAUCAACUUGAAGAAGUGUACUUUCAUGGCUCCUAGUAUUGUAUUUUUGGGUUUUGUCAUUUCAAAUGAAGGGAUAGCUGCUGAUCUGGAAAAGGUGAAGGCAAUAGUAGAUUGGCUGAUUCCUACUAAUUUGAAGAAGGUUUGCAGUUUCCAUGGACUAGCUUCAUUCUACAGGCGAUUUAUAAGGAGAUUUAGCUCCAUUAUGGCUCCCAUCACUGAUUGCAUGAAGCAGGGACAGUUUCAAUGGACAAAAGCUACAACUAAGGCUUCUGAAGAAUUGAAGAAGUGAAUGACCGAAGCUCCAGUGCUUAGGCUGCUAGAUUUUUCUAAGGUGUUUGAGGUCGCAUGUGAUGCUUCUCAUGUUGGGAUUGGUGGAGUUCUAAGUCAAGAAGGUCAUCCUUUUGCUUGUUUUAGUGAAAAGCUGAAUGAGGCAAAGCAGAAAUACUCUAUUUAUGACCAGAUAUUCGACGCUGUUAUUCAAUCUAUUCGCCAUUGACAUCAUUAUCUUAUUUAUAAGGAAUUUGAUCUAUAUUAUGAUCAUGAAGCCCUCAAAUAUAUUAAUUCUCAGAAGAAGUUCAGUCAUCGGCAUGGCAAAUGGGUUUCUUUCCUGCAACAAUACAAUUUUAUUAUCAAACACAAGGCAGGUGUUGAGAAUAAGGUGGCUGAUGCACUUAGUUGUGUGCAUCUGAUUCUAACUACUAUGGCUGUUCAAGUGGUUGGUUUUGAUACACUUAAGCAAGAUUAUCCUCGUGGUAGAGAUUUCAAGGUCAUAUAUGAGGAUUUAAUGGCUGGUAAACAAGCAAAAUAUGCUGGUUUUUCCAUCCAUGAUGGCUAUCUUUUCAAAGGGACUCUACUUUGUAUUCCUAAUACUUCACUGAGGGAGGAGUUAAUUUGGGAAUUACAUGGUGGAGGAGCUACUGGACCAAAGCAAGAUCGCUUCUAUUGGCCAAGUAUACGAUGUGAAGAUGGCAAGACUGUUGCUCGAUGCCAAGUUUGUCAAUUGGCCAAAGGGCAAAAGAAAAACACUAGUCUUUACAUGCCACUACCCAUUCCACAUGAACCGUGGCAGGAUUUGAGCAUGGAUUUUGUCCUUGGACUACCAAGAACGUUGCGAGGUUAUGAUUCUAUACUAGUAGUUGUGGACAGAUUUUCAAAGAUGGCUCACUUUCUCCCAUGUGCUAAGACUUCAGAUGCUGUCCAUGUUGCUAAGAUUUUCUUCAAAGAGGUAGUUAGACUUCAUGGACUGCCAAUGACUAUAGUUUCAGACAGGGAUGUGAAGUUUAUGAGUUACUUUUGGCGGAAUUUGUGAAAGAUACUGCACACUAAACUCAAGUUUUCUUCUUCUUUCCACUCACAAACGGAUGGUCAGACAGAAGUUGUUAACCGCAGCCUUGGUGAUCUACUUCGGUGUUUGGUUGGUGAUCAUGUUUCCAAUUGGGAUCAAAUUCUACCAAUGGUAGAAUUUGCUUACAAUAGUUCAGUGAAUCGAUCAACUGGUUAUAGUCCUUUUGAGGCUGUAAUGGGAAAAAAUCCUCACAAACCUACUGAUUUGCUUCCAUUACCAGCUAGCGCUCGUCCAAGUGCUGAAGCUGAGGCUUUCUCUAAGCAUAUUCUAGAUAUACAUGAUGAAGUUCGAUGCCAGAUUGCUAUCAGCAAUGAAUGGUACAAAACACAUGCAGAUUUGAAGAAGAAAUUUUCAGAAUUUGAAGAAGGGGAUGAAGUUAUGGUUCGUAUUCGGCCAGAGAGGUAUCCUAAAGGUGUCUACAAGAAGCUACAUUCCAAAAGUGCAGGUCCUUUCAAGGUUCUCAAGAAAAUCAGCUCAAAUGCUUAUGUUCUUGAGUUACCUAAAGAUAUGGGAAUUAGCAACGUGUUCAAUAUUGAAGAUUUGACUGCUUAUGAUGGUCAUUUCGAUGAUUCAGCAGAUUGGACUUCUAAAGCUACUCUUCCAACUCCUACAUGCUUAUGUGAAGCAAUUGAAGAUGUUCUUGACCACCAAAUUGUGUCAACUAGAGGGGGCGGCUACCAGAAGUUUCUUGUUCAUUGGAGGGGACGACCAUGUACAGAUUGUACAUGGAUUAGUGAAUCUGAAUUUCAGAAGUUGGAUCCAGAUUUCUAUGAGAGGUAUCAGGCCAUUAACUCGCCAGGGUCGAGUCUUCUCAAGCCGGGGAGAGAUGAUAGAGAUGAGGGGCAAAAAUCCACUAGGGUUUAUAGGAGGCGUGCAAAGGGUGUGUCGAAUGACCAAGCAUUGAUUUGGCAUGCUUUUGAUGACAAGGAACCAACUUGGGAGUUGGUUUGAAUCUUAUGGAGUUUGUUUUCUGAUUUUCACUAGCAGGGGUAUUUUAGUAAUUUGGUUAGGUGCAGGAAUUUUAUGUUUAUGGUAAUUUUCUGUUUAGUAAUUAGUAUUUUAGUUGUUAUGGGGAAUAAGAGAGCUUAGCUUUCUAGCUUUCUACUAGAAUUUUAUUCUAGUUAAGAGUCCUAAUUAGGAUUGGAGUUGGCUUUGUUCUAACAUCUAUAAGUAACCACUUCUCCACAAAGAGAAGGCAGAUUUUUUGGCGUUAAUAAAAUUUUCCUACAAACUCAACAUCUUUCUUAGGGUUGUGUGAUACAUCCCAACUUUAGGUGUGAUGCCUAAAGAUUCCUAGGAGUGAUUCCUAGACUUACUAACCAGAUUUUCAUCUUCUUAAGCAUAUUUUCUUAUCCUAUUCCUAGUUGCUAUUUCAACUUUGGGUGAAAUUCGAUAUCUGGGUUUUUCUUCAAAGCUGAUGUGCCUACCAAGUGUUCGUGCUGCGUCAGUAAGACUAAUAUGUUUCUAUUUUUCUUUAUUGCUUUGUUUUCACAAGAAAUACAAAACUAGAUUGUGACAAUGUGAAACUGUAAAAGGGAAGGUUAAGUUAACAGGGUAGCACAACAUUUUUGUAAGUUACAGCGUAGAAAUGGAUUGACAAAACAACUGCCAGGCAACAAUUGUUUCAUGUCACAAAUUCUAAAAUAUCAAUCUCCAGGCAUUGCCUUUCUAGUUGUCUCCUCUGUCAACCUAUAUCAACUUAGCAGUCAUUGCUAACUUCUCUAGCCAUAUGAGUUAUACUAACUGUUCUCAGACAAAAGAUAGGAGGUAUAGUACAUCAUUUUUGGCUAGUACCACUUUGCACCCUUUAAUAUUUGAACCAAGUUUCAACUUUCCACCCCAAACUUCAAUUUAGACACAUUGUGCCCUAAAGUUACUGCAAUUCAUCACACUUGGAAACUACAGACAAUUACACACAUAACUUGCAUGCAUAACAUGUUAGAGGCGAUGAAAUGGUGCCUUCCAUGAUCUCAGUGGAGGAGAAGCAUGACAUGGUGUGCCAGCACUUAAUUUCUCCCAUUUCCUCUACCAAUGUCAGAGAUUGGUUUGCGUUAAAACAGAUUGAUAGCUCCAGCAUGCAAAGUAUCCAAAAUAAAAGUCAGAGGUCAAAGUAAAUUUACAUAAAAAAGCAGAGUAGCAAAGUUACAUUGCUAUAUAGUUAUUCAGGGCAAUGGGUGACCAGCUUCUCUAAGGGAUGUGUCUACUGCAAGCAAUAUGGAUCAAAGGUUAUAGAAAAGGGAGCAUAGUGGACCUCUAUUAACCAAAUGCUUCACAGUAAGCAUGACAUCAAGACCAAGGGUUACAGCGCAAGAUCUAUUGGUAAGUUUUCUAGCAUUUCAGCGAUACGCCACAUUUGCAGAUAUUACGUUUGUUCUGAAACUAAAGAACUGACUAAUAUCGAGCCAGAGAUUGCUAAUAAACAAAAAUAUCUAAAAUAAUAAAAAUGCCAAACAGAAGCAGCAUGUUGUACACAUCUAAACUACAUUACCAACACUGCCCCAACCUUGUCCAUAACACCAUAUGACAAUGUACUAAACAAAAAAGCAUGAAAAGUAUAUGGAAAACGAAGGAAACUGGAAAUCCGAGAACGAUGAAUUUAGCAAGAGACAGAGUACAACUGAAAUUUGGGGAUAGAAGAGAACACAUGAAGUGAAAAAUUUGAGAAACUUACGUUGUUCCACAUAAAACAAUCUUUUGAACUUUCGUAAUGUCAGAACUGGACUGAUUAUCCUCGACAAAAACUGUCAAGCUGAUACAAGAAAAUGCUAAAAUCAAGUUAAAUUAAGCUGGAAAACAUUCAGUCCAAGUGUAAAAAGUACCAGAAAUAUUCAACAUACCUCCGAACAUUUUGAAACUUAACAUAUUUUAAGAUCACUGGUUUUCCCUACAAAAUAAAAGGUAGUGCGAAUCAAUUAUGACAGUGAAGCGACGAGCAUAGUAACCAAACUACAACAUCCAGUCAAGUUCUCACUCAAAUGCAAGAACCAGCACUGCCAUGAAGUUUGUCGAAGCACUAAAAUUUACCUUAAGAUUAUCUUCAGAUAGAACAGCUGUAUCACUAGGAGGGAAGUCAUUAACAUUACUGCAUGUAAAGGUACAAUAAAGAAGUUUAUUCCAGUUUUGAAAGGAAAAAUAACACGAUUAGAAAAACAAUCCAGAAAGGAAUUUAAUCUCAAAGUUACCUGAAUCCCAUGUGCUCCCUAUUUGAAAAAAGUUUCACAGUUUUAGGACCUGCUGACAAAGAAAACAUUCAGAUCUAUUGCAGUUAGACAUGCUCAAAUUCAAUACAAACUUCCUGGAAAUCUUAAAUUUAACACCAGCUUUCCUAAGUCUCUCAUCACUGAUUCUUCUUUAUUCACUCUUUUCCCUUUCAAUUUAAAAGCUUUUCAUGCCCACAUUGCAGGAAAUUUGGAUAUGCAGACACUUAACAAGAACAUGCAGAUACUGAACAUUUGCUAGCCAUGACCAUAAGCAUGGAAUUUAAGCAGGCUUCAUACCAGAAAUGAGAGGCAAUUACCAGAAGAUCUGACAGACCAAAAUAACUUUGUAAGUUCUUAAACAUGUAAAGACUUCUGUAUGUUUGACUGUACGCAAUCUAUUUGUGGGCAAUUAGUCAAAAUGAUCAUUGCAUUUUACACAUGAUAUUACACUUUCUUAUAGCAAUAAUUCUCACAAAUUUCACUCUCCCUAAUCUUAUUUCAACAUGCCUAUUUGAACUACUUGAAAAAAAAGGUUUUAAGAGAAACCAGGAUAUGUAGUAUACUUAGUAAUUAGACAGGAAGGCAUCAACAAUGCAAAUUUCAUAAGAGACACUUACAAGAACUGGGACUACAAAAUUCGUAACUAGUCACUAAGAGCUGAUGCCAUUAAAUCAUGACCUUGUAAAAUACCUUUUUGAAAGAAUUAUAAAUGUUUACCUUCCUCCUCUGGUCCUUUGAUAAUGAUGGAAUGUAGUUUAACUACUUGAUUAAAAGGUAUAUAGAUUAAUAGUUGCUCAUCUGCGUCGCUUUCUAGUACCAAACCUUCGUCCUCCCGAUAUCCCUGAUUAAAGAUAAAUAAAAUUCAGUUACAUUAAUAGAUAUAACAUCCCUUCCAUCUGAGUAAACAAACAACUGAAGUAAAUGUCAAAUCAUCAAAAUACCAUCUAUAAUUCCAUAACCCAUCUUAUAUCUAAAACCAAAUACCAAAUGCUAAUUUUGCAGUAUUUAUUCAAAAGUUCAGUAAAAACACAUGAAAUCUUGGCAAAGUUGCUAGUCACCUAAGGUUUCAGGGGUAUACAAACUUUGGGUAAUAUAAAUGUUGACCCUUUAUUCCCUGCCGGCGAAUCUAUAGUGUCACUUCAGAUCUCAUGUCAAAAUUUCACUGCUAACUGAGAUACCAUGCAGCAUCAGAAAUUGCCACUCCUCAGUCUCAUCCUUCAGUUUCAACAUAACAUUGAAAUAGAAUUAUUACACCAAAAAGCUUACAAUAACCCGAAGUAAAUGAAGAGAGUGUUUUUCAAUAUGCCCCACAUGAUAAAAACAGAAAACAAGAUAAAUGGAGAACACGAGUGACAAAACCUAGCAAACAACAAAAAAGAAGAAGAAAACAAGAUAGAUUCAGAGAAAAGUAUCUUGAGUUAGAAUCUUCCAUCAUCAUUUGGACGUCUUAGAAAUCCUUCUAGCCCCUACAACUUCUGUUCCCCACUCUGACUUUUCAAAUCUUAGCCAGAGACACAUGACUCAUGGCCCAACUAGAACAAAAUAUUGUCUCAACCAGCAGUCUCAUCAAUUUUCUCUGUUGCAAUGAUUGGAGCUCUUCACGUACUUAAGGAUAAUACACCUUAAGUCCCAGUUUCCAAGCUUUAGUGCGCAUUUUCCAAGAUACUUUGCUCGAACGAUUUUGUUGGGAAAAUGCUUCCUGUUGUUUUAGAAAUAUCCAAAUUAAGAUGCCUAAAACUCACUUUAAGAACAACUGAACCCACUCUCUCACAAAACUCACCCCGAACCUGAAUGCAAUAUGCUUCUAUAAACAGCAGAACUCAAUAGGAUCUGAAAAACUGCUUGGUUGACAUGGUGAACAAAGCAUAAUUGGUGGAAAUUAUUUAUCUAACUAAUCGUACUACCACCCAUGUAAACAACAUAAUCACUUCAUCUCUUCCAAAAUAAAGUGCUCACUAAUUCUCAAGGAAAAUGCAAUUUUCAUAAGUAACUUUGAAAUAUGUCCAAAGAGUAAUAAUGGUGGCUAUCUCAAACUUGGCCACAGUGCACAUGCUUAUCAAGGCAUGUUACUACCCAGUCAAGUUGGUGAAUCAAUUUCUGUCAACUUUUGCAUCCUCAAUUGCCAUCAUGUCAUGGACUAUCUUUGGCCCAUAUCAUGAACUGAUGCAGGUGUAGUCUGAAGCAUGACAAGAUGACUUGGGUUCACAUAAAAAUCAGGUUUCAAGCAACAGUGAAAGUUAGUAACUGAUUUGAUGCUAGAGAGGAAAAAUAUAAUAAUGUUCCUCAAAGACCUUAAAGCAAAAACCUUCUAACCUUAAUAUAGUCAGAAAAAUAAGAAUAAGAGUCCACUAUUUCUGCAUAAUUUUUGCUAACAUAGACCAUCAUGAAUCCAAAGUAGAGUUGCUCUUAACUGGCAGAAAGUGAAUUAAUUUUGGUUCAAUUAAUUCCUACAUCAAUUUACACUGCCUGUAUCAAGAAUGUCUUCUGAUUUAAAGAAACAAGAAUCCCCACUUUCACUCAGUAUAAUUGCUAUAGCUUAAACAGGCAGUCUCCAUAUUUACAUUUCUUGCCUAAUCUCUACAUUAUACUCGAAGUAAUACUUUUAAAGCAACAAUGUCAAGACUAAAACUAGGGACAACAGCCUUUGCAUAUUGAUAUUACAAGCUUCUUCUACAAACUUUAACUCCCCAUAUUUCAAGAUGCCAUAAGAAUGUAGUGAAUCUGCAGAAGUACAUCUAUGUGUCUAACAAGCAAGCAGGCAAAUACUAAAUGGUUCAAAAAAAAGUAAUUGCUAGAAACUGUAGAAAUCUCACUGUACAAGAACCAUAAAAGUCCAGAGAUCUCCUACAUUUCUGAACCUUAAACCUGUAACGUGAUCUGCAGACCACUUUUACAGAAACUGUCUUUACAAACUAAAACCAUAUUAUAUACAUUGCUUAUUCCUUCUAAGUUAAUAUGCUUGUGUUAAACGUACUCUUACUUCCAAAGCAGGAAAUUCAACACUCAUUCUUUCUCUAACAUCUUGGAACUUGUGCUAGAUAUAUAUUGAACUCCCCAGAGAGUUUCAUAAAUUAAUCACUCUCCCCUCAAUCCUCUUUCUUUGCUUCUUUUAUGUAAAGCGAGGAAGAAGCAUCUCCCUUAAAAAGACACAGCAUGGCAAUUUCAGAUAAUUAACCCAAAAAGAACCUAAAAAGUCAAACUCAAGAGUAGCACAAGCUAGAAUGCAAAAAAAUGCUCGUUCACGAGUACACAAUUUUAUAUAGACCUAGUACAUAGUUGCAAAAAGGGAAUUGCAGUCCUAUAUUUUCUUGUAUUCAAAUUUUCUGCAUUUCAAAGUUAUGGGAAAUUCAGCCACCGUAUACUCGGAACUUCUAACUGAGUGUUUCCUUUCCAAUCAGUUCAAAAUUUCCGAUUUCCUUCCGUUUAUUUCCUCACAAAGGUGGUCUACUCAACUAUUAAAUUUCAAUUUCCAGCUGGCUUUCUACAACUUUGACAUAUUGCUAAAUCCAACAGAAAAAAGGAUAUUUUAACCUCUUCAAACCUACAAAAAUAACAUAGCAGACUACAAAAAAUUAACUAUGAGUAAACAAUUCGAACACCAAUUCCAACCAAAACCCUUUUAGUUAUUCGUGCAUUCAAGCCUAAUUUUACUAUUUCAUCAGCCAAAUAGCAGAGAAUACACAACCUCAAUAGCUAGAAUAAAGCAAAUAUCAUCAAAGAAGAAAAUUGAAAUCAUUCAACAUAUAUAUUAAAAACACAAACCCUCAAUAAUUUCCAAUCUUUUUUACCUGUUUAAGGGCAUUAGGAAGAGAGUGAGUACCGCUUUGGUUAAGGCAUUCAACUCCUGACCAGUCCACAAAGUCCAACAAAUCAACCUGAAAAACAAAACCCAUCAUUCUUUUUCUUGUUUUUCCAUUGUCUUUUUUUUUUGGGUUAAACGGAAAAUUAAAGGGAAAAAAAUGAAAAAACUGAAGACAGAGAACAUAUGGGAGAUUAAAUACUGGUUACUAUUGAUCUAAAUUGAGAAAAUUACUUACUUGGUUUCGUUGAAUAGCUGAGGCUGAUUCGGCAGACAUGGCUGACGAUGUGAUGCAAAUCCACCAAACCAACUAUUACUCUCAGGAGACAAUACUGAAAAGAAAAAAGAAAAAGAAACUAAAUCAAAAUAGAUAAAAUGGCUGCUAGAAUUUCAGGGUACAGGUAUUAAGUAAAUUUACACUGACCUCCUUUAGCUUUGUUGAUAUUAUAGAAAAAUCCAUCUUAUUUAUGGAAAUUGGAGUAUAUUAAGAUAACUUUUUACGGUUUUUAUUUAUUAUUUUUUUUAAGCAAAAGAUUGGUGAGAUUUAAGAAGUGAACAUAUAGCAAGAAUUAGAAGUCAUUAGAACUUAAGAACUCUAAAUUUUAAAGAUUCAAUUUUAACCACUAGAUCAAAGUAUCCUGAACUUAUAUUUGCAGAAUAUUUUAUAAUGAUAUAAGAUAAUGAUCACUUGCAUUUAGGGACGGCAAGUUGGCAACGAGAUGGUUUUGGCCUCACCCCAUUAUCAAAUAACUCCCUCUUGUCCCCGCCUCAAAUCCUGCCACCAUUCCCCACCCGUGUGACCCAUGCAGUUCCCCUUGUGGGUGCUCAUAGGGAAAGAAAGCAAAAAGGGAAAUCAUGAAAAGUCCUCUUAAGUUUUGUACUAUUUUGUACUUUAUCCCCUAACAUUAUAUUCUUGGUACUUUUAUCCCCUUGAUUGGUAGUCAAAACAUUCAAUUAGUAACUGUGGUGAUGGUUAAUAGGUAAGGACAAUGGUAUUUUUGGUAAAACAAUGGAUAGACAAAACUGUCCACAGAUUCGUGUCAGAUAAUAUUUUUUUUCUAAAAAUACCCUUCUUGGAGAGAAAAAAUUUGCUCUCACUAAUGUAUUUUGCAAAGAAAACGAACAAAUCAUAUGCUUGACGAUUCUAAAAUAACUUUUUGUUUUUCAAAUUAUUUUAUCUAAAAGUAAAAAAAGACAUUAAUUUAUCGUACAAAUUAUACCUUAUAAUUUGAACAUCCAAGAAAUCCCCUUCCGGAAUUUUUCGAUGUCCAUAAUCUUGUUAAGGGUGCUAUUUUACCACAUCUAUAGGUUUCUUAAUUUGGUUCCUUUAGAUGAUGUCAUGGACAACAUCUAGAGAAAAAGCAACGAAAUGAAUUUGAAGUAGUUAGAACAUUUUUUUCCUUUUUCAACCUCAAAUGUAGAACUUGGAAAUUUAAAGGCUUUAAUGAAUAAUGAAUUGAUAACAAAAUAUUUCUGAACUUGAAGGGAAACAUUUCUUUAUAUAUAACACAUUGGGGCAUUUUUGUCAGAAAUUUUAAUGAUUUAAAUGGGAGUAUAUUCAUCUAAUUUAAUGUUUCAACAAAUUAUUUGCUGAGGUAGACUAUUAGAGGGGAUAAAGUGCCAAAAAAGAUAACGUUAUGAGGUAAAGUACAAAACAUCACAAACCUUAGGGGGACUUUUCGUGAUUUUCUCAAAGUAAAAUGCAAACAAGCUCAAUUUGCCAUUGUAAAGAAAGUAAAAUUCUUUAUUAGGACCAAAAUCCAGAAUAAAAUGAGCUUUCUCAGGUAACAUAACGCCAAAAAACUUAACUCAUGCUCUACAUUCCAAUUUGAAAAGUUAAGCAUAUAUCUUGAAUGUAUGGAUGAGAAUCUUGACCUUAUCAGGAACGAAGCCCCAAUCCUUCAAGUAAUUAAAGUUACAUAUUGCUAAUUGAUUGUUUAUUCUAAUUAGAAUGAAUUCAUAAUUAUUAGAUUUUAUGUAUGAUUAUUAGGUAUUUAGAUUAUAGGUAUAAUUUUUUAUAUUUUAUUUAAUUAAUUCAGGAGACGGAGUGGGGGUGUGCUUCCCCGCCUCCUCCCCCAUUUAAGGUGGGAGGAGAUUUUCUCCUUCCACCCCAUUCCUGCCUUGUCUCUAUUCCGUUCCAACCCUUCUUCCAUUUCUCUCUGUGAGGUGGGCACUCACCCCUAUUGUCGUCCCUACUUGCACUUUCAUAAUUGCAUCUCCUCGAAAUUUUUUCAGUCACAGAAAGAGACGAUGAUGCACUUACAAGUCCUAAUUACUAGUUAAGACUAUUUGAGACCAUUCAUGAGAAUAGAAAAGCAAAUGGUAGUACCAACAACAAAUAGUAGGGUGUCAUGACAAUUCCCUAGUUAUGAGUAUUUGCUAUGAGUUGCAAAUUAUUUUUACGACUCUUUCCUAAAACUUUUUGCCAAUGAAUUUGGCAAUUCAUUCUGGUUUAUUAUUUUUGAAAAUGAUACAAAUAACUAUAACCUCGGUGAUUUUGCAUCAUUUUCACGAUGACCUCUACAACCUCGACUACAAAGUUUAAUACUUCCAAAAUAUGAAAAAAUUGUGAAACUUCACUUAAUAAAUAAUGAAAAGUCCAAGAGUAAUAGAUAUAUAUAUAUUUUUUAGAAGGAAGAGUAAUAGAUAGUUUCAAACCACAACAGCCAUUAGCUUGCUGAAAAACUACUAAAUAGGUUCAUACUUAUACGGAAUUAAUAAUAUCAUCACUAUUCACAAUUCUAUCCAUUAUUAGUCCUAAAAUAUUAGGACCAAUGUGAAAACAAGGGAAAGUGAGCUGAGGAGAUAAAACAUAAUGAGUUUCUUUAGAACAAUUUUGUCCCUUAGAGAAAUUAAAAGGUGUUCUUGUCUUUUUAUUAAGCCAAAAAAAAAAAAGAAAGAAAGAUGGAGUGGCUAGUACUUUUUUGGAGAACCAAUAUUCGGGAUGACAACGGAGACAGGUGCCUACCCUGCGGGGGAGUAAUGGGCCGGGGGCAAGGACGGGGUGAAUUUUUCUCCUCCCGUUUUAAAUGGGGUGGGGGGCGGUCCCCCGUCCCGUCCUCGCUUCAACUUAUUAAUAUAAAUAAAUGUAAUAUAUUAUAUAAUCUAAUAAUAAUAAAUUUAGAAUAUUUGGUAACUAAACAUAAUCUUUAUUCCAUUUCUAUCCAAGCAUGAACCACUUGUCCUGUUUCAAAACUCCAAUACCAACACAAGCAGACAGUAAAGUCACCAUUGCACGAUUAUUAGGCUUUACUCUUGCUCUCUGCAUAUCAUCAAAAAGCUCCAAGACUUCACUAUACCUAAAAAAUUAACCUAUCUAGUGAUCAAUGCAUUCCAAGAAAACAACAUCCUUCACUAACAUUUUAUCAGAAACCUUCCUUGCCUCAUUAAGAAGUCUAGAUUCCCAUACAUGGAAGGCAUAAAAUUCCUAGACUCCAACUUCUUUACGAGCAUCUCACUAAUCAAAUUAUGAAACAAAGGUAUUAGGACAUUGAUUCGAAAAUAUCAAAUUCCUAGUUGAUAUUUGACAUAGGCAUGUUACACACUCUAUGAGUAUUCUCAAGUGUUAUUUAUACAAUCUCACUAAUCAAAUUAUGAAACAAAGGUAUUAGGACAUUGAUUCGAAGAUAUCAAAUUCCUAGUUGAUAUUUGACAUAGGCAUGUUACACACUCUAUGAGUAUUCUCAAGUGUUAUUUAUACAAUCUCGCUAAUCAAAUUAUGAAACAAAGGUAUUAGGACAUUGAUUCGAAGAUAUCAAAUUCCUAGUUGAUAUUUGACAUAGGCAUGUUACACACUCUAUGAGUAUUCUCAAGUGUUAUUUAUACAAUAUAAUUGAGGUUCUUAAUUUUCUUGGUAAUUUAUUUCAACACUUUUCUUGUUUCAUUUUUCAUUUUUCACUUUUUUUAACUCUGUAUUUUAUUUUGUUCCUUGAAUUUAGCUUUGAUCUAUUGAAUAAAGGCUUCUAGAAUAAAAACCAAAUUAUAACCAGCGAGUACCUGCGAGGGAAACAGGGUGGGGUGGGACAGGAGGAGUUUUUUGGCACCCCCGUCCCGUUGCCAUCCCUAACCAAUAACAGGUAUAGACCUUCUUAGUAUCUUUUGCCUUUUUUGAAGAACUUGUACUUUAGCCACAACGACUCCCUAAAAGAUUUGUAAUUACCACUGAGAUCUCCUCUUUUUUUGUGAAAUUGGAUAUCUUACAUCAACUUUCCUUAAGGUUUAUUUAACAUACAAGCGCAUGUCUUAUAAUUGCAUUAACAAUUUUUUAAAGUUUUUCUCUUUUUGAAUAGUAUCAUUCUUUUCUAUGCUGUAAAUUCAAAUUCAAAUUACACUAGUAACUCAUUUUGGGCCACCUAGUUAAUGAAAACUGAGUAUUUAUUGAAUUUCUUUGCCACCAAGCAAAGUUGCUGUCUUUUUACAUUACAUAAAAAGAACUCCCAUACAACUUCAGAAAUAUCAAAAGUUCGUUGUUGAAAAAUAUACAAGGUUAUAAGUUGUAAAAAAUAAAGUGUACUCAUAAUUUAAAUUAUUAGUAAAUGACUAAAUAAUUAUGAGUUGAGGUUUGGAUAUUGGUUAUCUUAUCCAACUUUGCAUAUAUGCGAGUUGUUAAAUUCAUGAGUAAAAAAUUACAUCCCACAUUGGUUCAAGAGAUGAAGAAAUAACACUUAAUAUGUAAGUAAGGACUCGAAACCUAAUAGUUUAAAUUUUUGGAUCAGAGUUAGGUUCCUAAUUUACAUAUUGGACUUUUCGAUGGGUUCUCUCGAGGUGUUUUCUCCCUAACAAGUGGUAUCAAAGUUUCAAGUUGCGAGACUGGACUACUCAUGGGCAAGUGGAUUUUUCUCAGGGUUGGAUCGGUGAAAAUUCUCUUCUUAGUAGUGGAUCGAAGUGCCAAGCAGUUGGGCUGGUGUUGGAUUAGGUGUGCCAUGGGUUUUGCAGGAGUCCAGUUGGUGUUAGACCAAGAAAUUAAGGGUUGGCAGGGGUCCAGAAUUAAAUUUAAAUAUUGAAGAAGAGCGGGUCCAUGAUUGGGAGAAGAGAUGACUUUAGGUCUUAAGGGGGAUUCGCGUUAAGUAUUAAAGUGGGUUUGGAAAAGAGCUUGUAAACUUGGGUUCAAUGGGUUACUCAUAAGGGGAGAUAUUUGUUAGGUUCAUGAAUAAAAAAUUAUGUCGCACAUUGGUUCAAAAAAUGAAGAAAGAGUACUUAAUAUGUAAGUAAGGGCUCAAGACCUAAUAACUUAAGUUUUUGGAUCAUAGUUGGGUUCUUGAUUUAUAUAUUGGACUCUUUGAUGGGUUCUCUCAAAAUGUUUUCCCCAUUUUUGGAAAUUGAAAACCAUACCUUAACUAAUUUUUCAAGUAGGUUUGACUAAUCUAACCAUUUUAAAAAUUAUGGGUUGGUUACCCUAUUUUUCAAUUUAGACCAAUUCGAUGUUCCCGAUUACCCAUUUUUUCGAUUCUUUUUACACACCCCUAUCUACUACUACUACUUCAUGAAUCGGAUUCCAUGUGAUCAAUCUCCCUAACUAAAUGAUAUGACCAACAUUACUAACUAAUAAACUAACAGUACGUGGUUAAUAAACUAACCAAUUUGUCACUAGUUUUUUUUUUUUUUACAAUGCCCCCUUUAAACCAAACUUCUCUAAUCUGGACAUACCUAACAUCUUUUUCAACUAGACAAAUGUUUUUGUCUUUAAAGCCUUCAUGAAAAUGUCUAUCACUUGCUUUUAAGUUCUGCAAUAAUAAAUCUCAAUCUCAUUCUCUCGAAUCAACUCACGUAGGAAAUCAAAUAAUACUAGAUAUCUAUGUACUUGCUACGCAUAUGGAAAAGUGGGUUAUUAGACCGCUCAAUUGUUGACUUACUAUCAUAAUAAAUUUUCGUAGCAUAAACUUGUCUGUGUUGUAGAACAUCAAGCAUGCGACUCAACCACAAUGCAUGAGUUGCACUAUUAGCUACAGCAAUAUACUCCGCUUCUACAUAGACAACGUUAUCAUUUGUUGCUUUUUCAAACUCUAGAAACCCCUCAAGAGCCAAUAAAAAAUGCAUAUCUUGAAAUAUUUGUUCUCUCAAUCGUAUCACCUAUUCAAUCACUGUUUGCAUAGCCAAAUAAUUCAAUUGGAUCAUUUCUUGAAUAAAAAAAUAUUAUCAUUAUGAAUACCUCCAAUAUACCUCAAAAUCUUCUUACCCACCUAUAAAUGUGAUUGACAUGAAUAUUUCAUAAACCUGCUAAUCAAAUCAAUAGUAAAAUUGAUGUUUGAUCUCGUAGAUGUCAAAUAGUUCGAACUCCCAACCAAACUUUUAAAGUAGGCAGGAUCUACAUAUCCCUCAGUACCCUCCUUAGUCAAAUUCAACUUCAUUUUUCCUCAACUGGAGUUAGAAUUGGAUUAGUUGCAUCCAUCUUAAAUUUCUUUUGAAUAUCACGUGCAUAAUUCUUUUAAGACAUAAAAAUCCCAUGAUGAGACUGAAAACUUCAAUCCCUAGAAAAUAUGACAUGAGCCCCAUAUCUAUCAUUUCAGGCUGCUUAACCAUGGCCUUCCUGAACUUUGCAAUCAUUCUUGAAAUAUUUCAAGUAAAAAUCAAAUCGUCUAUAUACAAGUACAUGUUAAGAAUAUCACCACAAACAAAAGAUUUAAUAUAUAAAUAUAUAUGUGUGUGUGUGUGUGUGCGCGCGCUCAUAUGGAUACUUCUAAAAACCACAAGUAAGAAAAUAGGAGUCGACUCUUGUAUACUAUGCCCUUGGGACUUGCUUUAAUCCAUACAAGACCCUCUUCAACCUAUAUACUUUAUUUUCCUAAUCUCUUCUAACAAAUCCUGCAGAUUGCUCUACAUAUACUUCUUCAUUGAAUAUUCCAUUCAUUAUCAUAUGAACUGUGUCAACCCACCCAAAUUACUAAACUUAAGUUUCCUGAGUAGCUGUCCUUCUAGUAUCGUGGGGACUGCCUUUUUAGACUAGGUUUCCUUUUUAGCAACUUCCGCUAAACCCUAGGGUUUUUUCGGUCUGCAUGGAGGCUCCUCCGUGGCCGCCGCCGGCCAUAGGGGGUGCACCUGGCUGCGCAGCCUCUUCCAAGUCCUUCGCCGACGUGCUCUCUGGAUCGUGCCGGCUGGAGGUAUCAAAUAUUCCAGAUUUGGGUUGUUGUUCGACUCAUAGAGGAGAGCCUGCUCUGCGUUUAUCCCAGAAAGAGCUGCAACUGCUUUCGACACCUUUUAAAAAUGCAUUGGUUGGAAGGUUUCCGUUUCGUCGUCCUCCAAUGGAGGUCAUUAGGGGUUUUUUUGUAUCGUUGGGUCUCAAAGGAGACUGUGAUGUCGGCCUUCUUGAUCUGAAUCACGUUUUGAUCAGGCCUUCGUCUGAGGAGGAUUUUACGCGGCUCUUCGUGUGCCGUUCUUGGUUUGUGAAGGGAGCGCAGAUGCUGCUAUCAAAGUGGACGUUGGAUUUCAAAGUCCAUCAGGAUUCGACAUAUGCGCCUGUGUGGGUAUCACUGCCAACACUUCCGUUGCCAUUGUUUAAUAAGGUGUAUAUUGCCAAAUUAGCUGGUUUGCUGGGAAGAUGUCUGAAGAUUGACUUGGCGACAUUAGCGCUCAAAUGCCCUUCUGUUGCGAGGGUUCUGAUUGAGAUGGAUGUAUCGAAGCAGCCCCCAAACCGUAUUUGGAUUGGGGAGGACCAAGAGGGGUUCUGGCAGGAUGUGGAAUAUGAGAGCUGGCCGAAGUUUUGUGGGUUCUGUACUCGAUUUGGACAUGAAGACGGGGAAUGUUUUAGGAAGAAUCCUGAACUCAAACCUGCCAAGAAUUUGGUCAGGAAGAAAGGGAAGUCAAAGGAGGUUUACCGGCCUAAGGACAACAGUGGUCAGAUUGGGCCUGGAUUAGGGCUCCUACAGCGUGAACAAACGAUGAAUAAGGUGGAGUUUCAUCAGCAUACUGAUGGUGCCUUGGUGGCAAAUCUUUCUGGACAAGGCAAUGAGAGGAAGAUUGACGUCAAUAUUGAACCUGAGGUGAUUGGACACUCUGAGCUUGAGGGCCCUUCGCAGGCGCAAGCUGUUAUGGGUCGGGCUGCGCAUAACCAAGUGAUGGAACGGGUUCAAAAGGUUCCUGUGUUAUCGACUGUAGAGGCUGAUACUGCUAUCACUUCGAUAGCUGAUGAAGCGAUUGUUGUUGCUGCGACUGCUAUAAAUUCGGUAGUUGCUGACGUGUUUGCUGCUAUCCCCGAGUCGUCCUCGAGGGAUACAAAGGAGGUGGAGCAUGGCACUGCCCGUACGUUGGCAAAGCAGACUGAUGUUGUGGGGGAUUGUUGGGAGAGGGAGGAGUGUGGGCAGAUUGAUGAGUUGGUUGCGGCCUCCUCCAAUACCUUUGCUGUGCUGCACUCAAUAUCAGACAUGGAGGUUCAGGAUUUUGAGCGCACUCCUUCCAGGUCUGCGAGUCAUGCUCGGGCAGCUAAGCAGCGACAUAGACGACAAAGCUCGGACAGGGAUAAACCGGGGGAAGUAGCGACGUGGGAGCAGUUAAAAAAUUUUCAAAGUGUGUUGCAUCAACGGCUGCACUCUGAUCCGACAGGUACAAGGGAGGUGCUGAAUUCUGUGACUAAUGGUUCGGGAAAGUUGGAGCAGCAAGAGGCCGCGGAGUGAGUAUGGUCAGCUUGGAGCUAGGCACAAGGAUGGUCGGCCGGCUAAAGUAUCUCUCAAUCAGGUUCAUCUCCAAUCUCAAAACCAUUACUCUUUGCGGUCUAAUGUUAAAUCCCAUUAAGUUUGUUGUAUGGAAUAUACGUGGUGCUUCUCGCAAAGAUUCACUUCGAUAUUUACAUAAGAUUUGCAAAACUAAUUCAGUACGGUUGCUGGUACUUCUGGAACCCUUGUCGGAUACUCCUCAACUUGAGGUGGUACGUCGGUUACUUUGGUUUGAUAAUGCAUUGGGGCAUUGAAUAAUAAGGUGUGGGUUUUUUGGUACAAUGAGAUGUCUUUGAGCUUUAGCGAAAUGGCAGAGCAACUUCUUCACAUGCACAUCACCUUCUCUUCCGGGUGUUGUACUCACUUUUCGGCAGUGUAUGCUCGGUGCUCUAGGGUGGGGCGACGCGAGUUGUGGUCAGCAAUGGAAGGAUUGGCGGGAGAAGUUCUUGGGCCAUGGUUACUGGCAGGGGAUUUUAAUGCCAUUUCCAGUAUGGAGGAGUGAGUGGGAGGUUCCUCGGCUAAUGAAAGAAACAUAGAAGAAUUUAAUGAUUCUAUUGGCAAUUGUGGUUUGUCGGAGGUGCCUUUUGAUGGUUCUUUAUUUACAUGGACGAAUGGUAGGGUGUGGCAGAGAUUGGAUGAAUCGGGAUUGGGCUUAUGGGUAUGAGCUCUCUCAUGUCUCACAUUUGUCCAGGGGAUGAUCGGAUCAUGCUCCACUUUUGAUUAGCUGUCAGAAUGGGAGUCAAAGCAAACGUUCAUUUAAAUUUCUAAAUGUUUGGCGGCGACAUUCAGGUUUUUUGGAUGUGGUAUAGUAGGGUUGGGCGAAACCGGUGGAGGGUGAGGGUAUGACGAAAUUUUAUCAUAAAUUGCGGGCAGUUAAGGGUUGUCUGCAAUUAUGGAACGUCCAGGUCUUUGGAAAUAUAUUUAACAAAGUGAGGGAGGCCGAGGCUAUUAUGAAACAAUGGGAGGAGCAGUUUGACAAUGAGAGGGAUACAGCUUCCAGAGCAGCGUUGGAGGAGGCAGAGGCGGUUUAUGCAAGGAGCUUGGCGUCUGAAUGUGAGUAUUGGAGACAGAAGGCGGGCAUCAAAUGGUUGCAAGUUGGGGAUGCUAAUUCGGCAUAUUUCCAUUCUCGAUGCCGUCAGCAUCGAAAUUUUAAUUUUGUGGCCCGCAUUAAAGACCAAUCAGGAACAUGGUUAGAGGAUAUACAAGACAUAAGGCGGUCAGCGGUGGAGUUCUUUUCAUCUUUGUUUGCAUCUGAACAACAUGGGUGGCACUCUCCGGGACUUCUUUCUACGGUCCCUCAGCUGUCUGCGGCGGACAAUGACAUGUUAUCUGCUUUACCUGACAUGGCAGAAUUAAAGGAGGCGGUUUUUACGUUGGAGGCAGACAGUGCUCCUGGACCAGAUGGGUUUGGGGCAGGAUUUUACUAGGCUUGUUGGGAUAUUAUCAAGUCCGAUCUAUUGGAGGCGGUACAGGCUUUUUUCCAGGGUAUGCGAUUGCCCAGGAGUUUUACCAGUACUUCUAUUAUUUUACUGCCUAAGAUUGCGGGCACCAUGCAAUGGAAGGACUUUCGGCCAAUUAGUCUUUGCAACCUCUGUUCUAAAAUUAUUUCUAAGAUCGUCUCUGAUCGGUUGGGUAGGGUUCUUCCUAUCUUAGUGUCACCGUGGCAGACUGGCUUUGUACCAGGACGGGGGAUAACGGAUAACAUCCUUUUCACGCAGGAGCUGGUGGUAGAUUUAGAUAGGCGUUUGAGACACCCGAACCUCAUGUUAAAGUUGGAUAUGGAAAAGGCGUAUGACAGGGUCGAGUGGCCGUUUCUUUUGUUUAUGCUUCGGAAUUUUGGUUUUGCAGAACAGGUGGUAGACAUUUUCUUUCGACUGGUGUCUAAUAAUUGGUUUUCAGUGUUGGUGAAUGGUGAGGCUGCUGGAUUUUUUAAAUCUUCAAGGGGUGUUCGGCAGGGUGACCCGGUAUCUCCUGGCCUUUUUGGGUUAGUUGCUGAAUUUUUAGGUCGUGGGCUGCACCACCUUCUUGAUAGUCAGCCGGGCAGGUAUUUUGUUUCGACAGGGACUCCAGUGCCCUACCUGACCUUUGCGGAUGACAUGCUUAUCUUUACAAGAUGCUCAGAGGAGUGCCUGAAUGCAAUCAAGGCUUUUCUAUUGGAGUAUCAGGAAGCUUCAGAACAAAGGGUAAAUGUCAACAAAAGUUCCUUCUUCUUGGCUUCAGGGGCUACUUCGGGGCAGGAGCAGUUGGUGACUAGGGUUCUGGGCUUUCACAGGCAACUUUUCCCAUUCACUUAUUUGGGUGCUCCUAUAUAUAAAGGCCGGCGGCGGGGUGCCUUGUUUGAUGGUAUUGUUUCUAAAAUGUGGACCCACCUAGGACACUGGAGUACUAAGUUGCUCUCAUUUGGGGGUAAGCUGGUCUUAGCACGGCAUGUCCUAGUUUCGUUGCCUAUGUACUUACUUCAGGUGUUGAAUCCUCCAAAGGCUGUGCUCACACGUUUGGGCAAGAUUUAUAAUUCUUUUCUUUGGGAUCAUAAGGGGGAGAGGCGCAUCCAUUGGUCUUCCUGGGACAAGUUGUGCUUUCCCAUUGACGAAGGGGGUCUGGGUUUUCGGUCUUUUAAGGACAUAGCAAGGGCUUUUGCGGCUAAAUUAUGGUGGAGGCUUAGGCUUGGAGAUUCCAUUUGGGCAGAGUUCAUGCAUGCCAAAUACAUCAAAGGUAUUCAUCCAUCGGAAGCGUCGGCAGUGCGGUCUACAGAUAUUUGGAGACGUCUUGAGGCGAUACGUCCAAUGGUUGAGCAGAACAUUAAGUGGUGUUUAGGGGAAGGCCUUUUGGAUUUUUGGAAGGAUAGAUGAGUUCUACAUGAGCCAUUAGAGAGUGUUGUGGGUCGUUCUGAGAGGCCGCAUUUUCUUGUCUCGGAGUUUAUUACUAGGGAUGGAUGGGAUGAAAUGCGUCUUGCCCAGUGGGUUCCGGGUUUUGUCAUCCAUGCGAUCAAAGACAUACCCCUCGAUUUAUCUCAGAAAGAUAGGAUGGUUUGGUUGCCUUCGCCGACGAGUUGUUUCUCAGUUAAGUCGGCAUGGGAGGUGCUUCGGCAAAGGAGGCAUCAAUCCUUGGUCGACUCCUUACUAUGGCCUUCGGUUUUGCCAGGAAAAAUGUCUUUUUUUGCUUGGAGAUUGGUGCGUAAUUUCCUCCCUUUGGAUGUGACGGUGCGUUCUCAGGAUUUGUCUUUUCCCUCUAGAUGCGGGUGUUGCUACCUGGAGGAAGAGGCUCUUUUGCAUGUGUUUUUAACUGGACCGGUAGCUUCGGAAGUGUGGCGGAGAGUGUCUUGCCACUUUGGAUUUCAGUUGCGUAAUUGCUCGAGUAUGGCGUCGGUUUUUGUCUCUUGGUACCUGACUUCAUCUUCCUCUUCGAAAAACCAUAUUCGGGCAUUCAUGCCAAUUGUAGUGUGCUGGUUUCUUUGGUUAGCAAGGAACCAGGAGCGUUAUCAAGGCGUGCGAUGGGAGGUCGAAAAGAUAAUCCGCAAAGUGAAUUAUUUUUUGGAACAGCUCGGGAGGGCAAAUAAGCUUCGUCGGUCGCACUUCACAAGGGAUGCAGAUUGUGAUUUGCUACGAUUAAUCAAAGCCCCUCCUCGGAGGAGGACCCCUUGUGUGAUUGCCUGGGAGAAACCGCCACCUAGUUUGCUUAAGUUCAACUCGGACGCCAGCGUGAAUCAUGGUAGGGCCACGGGUGGUGGACUAGUGCGUGAUUGUCAGGGGAAAUUGAUUUUUGUUUUUUACAAAGAAUUUGGAGAACAGGAUGUGUUGGAGGCAGAAAGUAUAGCAUUACUGUUUGGUCUGCAGUUGUGUUUACAAAGGCGGUUUCGUCCUUCGUUGGUAGAGGUGGAUUCCAAAGCCUUGGUGCAGUUGGUUGUCUCCGGGGUAAUUGCUAAGUGGCCAUUAUGUAAUAUUUUGAGGAAAUUUAGAGGUCUUCUGGAGGGCUUUUCGGCCUCCAUCUCACAUAUUUUCUGUAAGGCAAACUCACCUGCAGAUAGGUUAGCGGCUAUUGGGGCAGUAGGCGUACGGAUUUAUGAUCAUGUUCAACAACUGCCGGCGAUCAUUCGGGCUUCUCUUAUUCUUGACUCACGUGGGGUGCCGGGGGUUCGAUGGCUGAAUGAGGAGGGAUAGGCUGUGCACUAAGUGUAGAUUUAAAGUUGGGGAGGUUGAUCCCUCUACCAUUUUGUAAGUGUUGUUUGCAAUAAAACUUGGGGCUGGCAUCCCUCCCCCGGGUACGGGGUUUGCUGUUAAAAAAAAAAAAGAAAAAAAAAAAGAACUGUGUCAACCCUAUCAAUAGGUGCAAACACCUCUAAAUAGUCAAUUUCGGGUUUCUGCUUGUAGUCUUUCACCACUAAUCUCACAGUGUACCUAUCAACCUCUUAAUUGGGCUUAAAUUUCGUCCUAUACACCCAUUUCACUCCUGUUGACCUUGGUCGAUCAAUCCUUGGUUUUGAUGAUUAACAAACCAAAAUGUAGAUUUGGGCUAAUGUUUUUAUGUGAGCAAUUUGUUAGAACAGAUUCUUGUGGCACAAAAGAAGAAGCAAAAACAGGGCACUCAUGUCGGACGUCCGAAAGGAAGCUAUUGGACGUCCGAAAGGAUGAAGAACAUCAAGAAGGAAACUCUGUCGGACGCUCGUGAGGAAGCAUCGGACGUCCGGAAAGAUCGGACGCACGCCUCGGACGCACAUCGAUCGCAUCGGACGCACGAGAAAUUUCGCAAAGAUUUGAUGACUCUCUGACGACGUUCGGACGCAGGGUUCGGACGUCCGACAGGUGGUUCGGACGUCCGACAGGCCAACGGCUAGUUUUGACAGCAUUUAAUAUUUGACCGUUGGAGAGCCUUUUGGAGCCAUUUCUCACCUUCUAUAAACACCCCAAAGCACAAGAAGACAGGGGACUUUUGCCAACACAAAAUACAAGCUUACAAGUGAGAUUUUUGAGUAGAAAGAUUCUUUGUUGGUUGUAUAAGGGGUUGGGGAAGUUGGGUUGUGAGGUUGCUCAAGUGAAGGUUACUCUCUAGGAGGAGUAAAACCUUGGUGAAGGUGAACCUAUCACUUGAAGUGGUAAAACCUUGGUGAAGGUUGCCUCAUUUGUAUAAAAUAGUUCUUAAUUGGGUGAGUGAUCUUUCAAGUGUAGGUUGUUGAGGGUUAACUAGAAUAGUUGUAAAACUCCUUGGCUCAACCAAAGAGUGUUUGGGGUGAGGAAGGAGUGAGCCUUCACUUGUACAUCUUGGUUAGCAUCGCCAUCUAUUGAAGAGGCUAUUGGAUUGAUAUUUGGUUUGCAUUUCUUAUCUUUUCUCUUUAAUUAAGUUUUCUUUAUUGUGCUUAAAUUUGAUAUAUCUUUGUGCAUCAUUGUGAAAUUGUUUGUACUCAUUGGGUUGCACCAGGCCUUACAACUCCAAUGGUUUUUUUACCAGUUGGAAGAGAAGUAAGCAUCCAGGUGUCAUUUUCUCAAUAGCAUGAAUUUCUUCAUCCAUUGCUUUUACCUAAUGAUUAUCACGAUCUACCUCCUCAUGUACUAUUAGGUCACAAUCUGUAAGUAAAGCAAAAUUAAUACAUAAUCGUACAUAUCUUCUUCAAAAAAAUAUUAUCUGGUGUAAUUACAUAAUCCUACAAAUGAGUUAACAUCUACCGCUAAUACUUUGGACAUCCAAUUAACUCAAUCUAUGAACCCUGAGCAACUAGAGAUGGCUAAAAAUCAAGAUUAACCUCCUCUUCCUGAUAAUUUAAAGUCACCUCUGCUGUCUUGAGAUCUCCAAUAAACCAGUCCCAAACACCUCUUUUAACAAAUGUCACAUCUCUACUCACUAUCACUUUUUCUGUCAGAAGAUUAUAUAAUUUGUCUGCCCUAGAACUUCAUUAUAGCCAAUAAAUACGCACUACUCUCUCUUGUCAUCAAGCUUCUUCCUCAUCUAAUUAGGAAUAUGAGAAUAGGCAAUGCAACCAAAAAUUAAGAGAUGGUCAAAAAGGGUCUGCUACCACUUUAAACUUCUUUAGGGGUUUUUCCCAAAAUACUUCUAAUAGGAUAUCUGUUCAACAAAUAAAUAGCACAGGAAAUUGCCUCUGCCCAAAAGGACUUUGGCAUCUUUUUCCAAUUUUAACAUAUACCUUACUAUAUCCAUAACUGUCCUAUUAUUUCUUUCCACUGCCCCAUUUUGUUGUAAAGUGUACCGAGCAGUCAACUGAUACUGUAUGCCAUUUUUUCUCAAGAAAACAUCACAAACCAAAUAUUCCUAACCCUUGUUCUCAAAAUGUUAAUCUAACAGCCACUUUGCUUCUCAACAAAAAUUUUAAAAAUCAUAAAAGACUCACAUGUAUCAAAGUUUUCUUCAAAAUAUAUAUCCAAUCCUUUCUACUAAAGUCGUUAAUAAAGAUAAUAAAAUACUUGCAUCCACCAGUAGAAGGAAUCUCCAUAGUGUAUAAAUCUGAAUUAAUAAUUUCUAAUGGUCUUCUAUCCCUCCAAGAUUUACUAGUGUGAAAAGAAUCCAUAAGUUGCUUUCUUAAAACACAUAUCACAAAUUCUGUCAGUAUAUCUGAUAUCGGAUAGCCCAUCAACCAUUCUUCUACUAGCUAAAAAUUUUAAACUGUCAAAAUUUAAAUGAUUAAAUUGCAUAUGCCAUAGUCAAUUACUGUCAUCUAUCACUGUACUCAAACAAAAGAAAUUUGGUAUUUAAAUUCAUUGGAAAUAAGUGAUUUGGAGUUAUUAACACAUUCGUAAUCAUUCCAUUUUUUUUUUAUCAAAAAUAGUGCAAGUACCAUUUUUUAUAUGAAUGUCAUAUUUCUUUUUAGACAAUUGACCUAUACUUAACAAUUAUAAUGUAGCUCAGGAACAUAAAAAUAUCAUAAAUAAAAUCAGCAACUCCAUUUUUUCAGGCUAAUAGGGAUUUUUAUUUCCAAAUUUAACUUCACCACGGACAGAUUCAUCAAACUCAAUAUAUGAUUCUUUCUUACUAGAAAUAUGGUUACUCUAGUCGGUGUCCAAAUACGAUUUAUUUUUAUCAAAUAUCUCAAUAGCAUUACAAGCUAAUAACAAAGUUUUAGAUUUUUUACUAUUAUCUUGAACCUGAUUAUCAGCAACAUUAGGCUGAAAAUUUCUGUUUAUAUUUUCUUCAGAUUUACAUUCAAAUUGUCUAUAGCCAAAAUUUUCAUAAUUAUAAUAUUGAAUCUUCUAUUCAAAAUCAUUCUAAUUAAAAUUAUUUUUUCACCAAAAUUAUCACAUCUGCCUCUAUCAGAACCACCUCUAAAAUUAAAAUUGUUAAUUGUACUGUGUCCAAGAUUUUGACGUACUUUUUCUACCUCUGUUGUUAUAGCCAUGACCACCUCUAUUGUUAUACCCCACUCUGUUGUUGUAACCUGAGUUUCUCUGAUUGGAUUCACUUUGCUCCUUAAUUACAUUAUUGCUUCUCAAAUUCAACUACGUCUAUAGCAUCUUUUCUAUGAUCCUUCUUUGGGAUAUCCUCUAACUUCCUAUUAAUUCUUUAUUCAUGCAGAAUUAAUGACUCCUACAAAUCUUCAAUACUCAAAUUCAUCAAAUCUUUUGUCUCAUGGAUCAUAGUUAUCACAUGAUCUAAGUUUAUGGAUAGGGUGUUGAGAAACAUGUUGUAGCAAGGAAGUCAUAUUAAUUGAGUUCCAUCUCAUUUUUAAUAUUUGACAAAUGAGAAAAAGAUGACUCAAUGAAUUCAGAAUUCUCCAUUGUCACAAGUUCAAGCUUCCUUUCCAAUGUCAUCAAAUUAUUUUGUUGAACUCUAACAAUCCCUUUAUACUUUUUCUCCAAAAUAUCCUAGACCUUCUUCACUGUGUUAGUCUCAACAAUUUUUCCAAAAACUGACAUAUUAAUUGCUUGAUGAAUCUAUGACAACGCCAAACUAUCUUUCAUCUUGUUGUUUUCACUAGCAUCCUGAGCAAGUACUUUGACAUGAGUUAUCAUCUAUUUCUAUCAAAAAUUAAACUCUACCUUUGUUUUGAAUUUUUUGACAGCACAAACAAUAUUGGAUUGGGGUUUUCUAUACUUAAAUCUAUCAUAACUUUGAUACCACUCUGAUGGAUCGAAAUCAAUAAAAAGCAUAAAUCCAUGGGAUAAUAUACAAGAAAUUGAUAUAGAGGCAAAAGGAAUUUCUUCUAUUAUAUUAGUCAAGGGAUAAUUUCAUGAACUUCCCUUGAGACUUUUGACUAUUUCACUGGUCUCCCUCCAAAUUUUAAAAAUUACAUUAAUCUCUCUUGAGAUUUAUUAUCUUGUAACAUCUAAAUCCAACCAAUAAUUAAAGUCCUAUUAGGAGAGAGAAAAUAAUAUGAUUCCCCCAUUACUCCUCAUCUACUAAAUUGUUUAAUUAAACUAAUACCCGCCCAAACAUUAAAAAAAACUAGAAUUUACUAUUUAUCAUCAGGGAUUAAAUCAUAAAUGACAGUAUAUCAUUUUGUAUAUUUCACUUAAUGUAAGAUCCAAAUUUGUCUUUUUAAUUACAAACUUAUUGUCAAACCUGAUCAACAAUAAAUAAUCAAAAAAAUUUGUAACCAAACUAUUACAAAGAAUGAACUUUAAUACCAUAAAAAUCUCAACAACUAAUAUUAAUAUGCUGACAAGGAUAUUAUGAUAUUAAUAUUUGUAGUUUGUAAUAUUUCGAUUGCAUUUCUUUUUAUUAUUUGUUGUUGAUCAUAUUUGACAAUGGAAAUAUAACUGAAAAGAACAAUUUGAAUAUUGUAUUAAGUGAAAAAUAUAAAAUGGUAUACCAUUUUUUGAUGCUACAUGUGAUUUGAUUCCUAAUGAUAAACAACAAAUUUUAAUGUUUUUAUUUAAUGUAUGGGUUGCUAUUAAAUUAAUUAAAUAAUGUAGUACAUGAGGAGCAAUGAUGGAAUGAUAUUAUUUUUUCUUUUCUAACAUCACUUUUUGAUUAUUAAUUGGGUCUAAAUGUUACAAAAUAAUUAACUUUAAGAGAGGUUAGUGAAAUUUUUGAAAUUUAGAGGGAAGCCAGUGAAAUAGUCAAAAAUCUCAGGGAGGUUUCUAAAAUUAUCCCAUUGCUCAAAUGAGGCCACGGUUCUUUCUUACAAAAGACGACAAAACUGAUGCGGAGGCUACAGCUUGUUCUUGUACCCUCAGCGGCCUUUUUAUACUGGCAUCUACUACUACUAAUUACUUCACGAAUCAGGUUCCAUGUGACCAUUCCUUCAAAAAAAAAAAACAAAAGGUUCCAUGUGACCAAUGACUGAACAAUAUAACCAACGUUAUUAACCAAUAAACUAACACCAUGUGGUUAAUAAAUUAAUCAAUUAUCACAAUUUGGUUUAUUUUUUUACAUGGUGUACAUGUUUGGUUCGGAGGCAAUUCAGUCUCCGUCAAGUCUUUCAAUGAUCCCUUUAUAUUUACCUAUCUCUUCAGUAUAUAAAGUUUAGUAUUAAGUAAAUAUAGAAAUAGAAGUAAAAUAGAAAUCAUCGUACGGAUCAAAAAAAAGACUGGCAAAUUAUCAAUUUUGACAUUUAAGCAUAGUACUCGAGCCAUGUACGAUUUCAAGUUAUUUUAUGGCUUUAACCAAUUUAUCAGACCAACCCAAAAAAAUAAAAAUAAAAUUUACCGACUAACAGUUUAGACGAGAUUAAUAUAGUUACAUGCGAGUAUUUGGUUUUUUUUUACCAAAUAAUUUUUAGUACUUCUUCACAUCCACCGCGCAAUGCAUGGGAUUAUUGAUAAACUCAGGACCACACACUCUAAACACUAGGUAACAAAUUGCACCUAUGUGAAGGUUAGCAUUUUGCUUCGAAAAUAAACGUGGAUUGUUGUCAAAAAAAAAAAAACGUGGAUUCGACCCUUCUCAUUUGCAAUUCAAGAUUUGUCUGAUAAUUGUUUAGGAUUAUUAUAUGGGCAAAAUUAAGAAGCUAAGAACCAAAUAAUUAAUGUGGGCAAAACAUCAGGAUCAUUAUGGCUCGUCCCUUCUAUAUAUUUGAGACCAAAGAUGCUAUUGUGGCUUUUGCAAAAAUCAACCUAGAAAACAAUCUGGCCGAGCAACGCAUGAGCUAGCUCUAUUCUGUUUAAGCAAAAUUGAGGUUCCCCGGUACAGUGGUAACAAGAAUAAAGAAACAUCAAUUUCAAUUGAACACAGUAAAUGAUAUGAUAUGAUGAAUCUACCACCACCAGGUGCACAAGAAAAAAUUAUUUAAAAAAAAAGUUCAAAAUGGUGAAAACUUCAUUCUUACCCCUCAUACAAGAAGAACAAAAGAAAUAGGGAAUCAAGAUGACCACAAAUAUAGAAAGAAAUUUAAAAAAAAAAUAAUAAUUCUCACACAAAGUAACACACGCACAUACAAAAAGGAGUUCCACUGUCCUUAUUAACCUUGAUUGAGAUUUCAAUAAAAAAAAAAAUUCUGGCUUUUGAAGAUUUACUGUUGGAUGAAUUCAAAAGUUCAUCAGGUCUAACUUUGCUGCUGCUUCCGAGGAAAUAUUUUAUAUUCUCUAGUGAUUAACUUAUAAAUAUAGGAAAUAUUUCUGGCAAAGUUCUUGUUCUUGAAAUUGAUAUUUUGGUCACCAUGUGGAUGAAAUUUGACUUUUCAUUGUUCUCAAGGUCAAUGAUCACAGACUUCUUGAAAUGAUACGACUAUUUCGCUCAAUUAACAAGAUAAUAAUAUAUAUGUUUUUUUAUAAAGUUGAAUAUUUCAACUGCACUAAGGUAGAUUUUGGCUGCUGCUUUUUUGUCUUGUUGAAACAAUUUAGCAUAUGCUUGUGUACACAGACAUACAUACAUAUAUAUAUACAUACAUAAAUACAUACAUAUACACACACAUACAUAUAUAAUACAUAUAUAUGUGUGUGUAUUAUAUAUGUAUAUAUGUAUGUACAUAUGUAUGUAUGUAUAUGUAUAUUUAUAUAGUAACUCUAAGGUUCUUCCUAGAAAGGUCCGGUUGAAGUGUUAUAAUGCAAAUAAAAUUAUUUACUUGAUAUGUGCAAAGUAAGCUGCCUUCUUUUCCAUUUUUAAUUACCACAAAAAUAAAUAGGUAAGAGAAAAUCUUUAACUAGAUAUUAAUCGCUGUUAUUAAACAUAGACAUCAAAUUAUCAAAAAAAUCAACAAAUUAAGUACAAAGAAGAAAUUAUUAGAAUGUGUCAGUUGAAAUUAAAGGAAACACUCAUCUUUGCACCAAGAAGCUUCUAAGUUGCAUUUUAAUGACCACAUUGCAAUUUUUCCACAAAGAUACUAGAAACCUAGCACAAAAGCGAAUUUUUUCCUUUUUAGGUAACCGUUUCUUGCUGCCAUCUAGAUCCUCUAGAAUACAAGUACAUGAACAUGUAGGAUGUACAAGAACUGAGGACAAAUUCAAGCAACAUUAAUGUGGGAUAUAGUUUGAGGAUCAGUUCAAUGUCAAAGAAGACUAUGUCAGAGUCCGAUAUACAAGUAAAAACAGGUUGAAGCCAAAUUAAAGAUUUGCUUUCAUUUCUUGGAGCUUAAUUUCCAAAUCAUAACUGCUUUUCAAGACUUCUACAAUGACUUUUGCCAAAUAUUUCUAACUUAAUUAGUCUAACGAUCUAAGAAGCUUCCACGUAGAAAAAUUCAAUCUACAAAUUUAUAUAUAUAUCAAGCAUAAGAACACCACAAAUAUCACCUAUUCUAUCUCAUAGUCUUAGCUUUCUUGAUCCCUCUUUUGUGUCUCUAGAGAUGGCUCUUUCCUGGUUCAAAAUUUCUCUUGCCAUGGCAAUGAUUCUUCCGCCAAUUGCCACAAGAGGAGAUGAUCCUUUGACUCCUAUUUUGAGUACGUCCCCUUUUCUUUAUAUGUGUGUUUAAUAUAUGAUUUGCGGGAAAUAAAACUCUUCUAACUCUCUAGGGUUUUCAUGUAAUUGCCACAGACGAUAUAUGUAAAGAAGUGGAGUGUGGGAAAGGAACUUGCCAAGCAUCUCUAGGCUACCCAUUCAACUUCAAAUGCAUUUGCGACAAUGGUUGGAAGCGAACACGUUUAGAUAAUGAAGAAACUUUAGAGUUUCUACCUUGUGUAAUUCCAAAUUGUAAGUCUUUCGCCCUUGUUCUCGUCUGCUUAGAGCGUGUUCUUUGUUGAUCAAAACCCCUGAUUUUAAUUCUGAUUAUGAAAAAAAAAAAGAAAAGAAAAACUACCAUUGUGUUCUUCUCCUUUUUUUUUCUCUUUUGGGAGAUACAAUUUUCUUUAGUUGUCAAUUUCUGUUCCAAUCUUACUUCUAGUUUUUUCUUCCCAAGGCUAAAAAGUUGAAAAUCAAAGGCAGUAUAAUAGGUGCUUUUUGGCGUCUCAUUGUGAUCUUGGAAUUUAGAAGAAUUUAAUAUUGAAAUAAGUUGAUUUGAAUUAUUAUUCCCACCAAAGAAGCAUUUUGAAUACCUUUCCUAAUCUUCAAAAUUUUCUUUUAUUUUGUGUUAAGUUAAAAAAAAAUUUUAAUUCUGCCACAUACAUCUCAAGAUAUUGUUUGAGAAAUUUGUAUAUUUAUUUUGCUAGUACUUUAUUUGGUUGUAAGCUGAAAACUGUGAUAGUUAUCAAGGUCCCUCAGUCCAAUUUGCCGGCCAAAUGAAGCAUAUGACUAAAAAAUCUUUCCUCUUGUUUACAGGCUCUCUUGACUAUUCUUGCAUGCCAGCUCCAGCUCCUCUUCCAUCAAUUCCAUACAAUAAAUCUUUCUUCGACCGUAAGUACUCUUUCACUUAAGAAAAGAAGGGGAAAAAAAACUGUCUUUCAUCUCAAGUUUCCAAUAUUAAUGUACUUUACAAUAAACGAGGACUCUUAGAGUUCUCUUGACUGUCAAGUUUAGAGUACGAAUUUCAUGUUUGAUAGUUAGGAGUACGAAGGGCAAACGAUGGGGAGGGCGGAUAAAAAUAAUAAUAAUAUAAUUAAAUAAAUAAAUAAUAAAAAUCAAAUUUUUUUCUAACAAAUAAUUUUGUAAAAUUCUUUUCUUAUCCUUCUAGCCUGCUACUGGAUUUACUGCGGUGGAGGAACAUGCAUAAAGGAUGCAACAUAUACACACAAAUGUCAGUGCAAUAGUGGUUACUCUAAUCUCAACGACAUCUCAGUUUUUCCAUGCUUUAAUCAAUGUAAGAGCACCAUGGCUAUUAUAUAAUUAUUGCAAUUACUUUUUCAUUUUUAUUUAUAUUUGAGAUUAAUAGAAAAACAUGCAAUAGAGGAUAUAUGUAUAUAACAGCUAUUGUGGUGAUUUAAAUGUUUGAUUUAAAAAGGUGCCGUUGGGUCUGAUUGUUCAAGGCUGGGAGUUAAGCUUUCAUCAUCAACUUCAUCUCGAAAUAAUGAUGACAGCCCUGGUGAGUUUACAAAUCCAUUGAGGAGUUUUGAAUUUUAAAUACGUAAUAAUCUUAAUUUUAAUUUAUAAAUAGAGUAAAUUGAAUUUUUAAAAUUAAAUUUAACAAUAAGUAAAUGGAAAAUUAGAUUAAAAAGAUAAAAGGGAGUUAAUAAGAAGAAGAAGAGAAAGGGCACAAACAAAAAGUGAAAUACAAAUAUUAAUUUUUAGUCGUGAUUGUAUUUGUACUUGAGAACUUUUUAGUGCCAUAAUCUUCGUUUUUAUAGGCGAAAACCAGAACGUACAAGAUGUAGAAGUUGUGUUCUUGAGACUUGCGUAAAUACUAUUUGACCAAUUCAAAGCAUAAUAAUUAAUUUGAAAGGAUUGUUCCCUUAUAAGUCCAAGAUUAACAUACACGGAAUUGACAUUUUUUGUGUCAAAAGUCCAAACCCCAUAAUUACCCUUUUUUUUUAUUGGUCAAUCAUAUACUAGUUGUCAACUUUCCAAUCGAAAUUCAACAAGUCACUUUAGCCAUGGCAAGUCAAAUGAUAUUAUAAAAAUUUUCAAUAUUUGAAGCACAAUCACUAAGUAAGAAUAACAUGAAAACAAUAAUGUUUAUCAUAUAGACACUUAUUGGGCUCUAUACAUCUAAAAAUUCCCAUUACGGGCUCCAAUUUAAAGAUUGAACUUGUAAAAAAAAAACUUUGUAGACAUGCUUAAGCUAAUGGUCUGGAGAAGCAGCAAUGAAAUUUACGCCAUCUUAUAGUUAUUCGCAAGGAGCUAAAUCCAUUUUGUCAUUUAAUUUUUAUUUAAUAAAAUUUGGAGCUAAUUUACGCAUCUCACUCCGAGUACGGAAUUUGCCCGAAAAAAAAAGUUCCAUUUUGUUGUGUUAAAUCCUCAACUUUAAUGCAUUGACUUGUAGUAUUAUUUAGAAUGAAUGCAUCUUGAAAUUUUUGUUUCUGAUUAACUUUUUCUUCUAGCCUUAUUCAAGAAAACUGAAAUUGGAUUGACGUUUAUGCUCACUCUUUCUUGUUUGAAAAAAUUUUCAGCUACAUCAAUUUUACCAUGGAAGUUUCAAUGGAUGGGAAUCUUGCUGAUAUCUGGUGCUAUACUACUCUGGAAAUAGGAAUUUCAAUAGUGUGUUGCCUCAGUUUGGCAUCACUUUACCAGUUAUGUAUACACAUAAUUGCUUGAUAUUGAUUGUGAUGUAGUUAUUUAAUUAUUUUCACAGAGGAUAGAUUUUGUAUUCAUAGAAUAAACAUGAGGAAGAGGAUUAUAGCUUCUAGAAUAGCCUCAUAUACAGUAGCAAGCAGCACUUUCUAUUAACAUCUUUCUUGUGUAAAAGAACAUACUGUUAUUGCAGAUAUUGAUUUUGUUAAUAGUGAAUGAUGGGUUCUGGACCAUUUGUUCAAAUACGAGCAAUGUUUUCAUAUUCAGACUGGAUCACGGAUCUGACUGGUUCAACUAGCAAUCGUUCAUGCCCGAUUCAGUUCCAAACCUUAUUGAAUUUAAAAUUUGUGUAAAGGUCUUAAUUGAGAUUAAUCUUUUAUUAUGUUUGUAAUGGCUUCACUAUCUUCAUCUCCCGGAAUGACACUUGACAAAAACUAAAGAUAAAAUUAACUCACACCAAUAGGAAAGUGUGAAGGAAAAAUUAGCCUAAAUUGGCAGUUAUUGUUGAUAGGUACAUGUACAUCUGAUCACUUUUGUAAUACUCCUACCAAUCUAGUUCUGUAUAACUUAUCAUUUAAAGUCAAAGUCAUAUUGUGUAUGGAUUUGUGUUUGGUGCGUAUCUUCCAUGUGACUAAUAAUUAUAGUUAACCCGUCGUUUCCUUCUUAUCUUUUAGGUUUAAGUUUUGCUAAAAUUAAUUGCAACAACUUACGGUAUCACUAAACCACAUACCUAAAACAAACCAUUUUUUUUCUUAGAAUACUAACAUUCGAGAGCUUGUUAUACAAUUGGAGGAGAGAUUGUCCAAUAUUUGGAAUCUCAUUUAUCAAUGACUAUAAAAAGGUUGCUAACUGUAGCUUAUCAAUGACUGUAAAAGGCAAUUGCCAAUGGGAUUGGCUAAGCUAGUAAGGCUUGUUUAAGGGAAGAUUGUUUUGAUUCCCGAUUUUUUUUUUUCAGUCUAACUUCAACAAUCUACACUACUUCUAUACUAUAGACAAAAGUUUGGUUUGAUUCCCAUUAUCAAUGAUAUCGCAUUUAUAGGUAAUCUUUAUCAACAAUCUGCAAUACUACUCCUAUAUUAUUAAGGAGAGAGGACUAAGUUGGGUUUAUAAGUGGUUAAAGAAUGAACUCUUCAGAUCAGACAAGUACACUACUACACUCUCGAGAGAAGUUUACGAGACUCUCUUUGGCCAUUAGACCAAAACCCAAUGAAAUUUUCAUUGGUAAGUAAUCUAUAAAUCAAAAAAUACACCAGUGGUUUGCUUUGACUUGAGAAUUGGGAUAGGCAUCCCCUCUUCCUAAUCUUUGCCCAAAACAAAAAAUAAAUAAAUAAAAAUGGAACUGCUGCAAGGACUAGGCUUUCGUUCCUCUGCUGCAAAUGAAUUUAGUUACCUAGUUAAGCAUCUAAGGUACUUGCUUCAGUUUCCGUGCAUAACUUUGAUCCGCAUUGUCUCAAGUCUCUACUACACAAAUUGGCUUCUACACAAAUAAAUGGAGAUCGGAGAUCUUGGUAUUGCAUAAUUGGACAUAAUUGGAAACUUCUCCCUCUUUAAGAGGAGACUUUUAGUUUUCCUUUUUGGCUUUUCUUUGCAUCCCUGAAUGAAGAAGACGUAGGUAGUUUAGUUCUAAAAGCAACAAGUACUAAAAACAAAGAACAAACUGAUUUUCAGUCGUUGAGAAACCACAACCACCCUUGAAUCCAUAGAAAUGUGUCAAUUGGCAUCACAAGGGGAAGUCUAUGCAGGCCUCAGCCAUAAACAAAUAAAACAAGGACCAGUAUUCUCCACCAAAAUUAUCUUGUUUGAUUUUUGGGUUAGCAGAAAAGUCGAAGUUUAACGUUAUUGCAAACCCUAUAUAAUUGCUAUUGUAGCAGAAGAAUAUAAAGGCCGGAUAUUCAACAACGUAGACAAAUUAAGAAAGGUUGAGACAUCAACCUUUUAUUAGCCAUCAAUUCUGUGUUCAAGCUCUUUCUGUUCAAGUUAUAUAGAAGUCUCAAUCAUUUUAGCUGUUGAUUUUGUUGCUUAUAGACAUCCCUUUAUUCUCUAGGCCAUUUUUUAUUUCGUUUCUACUUCAUUUGUCCCUACUGUUUAAGGCUUUGAUGGUAUAGGAUGGGUAAAGCAGGAAAAUGGAUCCGGAACUUUUUGUUAGGCAAAAGGGAGGAGAAAGACAAGCACAAGAAAGAAGUGAAUUCAGUUGCCACAGAGGUAAGUAACUUAGGAAGCCCAAGAGCAAUCUUAUCAGUUACAAAAGAGAAGAGGAGAUGGAGCUUCAAGAAAUCAACCACCACAGAAAAAGUCACUUGUCGCAAUCUGUCAUUUGACUCACUCUCUACUCCCCACCUGGCAAAACAGGUCCUAGAGGAGCAUGAAAUUGAGCAAAUUCGUUUUAAGGCAAUCCUAGUAACAACUAGCAAGCAAGUCAAUGGAACAAUGCCGGUUGUUACAGCUCCUGUUUCACAAGCUAUAGGGCCCCUCAAAGAUGCUGCUGCCAUCAAAAUUCAGGCUGCAUUUCGUUCUUAUUUGGUAUGUGUAAUUUGAGCUUCUAAAGUUUUUUCCAUUGGUUUGUUAGAUAAUCUAGUGGUUGGAUGCCUCCUUUUGUCAACAGAUCAAAUGAAUGUGUUUACGAUAAUCUGAUUAAAAUGCAGACAUACGAACAAUUUGGGUGAGAAUUCACAAUAAUCUGAUCGUUUUCUGCAGGCAAGAAAAGCAUUGCGUGCUUUACGCGGACUAGUGAAGUUACAAGCAUUAGUAAGGGGUCACCUGGUCAGAAAACAAACUACUGCAGUUCUGAGGAGCAUGCACGCUUUGAUGACUAUCCAAGUUAGAGCUCGGUAUAGGAGAGUUCAGAUGGUUGAGGCCGGAGCAGAGCUUGCAACAAAAAGAUCAGGUCAUGGAGAAUCGGCUCGAAAUAGUACAGUAAGGCCUUUUCUGGAUUAUUUUCUCCCCUUCCCUUUGGAUGAUCAUCCAUCAAGUUCUGCAUUUUGUAGGAUUUGUUCUUCCACUCAAUUUCUUCACUCAAAUCUACUGGAUUUUUUCUUCAGUAGGGAACUGUUAUAAGUCAGCUCAGUUGAUAAACCUGAUACAAUCAGAUUUUACCAAACCAAGUAACCAAUAAUGUUGGACAAAGAUAUUCCAGGACAAACCACCAAAUCUGAUGUUAAACAAAUCCUACUGAUUUCACAAAAUGUAAUUAAAUUAGUUCUUCCACUCAGCUGAGAAAUCGACGUGAUGUGUACACUAAAUUUAUCUCCAUGUCUCCACCUGAACAUAGAUGGGAUCUUCUCACACAUUCAACUAGGCAACCUCAUUGUCCUACUUUUCUUCAAUGUAUACUCUAUUUAUAUAAUUCUAGGAGCAUAUAUAGCGAUAUUUGUUUCCUACGUGUGCCACUGGUGUUAAGUGUCUUGUUGUAUUCAGCAGCAACAAUUAACAAGCCGUUUGAUCACUCAAAUGUAGGAUAGAAAGGAUGUUAAUGCUCAUGAGAUGAGGCCCUUAGAUUAUUCACAAGCUGAAAGAAAGGAACUUGGAGUCAUCACCACAUAUCACUCUGGUCGGUUUCCAAUAAACAAACAAGAAGAUCAGCCUGACCAGACAUGUUGUAGUCCAUCAGCAACAGUGACUGAAACGAGCUCCACCAAUCUGUCCACAACAAAACAAAUAAAAGUGCAAGCAUCCACUGCUCCACUUUCUCAUGAAAAUCGAGGUUACAUGUCCAACACAGCAUCUUCAAAGGCAAAAGCAAGGUCACACAGUGAACCAAAGCAAAGGCCAAAAAAAUGGCGCCCCGUACAAAAAAACAAGCAAUCAACAUCAGUGCGAGGUGUAAACGUCGCCCUUGAAGUUCAGGAGCAAUAUAUGCCUUCACCUUCAGAAUUCGAUGAGCAAGAAAAUCAGCAUCCAUGGUUCAUCAAGCUUUAUCGAUCUGCAAAGCAAGUAAACGGUAGUCAUGCAGAUCAUUCGAGUGUAGCAACUUGCAAUUCCAACUUUGAGAAGACUUUAAAUCCAUUUGAGGUAUGUUCUAGGUAUUUGGCUAAUACUUCUAGGGGCUAGUGACCUGUUAAGCAGAUUGGGAAACUUUUGAUCGAAACUUUGUUUUCUAAUUGAGAGAUCACAGUAGUACUGUCAUUUGGUCAAAACAGUACUUGGUCGAAUUAUCACUUGAUCUAAAAACUCAAACAGUUAGACAACACUAUUUUAAAGCACAACAACAAAAUUUGUAGUGCAUGAACACUUGGCAACAUGUUUUACUUAAUUCCUAAAGAUCUUUAUGCAUGUUGAUUCAUCAUUCCACUGCAGCCUCCCAAGAACCUAUACUAACCUUCCCAAGACAGCUGAAUCAAAUUUAAACUGCUGCAGCCAUCAACAAUCCGCGGAUGCAAUAAUGUAGUCAUCAGUUUAAAAUAAUGUAGUACAUUCUGAUAUUCACUGACACAGAAAUGAGACUCGUUAAAUGGCUGCUGAAGCCGCCAAAUUUUGCUAUUAUUGCUACUUUUCAAUGGACUUCUGACCAGUGACCAGUGACUAGUAGUAUACUUCUUUUGGUGAAACCAGUAUCGGACUACAGUACUGGGAUCAAGUGUUAGAAGGGAAUAACCUUCUUUCCCAAGACAUGAAUCAAUCCAAAAUACAGGAGGUGCCAGGAUCGACUCUCCAGCACAUGAUUCAACCUAAAAUUCGGGAAAAAAAAAACUCCCAUGUGGAUUCGACCCUAUUUAUCCCUAUAUACAAAUUUGUAUUUUUCUUAAGUAGGUAAUUAUUAUUGUACAGGCUCGACACUUGUCACAUGUUAAUUCAGAAAGUAGGCUAUCAAUAUUAAAAUUGAAUUUGAAAUCCAUUUACCAAACACACUCUAAAUAUGCAUUCAAUGUUAUGUGUCACACAAACAGUAUUAAUAAGUAAAACUACGUAAUUUUGCAUUGGACAGAAAAAUGGACAAAUAUAAUGGACAUAGGAUCCCAUCUCCUCAAAAACUCUCACUUUUAAGACAAAUCUAUCUUUGAGAAUUGUUUUAAGAAAUUAGCCGGAUAUCACGGGAGUUUGUCUCUCUGUGCCCAUAGAAUAAGCUUUUUCUCACAUGGAUAUCUUAAGAGUUUUCUUUCCUAGUGCCCAUAGAGUAAGCUUUUUUCUCAUUGCAACAUCCACUACUACUCAUCCAUCUACAUCGUCCUUAUCCCAUUGUUGAUCAUCAAAUAAGUCCUCAGAUGGGUCGUUAACAAUCAUAUAUAUUAGGGAAAAGUUCCAAGAAGUCAUCUUUUAUUUUUUCCCUCAAUUCUGGAUAUGGGAGGAGCCCCUUCAAGAUCACUCUAUAAGGCAAUGAUAGCAGGGGAUCAGGAGAUAGCCUCAUUUUCUCGUAUAUGUCCAUUGCUUCCUUCGGUAGUCCACUGUCUAAGAAGGCCCUAAUGAGGUCACCAAAGGUGCGCUGAUCAAAAAGCACGCCUUCCCUCUUCAAGUCAUCCCAUACACUCCUGGCUUCGUCUACCCUUUUAUUUCUCGCUAGCAUCAUUAGUGUACAACCCACGAUUUUUGGGCUCAUUUUUGUUAUCUUGUCCACUUAAAUUAAAUGGUAAUUUACCAUGGGUAAAAGCAAAAAUAAUUUCAGGUUAGGUUAAAGGGUUAAUUAAGAGGUAGGAUGAGAUAAGAUAGGGUAAAAGUUCACAAUAGUUAAAACUCCUAUCUAAACCACCUACUAGUGGGUGGUUAUUAGGGUUUAGCAUACUUAUCAAAAUAACAAAGAAAAGAAAAAUAACAUUUUUUCUACCUUUCAUUAUUUGCCUACCCUAGAAUAAGAACCGUCAGAGAGUAGAGAAGGAAAAGCAGGCAUCGCCGUCAAUCAAUCGGGAGACUAGGCACCUAAACCUGUAUUCUCAAAUUCCCGCGAAACUUCCCUUUUAAGUUAUAUUAGUUGCAUUAAUUAUUCUAGAGAUUUUACGGAUAUGCAAUGUUGUUAUAUAUAUGUAGAUAUAUAUGUUUCUAUAAGAAAUUUAGGAGGAUUCAUAUUUGGGUUAGUGGAAAUAGGGUGUUAGAUUUUAAUCUUUGGAUAAGUAGAUUGCCCAAAUCUGUUGAAGAAAAGAAAAAAAAAAAAAAAAAAGAGAAGCCGCCGCUGCUCUGUUUUGGCUAGGCAUUGCAGAUAGAGCUGUUAAUCGAACCGGGCAGCUCGCGAGCCGAGCUCGACCCGGCUCGAUAAGGGCUCGACUCGGCUCGUUUAUUGAGAGAAACGAGCCGAGCUCGAGUUUAACUUGAUGCUCGUUUAAUAGACGAGCCGAGCAUAGCUCGGUUCGUUUAAGCUCGAUAGGCUCGAAUAGUAGGGGUAUUAGUGUCAUUUCAUUAUGUAUUUGAUACUCUACAGGCUCGAUAGGCUCGAGUUCGAACUCGAAAUUGCUUGAAUAGUAAGGGUAUUAGCGUCAUUUUAAUUGUGUAUUUGAUAUUCUACAGGCUCGACAAGCUCGAGUUCGAGCUCGAUAAGCUCGACUCGAUUUUGAACUCGGGUUCGAGCUCGAGCUCGAGUUUUCUACCGAGCACAUCGAGUCGAUCUCGAAUAGUUUGUGAAGCUCGAAUUACUAAUCGAGCGAGCUCGAGUUGGCUCGAUUAGGGGUUCGAGUCGAGCUCGAUUAUCACAUGCUCGAGCUCGACUCGGCUCGUUAACAGCACUAAUUGCAGAAGCAACGCAACAGGGAAAAAAAAACGAAAGGAAUUGCAAGAAUUGCAAGGGUUGGCCGAGGCCAACCCAAGACCAGAAAAAAAAAAAGGGGAAAGGAAAGGAGAUGAUAGGCAUAGUAUAUGGUUGGCCUUUUUGGCCAACCAAUGGGAGGAAUGGUCGCCAGAGGUCAAACAACUGGUUGGCCUUUUUGGUCAACCAUGGGUCCAAUCUGAGAAGGGAAAAAAAAAGGGACAAAUUAAAUGUAGAUCAAACUAUAAUAUAAAAUUAGUAAAUGUUUAAUAAAUACAUUUUAAAUAUAACUAGUCCAUUUUUUUUAUAGUUUAUUUUCAGGACCCAAUCUAAAGUGGUAGUUAGAACUGAAGGGUUAGUUAUUUAAAAUUAUACUUAAUUGAUUAAGUCUAAGAUACUUAAAUAGAAAUUUAAAACAUCUUAAUCUAACCUUAUAAGACAAUGUAAGAUAAGUUCUAGAUUGUUAAACGAAUUGCUUAACACCAUGAUGAUGAUGAUAAUAAUAAUAAUAAUAAUAGUAAUUAAUAAUUAAUAAAAUAAUGAUAGUAAGAUUAAUAACCAUAUAGACAUGGAGGAAAUACAUUAAGGAUAUAAAUGAAAAUAAAAGUAUAAAUACAAGUGCAAUAAACUAAGGCAAUAAUUAUAAUAAUAAGUCAAUAUAUAUAGGUACAUGUAUACAUAAAUAUUAAUAAUACCUACACACCCACAAAAGUGAAAAUAAAGCGAAAGAUAAUAGUAAUUAAUUAACAAAUAUAUGUAAAUGGUAAUAAAAUAAAGUAGCGACGACGAUGACGAUAAUAAUAAUGAAUAAUUAUAAAUUAUAAAUAUGUAUAGUAAGAUAAUAGUUAAGAUAAUAAAUAUGAUUAGGAAUAAUUAUUUUCUUUUAACUUAGGAAACUUUACAAAAAGGAGAACUUUCCAAAUUUAAAAACUUUCUAAAAAUAGAAACUUUCCAAAUUAGAAAACUUUCUAAAAAUCGUUCAAUUUAGGAAAAGGCUGCUAGAGUUCAUAUAAUGGUUUAGACAUAAAUCUUCAACUCGUUUAGAGUUUGUAUAUUUAUGCAUCUAUAAGAAAUAUCAACUAAUUAGGAAACAUGUGCAUUUGAUAGGUACGAUACAAGUUUAAAAGAGCUAAGGUAGCCCUACUCGAGCAGCCAGGCAAAGAUAGGUGGUACUUACCCUUCUGAGAUUUCAAAGAUGCAAAAUGAAAUUUUGUUUUCAGUCCUAUUUUGUUGUGUUGACUUAAAAUGUAUUUGAUUAAAUGCAUUGAUUGAAUAUCCAUGAAAGUUAUAUUUUCCUAUACAAAAUGGACCAUGUGACUUAUUUGAAAUGUUUUGAUAGUUAUUAUAUACCAAACGAGCUGAAUCUUUUAUGAAAUCAAGGAUCUAUGUAUGUGACAUGUGGGAUGAAUUUUUGACAAGUAAAUCUUAAAACAGUCAUGAAAUAGACGGUAGGGGCUAUAGUCCUAUCUAAUCGUCAUGGUAGUUUGGUAUAAAGCCCGGCCGAUUGACAAGGUCAAGGUAGCCUGGUAUAGAGUCCGACCGAUUGACAAAGCCAUGGUAGCCUGGUAUAAAGUCCGGUCGAUUGGCAAGGUCAUGGUAGCCUGGUAUAAAGUCCGACCGAUUGACCCAUGUAUGAAAUGAAACCAAUCGGUAGUUAUGAAAUCUAUUGGUCGCUCACCUAAAAGGGGUUUAAUCUCUAGGCUGAGUACUCGGUAGCCGGUCAUCACAUGUACUUGUUAUGAGCUAAUAUGAAAUGAUUUAUGAGCUAAUAUGAAAUGAUUUAUGAGUUGAUAUGGAAUGAUUUAUGAACUGAUCUGAAAUGAGACUUGUGAACUGAUUUAUGAAUUUAUUUAUGAACGGAUAUGAAGACACUUGUGAAUUGAGACGAAAUGAUUUAUGGCUUUAUGAUUUUUCAUGUACAUUUAUCAAUAAGAUACUUUUAAAUUGUUUGCCACUCGUUACUACUGAUUCUUUUAUAAACGACAUUACUUUCAAGAUUAUGGAUGUGAUCAAUGCGCAAAUGGUUUGAUUUGUAUCUAUAUGUGUAUCUAUAAAGUUACGAGUACAUGGUCCAACAGAGGGGUAGAUAUUACCUACUGAGCGAUUUGUCGCUCAACCCACUUUUGAUGUGAAACCCCGAUCUAGACAACCAAAACACCAUGGCUUAGGCAGCGAAAAUUUGACCCAACUAAUCCCUAGAAGUCACGAACAAUUUUGAUAUUAUCUCAACCCGUAACUACUCGAAUUAACGAACCAAAUUGGAGGUAGUAGAACGCCACAAUCAAGGAGAUACUCGAUUGAUAAGUUCAGGUGAAUAACUUGAGAAGAUUCUCAAGUAUUCAAAGGAAACUCUCUUGCCAAAGAGAAAGUGAAAACUCACUAAUUGUAUUUAAUAGCCAAAAAACUGAUCUCAAAACAAAGAGGAAGUGGGGCUAUUUAUAGCCCUUACAAGCAUUAACCCUAAUCCAAAAAUUGACCAAACUACCCUACAUACUUAAGGAAGAUUUUGGGCCUCACUUACUAACAAAUGGACCGCAAUUAAACUAGUUUAAUUACCUAGACUUUCUAAAGCGAGAAAUAACCAAAAUCAACGAGGAAAAUCAAAUAAUCCUACUAAACUCAAGUAUUAGUGCAAUCAACUGGUUUUCACUUGAAUCUUCCAAUUCCCCAUGUGCUUGAAUGGGCCUUGGUCUUUAUAUUCUCAUCAUUCCCCUCCUCUUAAAGGCGAUUUGUCCCCAAAUCAUGACUCUCUUACAAAACAAAAGUGAUGAGAGCAUGUGUAUAGUCACCAAGCAGCCUGCAUGUCGCCUUCUUAAGCGAAGAAUGAUCAUGACAUCCUUGUAUGGAACAAGGACAACUCGUGGUGGUGGUAGAUACAUGUUGCGGACAGCAAGAUUUCCAUGACAAUGGUCACACAAGCGACGUCUCAACCCUAUGGGUGGAUCGUGAGCGGACACCCGGUGAACCAAGGUGUGGUUGGGCUGCGAGUUGUACGCAUCAAGACGUGCAAACACUGCAUCAAAGGCCAAUGUAACUCGACUCAUGUUGGUUGGAAUUACUUGACCAGCACUCUCUUCGCAGAUCUCUAUGGUUGCGGGUAUUGCACACUGCAAGAUGAAGGAUAUCUAACCACGAACAACCUGCACAAAUGAAAACACGUUAAACACCACCAAGAUGGAACAAUCCAACUCCCAGUGCCCGAUGUUGUCCUCAGGCUUAGCGAGCAGGAUCAAUGUUCGCCCUUUCUUUUCCUUGCCUUCUAAUCGAUCCAACUCCCAUUCCCUCUGUAAAAUAUUUUGGUCCUCUCGAACUUGUGUAGGUGAGAGUGGAACAAGUAUGAUCCUUAUCCCUUUAUGCAUGAACGAGUAUUUGUUGGAAUGACCUUCAUAAGUAACCUCGCGAUCAAAUUGCCAAGAUCUUCCAAGAACAACAUGGGCAGCUUGCAUAGGAACCACGUCACACACCAACUCAUCCUCAUAUCUCCCAAUGUUAAAUUUCACAGAAACCUGCUUGGACACUCGCACUUCGCCGCAAUCACUAAACCAUUGAAGCUUAUAUGGUGUAGGGUGAUCUUGGACAGGUAGGUGUAACUUCUUGACAAAUAAGGCACUGGCGACAUUGGUACAACUUCCUCUGUCGAUAAUUAAGCUACACACUUUCCCGUUAACUAGACAUCGGGUAUAGAAGAUGUUGGUACGCUGCUCUUCUUCAUUUGUGCGUUGAGCACUCAAUGCCAACAUUGUAACAAGGCCUAGUCCAACUGGUUGGUCAGGGGCAAUUAUCUCUUCUUCCUCAACCAAUAGUGGCAUGCCUUCAUACUCAUCCUCCUCAUCUGUUAGCACUUCACCACUUGGAAGCAUGAGCAUGGUCCUUCGGUUUGGGCAUUGGGACGCGAUGUGAUCGAAACCUUGACACUUAAAGCACUUAGUGUCGCGGUUUCUAGGUUUAUAUGCCCCUAGAUCAGCCUUAAAUUCGGCCCUUUGGGUCGGUGUUGAAGAUGACAAACUAGGCACCCAUGCUCCAUUCGAAACCCCACUUGCCUUGGCUGACUUUUGCUCACUUGUGUGGGUAAUCUCGCCUUUAUACUGCUGAGUUCUCCAAUUUCCAGAUUGGACGUUGGAGCUUUGGUGGGGGAUACCCCUCCUCUUGAGCCUCCUUUCCAUCUUGAUAGCUUUGUCCAAUAAUUCAUCCAUGUCAAGAUAAUGUUGGAGCUCCACAACAUCUGCAAUUUUAGCGUGUAGUCCUCUCAGGAAACGUGUCAUGGUUGCCUCUAUAUCCUCCCGAACAUCAGCCCGCAGCAUGGCCAUCUCCAUCUCCUUGAAGUAAUCCUCAACCGUCAUACUACCUUGAGUGAGAGUUUGCAAUUUAUGGUGCAAAUCCCUGUGAUAAUACGCUGGUAUGAAGCGCUUCCUCAUGAUCCUUUUGAGUUCUUCCUAGGUGCGAAUGAGUGGUGCUUCAUUUCUCCUUUGUCUGGUGCGAAUCUGAUCCCACCAAACGGCUGCGUAUUCAGUGAACUCAAUGGUUGUCAACUUUACUUUUUGGGACUCUGAGUAGUAGUUGCAGUCAAAGAGCAUCUCAAUCUUCCUCUCCCAUUCCAAAUAUGCUUCAGGGUCCGACUUGCCUGGGAAGGUAGGAAUUUUGAGCUUGAUUCCCUUUAGUUCAUCAUCCCCUUGAUUAGGGAUGCGUUUAUAAUUCCGGAAUCGGUUUCCAUCUGCCAUGUCCUCCUCAUUGUUCGAAUCACCUAACUCCUCCACGUAUGGUUGUCUCUUGGAGGCAUUCUUGCCUAGGGUUGAUUGCUCCACCUUAUCCUCCAGUGUAUCAAUUCUCUGAGCCAUGCGAUCAAUGGCGCCUGUUAAUGCUUCAAGAACGUGUUUCAUGUCAUAAGGGUCACUUUUCGCAUGAGUUUGAGACAUGUUUAUAGAGUACCUGCAAGGCUCAACAAACAGUUAGUAGAAAUUGCCUCACUCACUCCCUUAGUGUAUCACUCACCCUCGUGUAUGUCACUCAAAGCGCUCCAAUGGACUUACCAAACACCUUUACCUAUUGGGUUAGGUAGUUUGAGAAAUGCUGCUCAAACCCAAAUAAUUGUCACCAACUUCUUCCUCAAGAGUAAUCACGGAGAUGUAGGAGAAAGUGUAGGGAAGUGUUCCUAAAAGUUAGGAGAAAAUAUAGGAGAAAGUGUAGGAGAGUGUUCCUAAAAUCUAGAAAGAGAAUAUAGGAGAGUUUCCUAAAGUGGAUGAGAGAAUAUAGGAGAGUUUCCUAAAGUGGAUGAGAGAAUAUAGGAAAGAUCCUAAAAAUGUAUGAGAGAAUUUAGGAAAAUUUCCUAAAAAUAGAUGGGAGACUUUAGAAAAGUUUCCAAAAGAAAUGGAUGAGAGAGUUUAGGAAAGUUUUCUAAAAAAUGGAUGAGAGAAUUUAUGAAAAUUUCCUAAAAAAAUGGAUGAGAGAAUUUAGGAAAGUUUCCAAAAAAAAAUGAAUGACAGAGUUUGGGAAAGUUUCCUAAAAAGGUAGCAGAGAGAGUGUCCAAGUGAGUACAAAGAGUUAUCCAAGUGCUUUACUUAGUUUCCUAAUUGAUUUUGAAAACAAGUUAGUUUUUGGAAACCCUUUGAAAAUCCUUUUCCUCUUGAAAAACUUUUGGUAACCUUCUUGAAACAACUUUUGGUAAUCUUCUUGAAACAACUUUUGGUAACCUUCUUGAAACAACCUUUGGUAAUCUUCUUGAAACAACUUUUGGUAACUUCCAAAUUCUACUCCAAGAAAGAUUGCACAAAUCAGAUUUGGUUCCCUAUUCAAAACAAUUCGGUUGCCAAUUUCUUUCCUUUCCUUUUUUUUUUUUUUUUGCCAACCGAUUCCUCUUUUCUUUCUUUUUCUUUUCGUUUUUGUUUUCUGUUUUUUUUUGACUACAACUAUCAACCACGACACAAAACAAGGAAGUCCACAAAUAAUAACUACCAAGAACUCCAAGAUCUUUCAAGAACUUUCAAGGAAGUUGUCAGGAACUUCAGAAAUUUCAAGAUUGUGAUCAAGAAUGCAAGAAACUCAAGAUUAUUGUAAGUUCUCUUCAAGAUUCACAAAAUUCCAACAAGUUUUGCCAAAAUCCAGAUUUGAAAACCAAGUAAACAAGUUGGAUAACACAAACAACAAGGCUGGACAGAUUUGUAUUCGGAUUAACAGUAACUAUGAACAAUGUCGGUGAACAGUACGGUGAACAUUACGAUGAACAGUGUUGGGUGAACACUACAGGUGAACAGUGACUCUUUUUUUUUUUUUUUUUGGUUCUAAACAAACGAACAAAUUGGGAUAAACAUAUAUGACUCGAAAUAAACGAAAAAAAAAAGAUAUAACCUGGUAGUUGUCGACUAGCUCUGGUACCAACUGAUGUGAAACCCCGAUCUAGACAACCAAAACACCAUGGCUUAGGCAGCGGAAAUUUGACCCAACUAAUCCCUAGAAGUCACGAACAAUUUUGAUAUUAUCUCAACCCAUAACUACUCGAAUUAACGAACCAAAUUGGAGGUAGUAGAACGCCACAAUCAAGGAGAUACUCGAUUGAUAAGUUCGAGUGAAUAACUUGAGAAGAUUCUCAAGUAUUCAAAGGAAACUCUCUUGCCAAAGAGAAAGUGAAAACUCACUAAUUGUAUUUAAUAGCCAAAAAACUGAUCUCAAAACAAAGAGGAAGUGGGGCUAUUUAUAGCCCUUACAAGCAUUAACCCUAAUCCAAAAAUUGACCAAACUACUCUACAUACGUAAGGAAGAUUUUGGGCCUCACUUAUUAACAAAUGGGCCGCAAUUAAACUAGCUUAAUUACCUAGAUUUUCUAAUGCGAGAAAUAACCAAAUCAACGAGAAAAAUCAAACUUUUUACCAUCUUUGCAGAUUGGGAAGAGUACGAAUUGAUUUACGUAGAAGACCCUGAGGACGACUUUAUUAGUUUUUAAGUGAACUAACUACUUCUAGCUGUUAAUUUUAUUUACCUUUUUUCCGCUGUUUCGACCAGAGAAUAAAUGUAUGAAUUUAUUGGAUAUUUGUAGACUACUUUUUAUAUGAUAUUUGUACUGCACUUUAUGUAGUUA
rnacentral:lncRNA from 1 species